CAUGUUUGUAAUAUUUUUUUAAUCCAAUGAACUCUAACUUUUUCUUUUGUCUGUAUAUUAUGAAAACUAGGAUGUUUGUUUCUCUAUGCCUCUUUGCCGUUCUAAAGUAGAACAAGUCACUACUGAAGACCUGGUUGAGCUCUCGGAGAUUGAGAAACAUAUGCUGGGCCAGGUUUUUGUCUAUGCUUUUAAUUUUGAUAGUCUUUUAUCUUUCACCUUGCUGAACUUAUGCCUGGAAUAGAACAUGGGAUGCCUUUCUCUGCCAUUUGUGGAACUUCCAUGCUUGCUUAGAUUACUCGCUUGUUACAGUUGCCUCAAUGGGAUUUUCUUAGGCAUCUAGUUUAUGACAAAUUUAUGAGCAGCAAGGGCAAAAUAUAAAGAGCAGUUGCAAAAAGCUUCAUGUUUGAUGUGAUGUCCAUUGCUGUUUUUUUUUCUUUUCCAAAAUUUGAUUAUGAAAAUCUCCUUAGUUACAGAAGUAUACCUACUUCUCCUGAUGUUGUUCUUUGUGAUUUAUCACUCAUUGGUGAUUCUCAUUUCAAUUCAGACUCGAUGUCUUGGUUCCAUAUCUGAUGUAGAUAACAGUCCACAGUCUUUGCUGUCUUUCAGUGGAAACAAGGAUGUGCAUGCUUUAUAUGACUUUAUGCUAAAUUAUAGGUAAAUACCUAGCUAAUGUCUGAAGAACUACAUCUCUCUAGUAAGUUAGGUUCUUUGUCUGUAUCUCUGUUCUCUUUUAUUGUCAGUGGUUCUUCAUUUCUUAUGGCUGUUUCCAGAUCUUUCUUGACCUCCUUGACAAGUGUGGAUGUUCCUCUUCUGUGUUCACCUGUUCCAUUUCAGAAUGCUGCUCUUUCUGCUCCAGAGGCAAGUGUAAUUUAAUUCACAUUUAAUGGUUAUAGACCAGUGUUAGUGACCUUUGUUUCCCUUGGCCAUGAAUGCAUUUCCAAGAGCAAAUAUACGUCUCAGCCAGAUUCUCGCAUAAACAGUGGCCAACAGUUGGGUGUUUAAAUCCACCAUAUUGAAAAUACAUCCAAACUAUUUCUGUGCAUAUGGAUAGGGUAGACCAAAACUUUGAACCUUCUAACGGCAAGUGCUUCCCUGGUACUGCUUUGUGUUCUCAAAGUUUCAUCAAAUAGGAUCACUGAACUUUGUUGUAACAUGAUUGAAGUAACUUUGAUCAAUCCUUGUAUCUGCAUCUGACACGAAGAGGUCCAAUGUAUGUAUUACUGCCCUUGUCAUGUAAUAUAACCUACUCAGAAUACGUUGCUUUUCUUUUAUAGGAUUACCGAUUACCUUGGAAGGAGAGUAGUCAUCCUUUGAAAUUAGAGCAAAAUGGUUCUUUAUAAAUUUUAAUACUUGUACAACGAUAAAUAUUUAUUAUGAUUAAUUUUAGUUGCUUGGUUUUCCUUGCUAAUUCCUGUGGGGUAGGUGCUUGGAAUUUUUCAGUAGUGGCCUUCUUUUGCAGGUCAAUUGCAGGGAGUUGAAGAGAGCUGAUCAUGUUGCUUUUCCUCUUAAAGGAUCCAAAAUGAAAGACGAAGCAAAUGAAAGUGUGCGCACAGUUUUACAACAGGCCCGAAAGCCGACACCCAAGCAGCAACAAGAAAGCACAUAUGCAUUUGGAAUUCCGGAGGCUGUUGUAGCUUGUUACAUGCAUUCGGCCUUCUUGAAAGGCUUGAAAUAUGCCAAUGCUUCUUUUACUGCUCGUCUUUCGCCUGUAUAACAAAUCUGUUUUCAUUGAUCAAGUGUUUCAACCAUAUGUUGCUGAUCAAUUGCCUGUUCGCCCCCAUUAUUAUUAUUAUUAUUAUUAUUAUUAUUAUUAUUAUACUAUCAUUUUUUUUUUCUCAAUAUUAUUUUUUAUACACAUCCUUAAAAAUAUUUAAUUGUACACAAAUUAUUUUUAUUAUAAUAUAAUUUUUUUUUUCAAACUAUUGUAUUUUUUUUUCUAAAUUAAAUUUCUUAUUUCUCAAUAAAAUAAAUCUUUCAAUAGUAAUAAUCAUACAUCAACAUUUUUACAAAUAUAAUUACUUUUCAAAAAUCAAAAUUAUUAAUUCCAAUGGUAGGUAAGACAAACUUAACUUUCUUGAAAAAUUCUAUAUAAUAAAACUAAUGACACAAAUUCAAUUCAUUUGUUUGACCAUUGAAAUUCUUUGACACGUGUUAUUAAUUUUGCAUUUUUUUGCCCUUUCAACCCUCACUUUGUUAGAAAAGUUUUCACAUUCAUGGUUUCCAUAUAGGAUAUUACAUGACAUUUCAGUUUUCCUUGCUUAGGCAUGUAUGGAGUUGUCAUGUCUCAUUCUACAUCAAAGGAUGCUAGUUACGAAUACAUCAUGCUGAAGGAGAAAUGAAGAUAACUUACAAUUACAACUGUGAGGACACCAUGCAUUUGGAGACAUUCUAGGUAGAGCUUUUAAAUGAUUAAAAACAAGAAAAAUCUCUAUGCUUGAAAUAUUCAAAUCAAAAUCAACAAUAAAUUGAAUGCAUUCCAAAUUUGAGUUAUAGGAUGCAUAUGUUCUUCACUAUUUAAGUUUAAUUAUAAUUUAUUCUAAAUAUGAGUUUCUAAAACUAAGUGUUUAGCUAAUCUUAAAAAAAAAAUGAAAUCAAGUUUUAGGCAUUAAGGUUCGGAUUUCCAAACUCAAAGUUGUAAAAUGACUAAUAUUUAAGAUGAAUUAUAUUGAGAAGUGCCUCAAAUUCCUAGUUGUCAUAUAUUCCUUGUUGUGAAAAGAAUAUUAUGUAGAAUAUUUUCUAAAUUCAUAUAUGGUUGUAAUAAAUUCUUUAUAGAAUAAAGAAACCUAGUAGGAAUAUCUCUCUAAAUAUUUUAGGUCAUGAGGAGGAAAAAAGUUAUGAUAUGAGAUGGAGAUAGAGAUGAGAGGAAGAGUGAGAGACACCUAAUGAAGUAAGAGUGCUCACGGCUUAAAUUAUAGAUACAAAGACUGGAAAAUGAUGGAUGUUUAGUAACCUAGUCGUUGCAUCUGUUUUUACUAUUUAUAAUAUCUUUUUUUUAUUGUAUGGUGGAAUGUUAUCUCUCAUUUAUAGGUGUAGAUAUGGUUGAUCGAAUCAUACUAAAACUUUGUGUACCUUUAUACAUGAAUUAUCUUUAUUUUUGUGUUCUUUCAUUCGUGUAUUUUCAUUCAGACUUCCACCAGCCCAAUAAAUGAUAUAAGAGUUUUUGUUGACGUAACAAACUCAACAUUACCCUUUCAGGAUGAAGUGAAAAGACCUUUUAAAGGAUUUGUAUUUUAUCAUAAAAUAGAAAAGAAAAGAAAGAAGCACAACAGAAUUUCGACCCCUUUGAACCCCUUGGCACAUAUCUUAAAGUAAUUAAGAAGGGGGAGGAAGAUGGCUUACCAAUAAGUGUCCAUGAGGGCUUGAAUGAACAACUAAAAUAGAGAGAUGGUGGAAUAUAAAGAGGACUUUUCUAGCAAGUGCACCUGGCAAUGGAGCUUAAAGCUUGAGAUCAGUACUGGAUGCUCUCAAUCUUUUAGGGUGUGGUUCCUGAUCAUCUGCUUGGUUUACCCCGGCAUCAUCAUGGCCUUUUUGAUGAUCCAACAACAUAGGCACAUUGUCAUGUAGAUAAUCAUGGGUGUAUAUCAGCUGAACUCCGCACCUCCUGAUAUUGAUAUGAGUAGCCCGAGGACCAUACCUAGCAACAAAAUCAGCCAGAAAGUGCCAUGGUUGUUUGCGGUGGUACUUACUUGGAAUAGCAUUCUUAUGAUAGAGAGUCACCAACAAUCGAUCUAAUGCAUCACAAUUACCGUAGCAUGAACGCAGCAACCAAAUGACGCGGUCAUCCACAACUUCAUCCGGAUCACCGCGCAAUCUCAGACUAAAUUGAGAUUCACGCAGAAAAUCAUUCUCGUGACGAAAAAGAGUGAAGAAAGCAAAUCCCAGAAAGUGGUCAUCCUCGUACCAAUUCAGAGGAGGUUCUAUUCUUACUUGGCUUCCAAUCUCCUGAUGCAAUACCCACCCUGGAAUUCCACCAUUUCCUAGGAUAAGAAUCAUCUUGCCUUCCUUGCAAUUCAAGUGCUGCAUAUACAAUCAAAGCUAAUAUGUAAUUGGAGUACUACUGGGUGGAUGAAAAGUUUUAAGUGUCGUAAUUAAACAAAAAUCGUACCUCAUUACUUGUUGGAUUGAACCAUUUGAGGAGGGAAGACCAGAGUAGAGAUGAUGGACUUGAUAACAUUUCCAGCUUCGUGCAAUGGUGGGCAUCUAUUUCUCGCAGACUCGAUGGAAGCUCUGGAAUGUCUUGGAGCAUCUUGCAGUGACUGAUAUCAAGGUAACGAAGCUUACGAAGUUGAGAGAUGCCAGAAGGUAUGCUAACCAUUAGAUUGCAGUUACUCAAAUCUAGUCGUUCUAAGGAGCAGAAGCCUUCCGGAUUCUUGGGAAACUUCUCCAAGUUUGAACAACAACCUUGUAGUGUCAGAUCUUUAAGGGAUCUCAAAUUAUAAAUGUUGUCUGGAAGAGUCACAAGGCAAUUGCUCAUAUCCAAACGCCAGAGGCUUUUCAGAUUUUGUGAUGAUGGUAGCUCUUUUAUACCAGUUCCUCUUAAAUCAAGAACUCCUAAGUAUUUCAUAUCCUCCGUGAUUUCUGGAAAAGUAUCUAGAUUUGAACAACCAGAGAGCUUGAUGUGAUGAAGGGACUUUAACCUGCAAAUGCUAUUUGGAAGACUCCUCAAGUUUUUGCAGUCUGACAUAAAUAACGCCUUAAGUCCAGUGAGAUGUUCUAUUGAGGAGGGUAAUUCCUUAAUACCACAUCCAUGAAGGCGAAGACAAUAUAAAGCUUUCAUACGACUUCUCUCCAUCUCUGGAAAUUCCUCCAAGUUUGAGCAUAAACUCAAGUUCAUAAUUUUAAGAGAGUCCAAGAGUUGAAUGCUUCUUGGUAAACUCUUAAGGUUUUUGCACCCACCCAAAUUCAACACGGUAAGUUUCUUGAGAUCUCCAAUAGAUGGAUCAACAACAUUCAAACUCGUACAAUGUGCAAGUUCUAACUUCUCUAGAUUUGGCAUAUUUGAGAAGUUCGAUAUUUCAGUGAGUUGCUUUGAUCCUAUUAAAUUUAAGAUUUUCAACCGUUCCAAAUGCUGUGACAAAAGGAAUUUUGGUUUAGUAAAUGAAUUUUUGCGAACAAAAAAUUGAUUUCAAACAAAAUAAUAUGAUCAUGAAAUACUAAUUAUACCUCAUUUCUGUGCCUAAGUUGUUUUAUGUUGCUAUCCUUCAUGUUGAGUUCAACAAGGUUCUCUCCAAGAGAAUUGGGCGGCAAUGAUUUCAAAGGGUAUCCUUCCCAAUGAAGAUAUCUCAACUCAUGUGCAGGGAAUUGAAAAUCUUUAGGAAGAAUAACUUUCAAUUGCUUUUCCAUAGUACCACAAUAACCGCUUGAAUAAAUCUUGAGCAAUCUAAGUUGUUUCAUCUUUGCAAAAGUCUUUUUACUAACUUGUAGUGGUGUCGAUCUCGACAAGUCCAAGAAUAUUGCCUCAACAUUUUUCAUCCCCUACAGACAAUAACAAAGGAUUAGGCAAGCAUAAAAGAGAUAAAACUAGCUAAAAUUGUAUGGAUAAGUAACUUAGACAAAAAUGAUAUUGCUCAAAUUUAAAUAUUUUUAUGAAGCUUAAGAAAGUUCAUGAGUUUGAUGGUUACCCCCAUUCUAAAUGCACGACACACAUCACUCGGAUCCCACAAUCUGCUCCAUUUUGUAGGAUCACCAGGAGAUUCACUACGAAUAAUGUUCCAUCCCAUUUCUUGUAUCAAAUCAUGCAUAAGUAUCUUAUUUUUAGAAAGAGAUAUAAGACACUUAUCACAGAGGCCUUUUAUUCCUCUCUCUGCAUACAAAUUACAACCGUCCAAUAUUCUUGAAACAAAGUCUUUGUCUUCCCCUUUAAAACAACAUGCAAUAUCAAGAAAUAUUUUCUUCUGUGUAUAAUCUAAUCCGUUAAAGCUUACUUUAAGCACAUUUUGAAUUUUCACUUCAGGUUCUCUUUCCAAUUUACACAAUUCACUUUCCCAUUGGAGUAUUGUCUUGUUAAACAAGAGAGAACCGAGGACUUUUAGAGCUAAAGGAAGGCCAUGACAAUAAUAGACUACACGAUCCGAGAGGUGGAAAGUCUUGUUUAUGAAGAUUUUGUCUAAAAGCAAAGAGACUUAAAAGCUCACGAGCUUGUUCAAAAUUUAAUUCCUCAACCUCAUAUACGUCAUCCAUUUCUUGUAACAAAUGUUUACUUCUAGUUGUUAUGAUGACUCUGCUUCCUCUUCCAAGCCAAUCACGAUUUCUGAGUAAAUAUUCUAAUUGAUCUGAAUCAUCAAUGUCAUCAAGAACAAUAAAAACUCUUUUAAAUCGGAGAACAUUUUUUAUCAUAUUGGCUCCUUGGCCAACAUUGCUUACAUUUUGAUUUCUCUCCACUUGUAGUAGAUCACAAAGAAGUUGAUUUUGUAAAUGAUGCAAACCCAUAGUAUUGCCAACUUCUCUAACAUUUUCGAGAAAGCUCAUAUACUCAAAUUCAUGAGAAAAUUUAUUAUAUAUAACUUUGGCGAUACUCGUCUUACCCAUUCCACCUAUUCCACAUAUACCAAUUAUACGAACAUCAUUCAAUUGAUCAACACAUAGUUGCCGAAUUAUCUCAUUUACAUGGGAAUCCAUACCAACCAAGUUGGCACCAACAUCAAACAUUCUACAAUUCAAUCUCAUGAAUAUGUUGUUGACGAUUUUCUUAAUAUGCUCAGACUCAUACCUGCCAAUUGUAAAGUACAGGUGAUGAUUAAUUAGGCUAUAGCUGAUUAAAAAACAAAUACAUGUUAAGCUUCUUCAUGAAAAAUGAGUUAUAGUAAAAAAAAUUAUAUCAAAAGUAUUAAGUUUUAGAACUCAAAUUACAUUUUUAGGACAUUUUUAUUGUAUCAAGUAUACAAGACAAUGAAAAUAAAAUAUGUAUUGAGACAUUGUCAAAUUGAUUUUCUUUUUGGGAACAUUUAUAGGCUGCUAAGCAUGGAGCAAAUUUAUAUCAAACAAAAUCAUAUUGUAAUGACCCACUCUCUUGUGCAUAUAUAGAUAUCAUUUGCAGCUCUCUCUCUCUCUCUAUGUUAUAUGUAACAUUAUAAUUACCCAAUCCCCUAUUCACAAUGGAGACACAAGGUCCUCAUCAUAUCUCAUAAUAUCAUGGGUUUGCAGGUCUUCAGUGACUUUCUUGAUAUACUUUGAUUCAUGAGUUGCAAUCAUAAAUGACCUUCAAAUCUAUUCAAGUAUUACACUGUAAUUAUAAAAAUGCCUGAUUCCUGUAGCAGUAAAUAAAACCUAACUUAUAAAAGAAAGUUGAAUGGAAAUAAAUAAAGCUUUACCCAUCCUUCACAUGCUCUCCAGAUAUAUUGGUUGCUUCUGUCAAUGCGCUCCUCCAACUUUCCACCUUCUCUUUCAUCUCUUCUGAAUCUUCUUUGUAAUUAGAAAAUGCCUCUCCAAACUUUCCUGUCUGGUUUCGUACAUGGGAUGGAUCCACAUGGUAGAAAAUCGGUACCACAGUUUGUUUCAUUUCUUUCCUGCACUUCAUGAUACUCACCAGCUCAUCUAAACACCAUCUGGAACCAGCAUAGUUUUCCGAGAAAACUAUUAGGGCAAACCUUGAUUCUUCAAUAGCUUUUAGGAGUUCAGGCGCAAUCUCUUCCCCUCUCUUAAGUGAUUCAUCAUCUCUAAAGGUAGUAAUACCUCUUCGAAACAAAUUUGCAUACAAGUGAUCAGUGAAAUUGAAUCAGGUGUCUUCACCUCUAAAACUCAAGAAAACAUCAUACUUCCAUUGUGGGAUGAAAAUAGAAAUAGAAUUUGUGGAAGCCAUAGGAAACUUUGCCAAAAUUAGAACUCAGAAGAGAUUUUGCAGAAUUGAAUGUAGAUUUUGCCAAAAUUAGAACUCAGAAGAGAUUUUGCAGAAUUGUGAAUGUAGAUUGUGCUGUUUUUUUUGCAAGAAUUUGGUGAUGAAAGACUUUGGGUCAAUGUUGUGUACAGAGGAAAAAAAAAAAGAGUGGGUAGCGUCCGGGGGCACUGAGUACGACUUUCUGAGGAGGACAGAUUUGAGUGUGAUCAGUCCACCACGUGGAGCACUACAGCUGGUCAUCGGUGACAGUGGGUUUUAAAAAGCAGCGCCCCAUAUAAAUCUCCUCCAACCGUUGCGAGUCUGUUUAAAUCCUCAUCUACUCGCUCUCUUCUUCUGCCACCUUUCUAAAUUAUUCUCAUCUCUAUUAAGUUAUGUUGGAUUUUCGUGUGAAGCAACAGGAAGGAAAAAUAAAAGUAAAAGGUCCCAUAAAAAUACGAAAAGUAUCAAAUAUAUUUAAAAUUUAUCAAAAAUUUAUAUAUUUUAAAAUUAUUUAAUCUUUAUAUAAUAAAAAAUUAAAUAAAAUAGAUUUUAAUUUAUUAACUUUAUAUGUAUUUUAUAUUUUCUUUCAUUUUUUUUUCUUCUCUCUUAUUUUGCCUUUAAUUUUUUUGAAAUCUAAUAGGGUCUUAAAAUUUUUUUUAAAGGGUUAAUUUCAUUAAUUUCUCUCAAAUUGUAGCUAAAUACAUUUAUCUACCAUAGUUUUAAAAUCUUAUUAUGUACUUUUUUAUUUUGAUUAAAAUAAAAUAUGAGUAAAAAAUAUAUAUAUAUAUAUAUAUAAAAGAGAUAUUGAAUGAAAUUUCAAAUUUAAAAAGUUAAGACAUAUUUAAUCCAAAGAGGUGAAUGAAAUUAAUUUUUUUUUUAAUUAAAAAUAUUUUGUACAUGAUAAGGAGAUCCCAAAUUAACGUAGUUGCAUAAUGAAACAGUGAGCACGCGUUGCUGCAGAUGGGAUCGCAUCUUAGUUAGGGUGAUGUCAGUGCCAGCUGGAAGGGUGGUGGUUGAAGAAUGAAUUAUUAUAGAGUGAGGGGUUCUUCUUCGGUACCUACUCUCUCUUCAUUUUAGGGUACUACCCACUUUAACCCCACUAAUAAAAUUACACGUGUAAAGUACAUAUUAUUAAAAAAUUUAUAGAAACUUAUCAAGUUGAUAAAAAUGGCUUGUUGAUAAAAAAUAAUUACAAACAUUUCAUAUAUUUUGUUAAAGAUGGCUUGUUGGUAAGAAAGAUGACUUAUUGGUAAAGUACCCAUAUUAAUUUGUUUGUUAAAAUUAAAACAACUUCAAUAUAUGUAAUAUUAAUUUUUCUAUCAUUUUUGGAGGUUUUGUUUUUUCAGUAUUUCUAUGAUGCUUGAAAUCAGGUUGUCAAUAUAUCUAUUAUAAUCGAUAUUUUCAUCCUUAGUUUUUUAUGAGUUUGGAAACAUGCGAUAUCAACCAAAUAUAAAAAAAAUUGCAUUUGAAUGUGGUUUUUUGAAUAUGCUUUCGACCUAAUAUUCAACACCAAUAAUUGGACUUUUGAGUUAUGGUUAUUCUUCUAACCUAAUGUUGAAUUUCAACAAUAAAAAACUUUGAUCAGUUGUUAGCAAUAUUUUUAGAAUCAAAUUGAGUAUUAAAUCGAAAACAUUGUUGAUUUACAGUUUAUUGGUUGGAUCGGUGGUUGAAUUAUGAUCAAACUAGUGACAUUAUAAAUAUAUAAUUUAUAUUUUAAUAAAAUUUAAAAUAAUUUAUAUAUAUAUAUAUAUAUAUAUUAUUAAAUUUUUUAAUAAUAUUUUAAUUUUUUAUGUGAAAUUAAAUGAUAAUAUAAAUAUAAAUGUAUCAAUAUAUUAAAUUUUAUUAAAUAAAAUAUGUAUAAUAUUUAAAUAUGAAAAUAUAUAUAAGAUGAAAAGAAAAUUAUAAUAUUUAAUUUAAUUAUAUAUCUAUGUAUUUUGUUAUUUUAAAAUUUUAAAAUUAUUAUAUUGAUUAAUUUAUAUUGUUUUCAUGUUUAUAAUUAAUAAUUAUUAUAAAAAUAAUAGUAGGUAAAAAUAUUUAUAUUUGUUUAAAUGUUUAAUAUGAUAAAAAAUUUAAAAACAGAUAAAUAGAUAUUUACCAAAUUAUUAAUCAAACAACUGCGUAGCAUGGUGGUGUGUCCUUCAUUUUGUUUAACCAUAAGUCACACGUUCAAUUCCCCACCAUGCAAAGCUCCUUUUAUUAUUAUCAAAGAUCCCAUAAACCACUUAUGUGGUAUCUAUAUCUGCAAACCUUGGGAAUGAGCUAACGGGGCUGGGAGUGAAAGGAUCUGGGCCAGCAGAUAGGCAUCUCUAUGCCUAAAGGUCUUCUGCCUGAAGUAAAUUUUAGAUGAGUAAAAACCCAUUUAGGUUUUGACCUUGACCGGCCCGUGAAUAACCGGACGGUCUAGUCCGGUUUCUAAAACAAUGGUUGUUAGUGUUGGAUUUCUCAUUGUCUCAUCUUAUUUUUGUGUUUACAAAUCAAUAAAGGAAAUUUUUAGCAAAAUCAAUUUUUAGUUGAAAAAUAUGUAACAUAUGAUAUGGAACACAAUUAGACUAUCAAGGAUUUGACUGGCCUGUAAAGAACCGGUCCAGUCUGGUUUUUAAAACAAUGGGUGUUAGUGUUGGAUUUCUCAUUGUCUCAUCUUAUUUUUGUGUUUACAAAUCAGUAUCUGAUAUUUGAUUAUGAAAGGAAAGGAAAUUUUUUAGCAAAAUCAAAUUUUAGUUGAAAAAUAUGUAACAUAUGAUAUGGAACACAAUUAGACUAUCAAGGGAUGUCUAUUCAUAGAUACAUUUGUCCCAAAUUAUCAAAGAUUAAUAGUUUUUUAAUCCAAUAUUUGAAAUGUAGAGUAAGUGGACAACUAAAAAGCUAGAGCUGAGUAUAAUUCUUUUGAAAGAAAGAAUUUGAGCAUUUCAUACAAUAGUCCUUUUUUCACAAGAUAAUAACAUUAGAAGAAUAUUGUGAAUUUAGUAAAAGAUGGAUAUAGUAGAACUACUAAAACAUAUAUUAUUUUAUACAAUAGUUGAAGGAAAUAUAAAAUUUUCUUGAAAGAAGGAAACAAUUAAAAUAUUUGGAAAACUCCAUAGUAAAUCAUAUAUUAUUCCAUACAAAAUUAAUUAUUUUUUCAAAAAUUCAUGGUAAAUCAAUGUUUAAUUUUUAUUUUUAUUUUUAUAAGUAUUAUGUUAAGGAGCCUAUUUAUUUUUAGAAUUUUUGUAUAUAAUUAAUUAAUGUGAUUAGUGUUAAAUUAUUGUGGAUGCAAUUUAGAAAAGCUAUAAGUCCUAAUUGUUCGACUCUUUAUAGGUUACAACUAAUUAAUUAUUUUGAAAAUUUUAUUUAAAAUUGUUCGAUUAAUAUUGUAUAAUAUAUUGUCAUGAUAUUGCAAUAUAUUAAUUAUUAAAAUAUAAUCUUAGUUUGCUUUGAUUUUGUUAAUGUAAUAAAUGGAUAGACCAUAUUAAUUCAAUGAUGUUAUUUUAAUAGUCAAAACAUAGGAAAUAUAAUCUUAAUUUAAAACAUUAAUGUACAUAUUUUUCUAAAUAAUGUAUAAUGAAAUUAUUCUUCUUAACAAUAAAUUUAUUUUUUGAUACACUUAUUUUUCUAGGAAAUGUACUUUUUUUCAAAAUGUAAUUGUUUUUUGGAAGGAUGUACUUAUUUAUAUUAUUACAAAUAAGUGAAAGUUUAUAAACAAUUUAUGGUAAAAAAAAAUUAAUGUAUAUAUAAUGUAGUUUUUUAAAGAAAAAUAAUUAAUUUUCAAAAGGAUCUGCUUAUUUAUAAGAGAUGUUUUUAUUUUUAUUUUUUAUAAUAUGCUUAUUUUUUGAAGGAUGUAUUUGUUUAUAUUGAUACAAAUAAUUAAAAGUUCACUAGUACUUUUAUGAUAAACCAUUAAUAUAUAUAUAUAUAUAUAUAUAUAUAAUUUAUUCAUUUUUCACAAGAAUGUACUUAUUUUUUUAAAGAAUAUACUUAAUUUCUAAGCAUUUGCUUAUUUUCCAAAUUAGGACAAAUGAGUCACGAUAUUGAUAUGAUGCAUUUAUUUUUUAAUAGGGUGUACUUAUUAUCCUUUAAUGUAGAAUAUACAAAAUGGUUCUUUAGAAAUUUAUAAUACUUGUACAACGAUAAAUAUUUAUUAUGAUUAAUUUUAGUUGCUUGGUUUUCCUGUGUUUCAAAAUUUUUUAUAAGAAUUCUUUUAACUGUAAUUCUAGAGCAACCUUGAAACUGAGGAUUAACAGCUCGUUGCAUUGUUCCCGUAAAAUCAUGAGUUUCCAUGAAAUUGAAAGGUUGUUUUGCUCUUAUUAUAUAACCAAUCAUUUUUUUACGACAAUAAGAUUCAUCCUAAGAAAAUGUUUUUAAAUUUCCACUUUCAUCUUUACCUAAUUGCAUAUAAUUUCUAAUAUCUACAUUAUUUUUAGUUUUACAAUUUUCAUGAUGCCUUUUUAAAUGACUUGUACUUGCAUUUGAGCCACCACUAAGAAGUUUGUUACAAAUUUUACAUUUUGCUUUUAUUUUAUUUCUAAAUUUAUUUCUAUUCUAUCAAAAAAAUUCCAUAUAUUUGAAGUAAAUUUUUUGCUAUCACAUGCAUUAAAUGAAGAACAAGAACCACUUGCCAUAAUUAUAAUUAUUGAUAAAAUAUUAUGCUAAAAAUAAUAAAUGUAAAAUUAAAAUGUAACAAAUAAAUAAAAGUAAAGGUAAAGUAUGUUACUAAAUUGGAGAACCGAAGUAGAAAUUCCUUCAAAUUUGAACUCUUUGAACCGCCAAUGCUUGUUUUUCACCACCAAUAAUAUUGAAUAAUUUGAGACAAAAUGCAAUAAUCGGAAAUAUUGUGGAAUGGGAGAGAGCUUAAGAGUUGAGAGAAUAGAAAAAAAUUGAGGGUAUUUAAUAUUUAUAGGGAUUUAAAUAUUAGGAUUUAUUUAUUUAUUUUUUUUUAAAUUUCAAGACCGUUCAACGGUCAUAAUAUUGAAUUAUGAGUGGCAGACAUGUUCAACGGUCAUGUGAUCGUUGAACAGCCAGCUCACUUUUAUUUUUUUUCAAAAAUCAUACAAUAUUUCUAAUAUAUAUAUAACUAAUGCAAAAUAGUUACACAAAAAAGGGCUACCUUAGUUGGUGGCUAGCUCCUUUAUCCCCUUCCCUUCAAAACUUAAAACUAUUUUAAUUUUUACCCAAGCCCGCCCAUCCGGCCCGCCCGGGUAGCCCGCCAGCCGGCCCGCUGGGCAGCCGGCCCGCUCAGCUUGAGGGCCCACGGGCCUUAGAUAUACCAACGGCCCGGCUCGGCCCGUUGACCAGUCAAAGAGCUCAGUGGCCAGCCCCGGGUUGGGCUAUGGGCCUUACUCCUCCGGGCCGGGAGGUUCGGCCCGGCCCGUUGGAGACCCUUAGUUUUAUAUGAUAAAAAUUUUAAAAACAAAUAAAUAGAUAUUUACCAAAUUAUUAAUCAAACAACUGCGUAGCAUAUGGUGGUGUGUCAUUCGUUUUGUUUAACCAUAAGUCACACGUUUAAUUCCCCACCAUGCAAAGUUCCUUUUAAUAUUAUCAAAGAUCCCAUAUCGGAAACCUAUAAACCACUUAUGUGGUAUCUAUAUCUGCAAACCUUGGGAAUGAGCAAACGGGGCUGGGAGUGAAGGGAUCUGGGCCAACAGAUGGGCAUCUCUACCUAUGCCUAAAGGUCUUCUGCCUGAAGUAAAUGGGCUGGGAAUGGAUGAAUCUGGGCCGCUAGAUGAGUAAAAACCCAUUUAGUAAAAGAUGGAUACAGUAAAAGGACUAAAACAUAUAUUAUUUUAUACAAUGGGUUAAGGAAAUAUAAAAUUUUCUUGAAAGAAGGAAACAAUUAAUAUAUUUGGAAAACUCCAUAGUAAAUCAUAUAUUAUUCCAUACAAAAUUAAUUAUUUUUUCAAAAAUUCAUGGUAAAUCAAUGUUUAAUUUUUUUUUUUUUAUGUAAGUAUUAUGUUAAGGAGCCUAUUUAUUUUUAGAAUUUUUGUAUAUAAUUAAUUAAUGUGAUUAGUGCUAAGUUAUUGUGGAUGCAAUUUAGGAAAGUUGUAGGCCCUAAUUGUUUGACUCUUUAUAGCUUACAACUAAUUAAUUAUUUUGAAAAUUUUUAUUUAAAAUUGUUGGAUUAAUAUUGUAUAAUAUAUAUUGUUGUGAUAUCGCAAUAUAUUAAUUAUUAAAAUAUAAUCUUAGUUUGCUUUGAUUUUGUUAAUGUAAUAAAUGGAUAGACCAUAUUAAUUUAAUGAUGUUAUUUUAAUAGUCAAAACAUAGGAAAUAUAAUCUUAAUUUAAAACAUUAAUGUACAUAUUUUUCUAAAUAAUGUAUAAUGAAAUUAUUCUUCUUAACAAUAAAUUUAUUUUCCGAUAUACUUAUUUUUCUAGGAAAUGUACUUUUUUUCAAAAUGAAAUGGGUGCUUGGAAUUUUUCAGUAGUGGCCUUCUUUUGCAGGUCAGUUGCGGGGAGUUGAAGAGAGCUGAUCAUGUUGCUUUUCCUCUUAAAGGAUCCAAAAUGAAAGACGAAGCAAAUGAAAGUGUUUCGGCUGGUCUCUCCUACUGGUCUCUCCUACAGCAUUGAAAUCAAGGAUGCUUACAUUCCACCGUGGAUAAGAUCCAGUAUAUGUGCAACCAUGGGUUCGGAAGGGAGGAGCUUUGAGGCAAGGCAUGGCAAAUUUUGGAUAUUACAUGACCUUUCAGUUUUCCUUGCUUAGACAUGUAUAGAGUUGUCAUGUCUCAUUCUACAUCAAAGGAUGCUAGUUACGAAUACAUCAUGCUGAAGAAUUAGUACACCCUGUUAAAAAAUAAGUGCAUCGAAUCAACAUCAAGGUGGGGAUCACUCUACUAAAUGGUGGCAAGCCUGGCUUCAAGAAUGGCAGUGCAGUGGUUCUCAUGGUGGUUAGAAGGGCAGCAGGGUGCUCCAGAGUCCAGCCAUGGUGGUGCUAAGUCAACAUUGAUUCUUCAGUUGUUGUAACCUGUACAUAGAAUGAUGGUUUUGGAUUGUCUCAAGAUUUACUAAGAAGAAGAAGAAGAAGAAGCAGAAGAUAAGACAUUGAAGGUACAGUAAAGAAUUUAAGCAACAACUCCAAUCCCUUUGUUAUAUAGACUUGAAGGAGAAAUGAAGAUGACUUACAAGUACGACUGUAAGGAAACCCUGCAUUUGAAGACAUCCUUCCUAGGUAGAGCUUUUAAAUGAUUAAAAACAUGAACAACUCUAUGCUUGAAAUAUGCAAAUCAAAAUCAACAAUAAAUAGAAAUAAGAAGCUGAAAAAACUGUCACGUGAUGCUAUUGUCAUUCUAGGAACAAGUUCCUCACUUUAAGACUCUUUUACUUUUAGAAUAUUCUACCAUCAACCCAUGAUCAGCCAUAUUUCCAUAAGGAUUCAUAUUAAUUUAAGAUGGAUUUAUUAUAGAACUAAAAUGAGAAUACAUUUUAAAAUGUUUAUUGGGAGUAAUUCAAUUAUAUUUCAAUAUAUUUGAAAAAUAACACUACUAAGAAAUUUAAGAUACUUUCCAUAAUUGAUGAUAAAAAUAUGAAAAUAAUUUUAGACAAAAGUUUUGAUCUAGAAAAAUCAACAAUUUUAAUUUUGUUGUUGUCUUAUAUAUAGUAGCUUAAUUUUGUUGUUGUCCUAUAUAUAGUAGCUUGAGAUAUAUACUUCACUCCGAAUGCAUUCCAAAUUUGAGUUAUAGAUGGAUAUGUUCUUCACUAUUUAAGUUUAAUCGAUAAUUUGUUCCAAAUAUGAAUUUCUGAAACUAAGUGUUUAGCUAAUCUAAAAGAAAGAAAGUCAAGUUUUAGGCAUUAGGGUUCGGAUUUCCAACCUCAAUAAAGUUAUAAAAUGGCUAAUAUUUAAGGUGAACCAUGUUGAGAAUUAAGUGUCUCAAAUUCCUAAUUUUUAUGUAUUCUUUUUUGUAGAAAUGAUAUUAUAUAGAGAAUUUUCAAAGUUCAUAUGUGAUUGUAAUUAGAUUCUUUAUAGAAUAAAAAACUUAGUAAGAAUAUCUCUCUAAAUAUUCUAAAUCAUAAGAGGAAAAAUGUUAUGAUAUAAGAUAGAGAUAGAGAUAAGAAGAAGAGUAAGAGAUAUUUGAUGGAGUAAGAAUGCUUACAACUGAAGUUGAAGACAUAAAGACUAGGAAAACAAUGAAUGUUUAGGGACCCAAAAGUUGCUUAUGUUUUGUUAUCUGUAAUAUUUUUUUUAUUAUAUAGUGAAAUGUUAUCUCUCAUUUGUAGGUGUAGACAUACAUGUUGACUAAACCAUGCAUUUUAAAACUUUGACACCUUUAUAUGUGGAUUAUCUUUACUUUAUGCGUUCUUUCAUUCAUAUAUUUACAUUGAAACUUUUGCUAGCCUAAUAAAUGGUAUUAGAGCUUUUGUUGGCCUAACAAACUUAACGUUGUCCUUUCAAGAUGUAGUGAAAAGGCCUUUUAAAAGAUUUGUAUUUUAUCAUAAAAUAGAAAAGAAAGAAAAGAAACAUUAGAGAAUUUCGACUCCUAACCACUUGGCAAUAUCCUUAUCUUAUAUUGAAGAUAAAUAACUAGUCCAAAUUUUAUGGUGUUAUAUAGUCCACACAUAGAUUAAAGUAAUUAAGGAGGAAGAUGGCUUACCAGUAAGUUUCCAUGAGGGCUUGAAUGAACAAAUAAAAUAGAGAGAUGGUGGAAUAUAAGGACUUAGCUAGCAAGCGCACCUGGCAGUGGAGCUUAAAGCUUGAGAUCAGUGCUGGAUGCUCUCAAUCUUUUACGGCAUGGUUCCCGAUCAUCUGCUUGGUUUUUCCCGGCAUCAUCAUGGCCUCUUUGAUGAUCCAACAACAUCGGCACACUGCUGUUUAGAGAAUCACGGGUGUACAUCAUCUGAACUCCGCACCUCUUGAUAUUGGGAUGAGUAACCUCACCAUUAAUCCGGGUAGAAAAAUCAAACGCAGCCAGAAAGUGCCAUGGUUGAUUGCGGUGGUACUUAUUUGGAAUAGCAUUCUUAGGAUAGAGAGUCACCCACAAUUCAUCUGAUACAUCACCAUUAAUCUCGUGACAUUUACACAAAGAAUCCAUGGAGAGGUGAUCCACAACUUCAUCCGAAUCACCGUGCAAUGUCAGAUCAAAAUAAUAUGGAACCUCAAAAUGAUUCCCUUUAUGAUAAAGAAAGAAGAAAGCCAAUCCCAGAAAGUGGUCAUUCUCGUACCAAUUCAAAGGAAGCUCUAUUCUUACUUGGCUUCCAAUCUCCUGAUGCAACACCCACCCUGGAAUUCCACCGUUUCCCGGAAUAAUAAUUACCUUGCCUUUCUUCCAAUUCCGAUUCAUGUACUGCAUAUACAAUCAAAGCUAAUAUGUAAUUGGAGUACUACUAGGUGGAUGAAAAGUUUUAAGUGUCGUUAUUAAAUAAAAAUCAUACCUCAUUACUUGUUGGAUUGAACCGUUUGAACCAUUUGAGGAAAGGACAGAGUAGAGAUGAUGGACUUGAUAACAUUUCCAGCUUCGUGCAGCCGUGGGCAUCUAUUUGUGGUAGACUUGAUGAAAGCUCUGGAAUUUCUUGGAGCAUCUUGCAGUGACUGAUAUCAAGGAGACGAAGUCUACAAAGUUGAGUGAUGCCAGAUGGUAUGCUAACCAUAUGGUUUCCACUUAGAUUUAAUGUACACAAGGAAUAUAGACCCCAGAUAUCAGUGGGUAUCGACCCUUCCAUUAGAUUGCAGUGACUCAAAUCUAGUUCUACUAAGGUGCAUAAGCCUUCCAGAUUCUUGGGAAACUUCUCCAAGUUUGAACAACCAGGGAGUAUCAAUCGUCUAAGACAUCUCAAAUCAUUAAUGCUGUCUGGAAUAGUCACAAGGUUCUUGCAAUUGCUCAAAUACAACAUUUGGAGGCUUUUCAGAUUUUGAAUUGAUGAUGGCAGUUCUUUUAUAGCUGUUCCUUCCAAACCAAGCACCUCUAAGUAUUUCAUACCCUCCAUGAUUUCGGGAAAGUUCCGUAGGCUUGAGCACCCAUUGAGAAAGAGUCGGCGAAAAGAUUUAAACCUACGAAUGCUGCUUAGAAGACUCCUCAAGUUCUUGCAAUCACUCAAAAACAAUGAAUUAAUAUUAAGAAGAUGUUCCAUUGAUGAUGGUAGCUCUUUUAUACCUGUUCUUAAAUCAAGAAAUUCUUUCAUAUCCUCCAUGAUUUCUGGAAAAGCAUCUAGAUUUGAACAAACAAAGAGUUGGAGGUCUUCAAGGGACUUUAACCUGCAAAUGCUACUUGGAAGACUCCUCAAGUUUUUGCAGUGUUUCAUAUACAACUCCUUAAGUCCAGUGAGAUAUUCUAUUGCGGAGGGUAAUUCCUUAAUAGCAGAUCCAUCAAAGUGAAGAUAAGUUAAAGCUUCCAUAGAACUCUCCUCUAUCUCCAGAAAUUUCUCCAAGUUUGAGCAAUUAUUCAAGUAAAUGGUUUCAAGAGAGUCCAAGUAUUGAAUGCUACUUGGUAAGCUCGUAAGGUUUUCACACCCACUCAAACUCAACAAAGUUAGCUUCUUGAGAACUCCAAUAGAUGGAUCAACGAUAUUCAAACUUGUACAAUAUCCAAGUUCUAACUCCUCUAGAUUUGGCAUAUUUGAAAAGUUUGAUAUUUCAGUGAGCUGCUUUGAUCCUAGUAAAUUUAAGAACUUUAACUUUCCCAAACACUGUGACAAAAGGAAUUUUGAUUUAGUACAAAAUGAAUUUUCAUGAACAAAAAAUUAAUCUCAAACAAAAUAAUAUGAUGAAAUACUAAUUAUACCUUAUUUCCUUGCCAAAGUUGUUUUAUGUUGCUAUCCAUCAUGUUGAGUACAACAAGGUUCUCUCCAUGAAAAUUUGACGGCAAUGAUUUCAAAGGGUAUCCUUUCCAAUGAAGAUAUCUCAACUCUUGUGAAGGAAAUUGAAAAUCUUCAGGAAGAAUAAUUUUAUACUCCUUUUUCAUGAAACCACAACAAUCCAUCCCAUAAAUCUUGAGCAAUCUAAGUCGUUUCAUCUUUGCAAAAACCUUUGUACUAAAUUGUAGUUGUUUUGAUCUAGACAAGUUUAAGAAUAUGGCCUCAACAUUUUUCAUCCCCUACAAACAAUAACACAGGAUUAGGCAAACAUAAAAAAGAUAAAGCUAUCUAAAAUUGUAUGGAUAUGUAACUUAGACAAAAAUGAUAUUGCUCACAUUUACGUAUUUUAAUGAAGCUUAAGAAAGUUCAUGAGUUUGAUGGUUACCUUCUUCAUUGUAAAUGCACGAUACACAUCACUCGGAUCCCACAAUCUGCUCCAUUUUCCAGGAUUAUCAGGAAAUUCACUACGAAUAAUGUUCCAUCCCAUUUCUUGUACCAAAUCAUGCAUAAGUAUCUUAUUUUCAGAAAGAGAUAUAAGACACUUAUCAUAGAGGACUUUUAUUCCUAUCUNNNNNNNNNNNNNNNNNNNNNNNNNNNNNNNNNNNNNNNNNNNNNNNNNNNNNNNNNNNNNNNNNNNNNNNNNNNNNNNNNNNNNNNNNNNNNNNNNNNNNNNNNNNNNNNNNNNNNNNNNNNNNNNNNNNNNNNNNNNNNNNNNNNNNNNNNNNNNNNNNNNNNNNNNNNNNNNNNNNNNNNNNNNNNNNNNNNNNNNNNNNNNNNNNNNNNNNNNNNNNNNNNNNNNNNNNNNNNNNNNNNNNNNNNNNNNNNNNNNNNNNNNNNNNNNNNNNNNNNNNNNNNNNNNNNNNNNNNNNNNNNNNNNNNNNNNNNNNNNNNNNNNNNNNNNNNNNNNNNNNNNNNNNNNNNNNNNNNNNNNNNNNNNNNNNNNNNNNNNNNNNNNNNNNNNNNNNNNNNNNNNNNNNNNNNNNNNNNNNNNNNNNNNNNNNNNNNNNNNNNNNNNNNNNNNNNNNNNNNNNNNNNNNNNNNNNNNNNNNNNNNNNNNNNNNNNNNNNNNNNNNNNNNNNNNNNNNNNNNNNNNNNNNNNNNNNNNNNNNNNNNNNNNNNNNNNNNNNNNNNNNNNNNNNNNNNNNNNNNNNNNNNNNNNNNNNNNNNNNNNNNNNNNNNNNNNNNNNNNNNNNNNNNNNNNNNNNNNNNNNNNNNNNNNNNNNNNNNNNNNNNNNNNNNNNNNNNNNNNNNNNNNNNNNNNNNNNNNNNNNNNNNNNNNNNNNNNNNNNNNNNNNNNNNNNNNNNNNNNNNNNNNNNNNNNNNNNNNNAUGGAGCAUCUUACUUAGGGUGAUGUCAGUGGCAGCUGGAAGGGUGGUGGUUGAAGAAUGGAUUAUUAUAGAGUGAGACUUGUAGGAAUGGUGAAUGGGAACAAAAUUUGUUGUCUACUUCAAUUUGCUAUACCUUUGUUUAUCUUAUUCAUAUUUUAUGUGAUUUUUCUCCACUCACACCUCACCAUGCGUUCAAACAUACGACUCUUGAGGAUGCUAUGGGAUUUCUCAAAUGACGGGCACUUCCUUAAAUUUACAAAAUAACAUAUGACUCCCUAAUUCUCUGGGCACUUGCCUCAUAAAUAUGGCAAUGUUUCCUCUUCCAUGUUCAUUUUUAAAGCUAACUAGAAAAAUAACAUAACUUGCUAGGGAAGGGGCUUGGAACCAGAGACAUUGAGCAAGGGAUGACAGCCUCUUACCACCAAACUACUUGGGUAUUAUAAAACCACAUAAAUUCUAUUAUAUCUUUUAUAUUUUAUAAAUUAUAAAUUAAUUCAAAUCAAAUUAUUUUAAAUUAAUUAUUUUAUUAUUUAUGUUAUAAAAUAAUUAAAUAUAAGGCAAAUAUUAAUUUUUAAAUAAAAUUAUUGAUAUUUUUAAAUAAAAAAAACUUACAUAUAUUAUUAUUUAUUUUAUAUCCUUCAAUAUAUAUUAAUUUGUUUGUUAAAAUUAAAACAACUUCAAUAUAUAUAUUAUUAAUUUUUCUAUCAUUUUUGGAGGUUUUUUUUUUUUUUUUUUAAUAUUUCUAUGAUACUUGAAAUCAGGUUGUCAAUAUAUUUGUUAUAAUCGAUAUUUUCAUCCUUAGUUUUUGAUGAGUUCACAAACAUACGAUAUCAACCUAAUAUAAAAAAAAAAUUGCAUUUGAAUGUGGUUUUGUGACUAUGCUUCGGACCUGAUAUUCAACAUCAAUAAUUGGACUUUUGGGUUAUGAUUAUUCUUUUAACCUAAUGUUGAAUUUCAACAACAAAAAACUUUGAUAAGUUGUUAGUAAUAUUUUUUUAAUCAAAUCGAACAUUAAACCAAAAACAUUAUUGGUUUACAGUUCAUUGGUUGGAUUGGUGGUCAAAACUAUAAUCAAACUAAUGACAUCAUAAAUAUAUAAUUUAUAUUUUAAUAAAAUUUAAAAUAAUUAUAAUAAAUUAAUAUAUAUAUAUAUAUAUAUAUAUAUAUUAUUAAAAUUUUUAAUAAUAAUUUAUUUUUUAUGUGAAAUUAAAUGAUAAAUAUAAAUAUAAAUGUACCAAUAUAUUAAAAUUUAUUAAAUAGAAUAUGUAUAAUAUUUAAAUAUGAAAGUAUAUAUAAGAUGAAAAGAAAAUUAUAAUAUUUAAUUUAAUUAUAUAUCUAUGUAUUUUGUUAUUUUAAAAUUUUAAAAUUAUUAUAUUGAUUAAUUUAUAUUGUUUGAAUGUUUAUAAUUAAUAAUUAUUAUAAAAAUAAUAGUAGAUAAAAAUAUUUAUAUUUGUUUAAAUGUUUUAUAUGAUAAAAAUUUUAAGAACAGAUAAAUAGAUAUUUACCAAAUUAUUAAUCAAACAACUGCGUAGCAUGGUGCUGUGUCCUUCAUUUUGUUUAACCAUAAGUCACACGUUCAAUUCCCCACCAUGCAAAGCUCCUUUUAUUAUUAUCAAAGAUCCCAUAUCGGAAACCUAUAAACCACUUAUGUGGUAUCUAUAUCUGCAAACCUUGGGAAUGAGCUAACGGGGCUGGGAGUGAAGGGAUCUGGGCCAGCAGAUGGGCAUCUCUACCUAUGCCUAAAGGUCUUCUGCCUGAAGUAAAUGGGAUGGGAAUGGAUGAAUCUGGCCUGGUAGAUAAGUAAAAACCCACUUAGGUUUUGACCUUGACCGGCCCGUGAAUAACCGAACGGUCCAGUCCGGUUUUUAAAACAAUGGUUGUUAGUGUUGGAUUUCUCAUUGUCUCAUCUUAUUUUUGUGUUUACAAAUCAAUAAAGGAAAUUUUUUAGCAAAAUCAAUUUUUAGUUGAAAAAUAUGUAACAUAUGAUAUGGAACACAAUUAGAUUAUCAAGGAUUUGAUCGGCCCGUAAAAAAUCGAUCCAGUCUAAUUUUUAAAACAAUGGGUGUUAGUGUUGGAUUUCACAUUGUCUCAUCUUAUUUUUGUGUUUACAAAUCAGUAUCUAAUAUUUGAUUAUGAAAGGAAAGGAAAUUUUUUAGCAAAAUCAAUUUUUAGUUGAAAAAUAUGUAACAUAUGAUAUGGAACACAAUUAGACUAUCAAGGGAUGUCUAUUCAUAGAUACAUUUGUCCCAAAUUAUCAAAGAUUAAUAGUUUUUUAAUCCAAUAUUUGAAAUGUAGGGUAAGUAGACAACUAAAAAGCUCGAGUUGAGUAUAAUUCUUUUGAAAGAAAGAAUUUGAGCAUUUCAUACAAUAGUCCUUUUUUCACAAGACAAUAACAUUAGAAGAAUAUUGUGAAUUUAGUAAAAGAUGGAUAUAGUAAAACUACUAAAAUAUAUAUUAUUUUAUACAAUGGUUGAAGGAAAAAUAAAAUUUUCUUGAAAGAAGGAAACAAUUAAAAUAUUUGGAAAACUCCUUAGUAAAUCACAUAUUAUUCCAUACAAAAUUAAUUAUUUUUUCAAAAAUUCAUGGUAAAUUUUCUGUAAUCAAACAUAGUGUUAAUUUUUUUGUUAAAGGGUUAAUUUCAUUAAUUUCCAUCAAAUUGUAGCUAAAUAUAUUUAUCUCUUAUAGUUUUGAAAUUUCAGUAAUUUCUUAUUUUGGUUAAAAGAAAAGAUGAGUAAAAAUAAAAAUAAAAAAAAUUAUAAAAGAGAUAUUAAAUGAAAUUUUAAAUUUAGAAAAGUUAAAGAUAUUUAGACAAAGGAGGUGAAUGAAAUUAAUUUUUUUUNNNNNNNNNNNNNNNNNNNNNNNNNNNNNNNNNNNNNNNNNNNNNNNNNNNNNNNNNNNNNNNNNNNNNNNNNNNNNNNNNNNNNNNNNNNNNNNNNNNNNNNNNNNNNNNNNNNNNNNNNNNNNNNNNNNNNNNNNNNNNNNNNNNNNNNNNNNNNNNNNNNNNNNNNNNNNNNNNNNNNNNNNNNNNNNNNNNNNNNNNNNNNNNNNNNNNNNNNNNNNNNNNNNNNNNNNNNNNNNNNNNNNNNNNNNNNNNNNNNNNNNNNNNNNNNNNNNNNNNNNNNNNNNNNNNNNNNNNNNNNNNNNNNNNNNNNNNNNNNNNNNNNNNNNNNNNNNNNNNNNNNNNNNNNNNNNNNNNNNNNNNNNNNNNNNNNNNNNNNNNNNNNNNNNNNNNNNNNNNNNNNNNNNNNNNNNNNNNNNNNNNNNNNNNNNNNNNNNNNNNNNNNNNNNNNNNNNNNNNNNNNNNNNNNNNNNNNNNNNNNNNNNNNNNNNNNNNNNNNNNNNNNNNNNNNNNNNNNNNNNNNNNNNNNNNNNNNNNNNNNNNNNNNNNNNNNNNNNNNNNNNNNNNNNNNNNNNNNNNNNNNNNNNNNNNNNNNNNNNNNNNNNNNNNNNNNNNNNNNNNNNNNNNNNNNNNNNNNNNNNNNNNNNNNNNNNNNNNNNNNNNNNNNNNNNNNNNNNNNNNNNNNNNNNNNNNNNNNNNNNNNNNNNNNNNNNNNNNNNNNNNNNNNNNNNNNNNNNNNNNNNNNNNNNNNNNNNNNNNNNNNNNNNNNNNNNNNNNNNNNNNNNNNNNNNNNNNNNNNNNNNNNNNNNNNNNNNNNNNAUGACCUAUGAUACAUGCCCUCUUUUUUCUAUUCCUUUUUAGUUUUAAUUUCUCAUUCUUGUACUGCGUCCAACCAUUCUCCUUUUUCUUUUUCUUUUUAAUUCUUCAUCAUCACUUCCACACCACUUUCGGCUUCUUUUAUUAUUAUUAUUAUUACAAUUUUUCCGUAUUAUUUUUAUACAUAUCCUUUAAAAUAUUUAAUUCUCUACAAAUUAUUUUUAUUAUAAAAUAUAUAUUUUUUCCAAACUAUCAUUUAAAAAAAAUUAAAUUUAUUAUUUCUGAAUAAAAUAUAUCUCCUAAUAAUACUAAUCAUAUAUUUACAUUUUUUUCAAACUUAAUUAAUUUUCAACAAAUCAAGAUUAUUAAUUCUAAUAGUAGUUAAUACUUAACUUUCUAAAAAAAUUUAUUUAGUAAAGCUGAUAUGAUAUGACGCAAAUUUAACUCAUUCGACCAUUAGAAUUCUUUGAAUUUUUCUAAUUCUUUGGCCCGUGUUCUACAGUUUUUACUUUUCAAUCAUAACUUGUUAGAAAAGUUUGAGCGUGAUUCAGUCCACCACGCGGAGUGCUACAGCUGGUCGUCGGUCAGUCCAGUUGUCACCGACAAUGGGUGUUAAAAGGCCCCGUCUUUUCCUCUUCCUGCCCCAUAAAAAUCUCUCCCUCUUCCUCCCUCCAACCAUUGCGAGCCUGCCUAAAUCUCACUUACUCGCUCUAUUCUUCUGCCACCUCUUUAAAUUUUUCUCAUCUUUUAGGCUAUGACUGGUUGUCAGAAAGUGUUAAAGAAAAGAAAAGAAAAGAAUUUAAAAAAUGGUUUUCUCUUUGAUUUAUUUAUAAAAAAUAUAAAACAAAAUAAAAUAUAAUUAAAAUUUAUCAAAAAUAUAUAUUUUAAAAUUAUUUAAUUUUUAUAUAAUGAAGGAAAAUAAAUGAAAUAAAUUUAAAGAAACAUAUAAAAAUAACUUAUUGAUUUUAAACGUGUUUUUAAAUUUUCUUCUCUUUUUUUUCUUUAUAUUUUCUUUCCCUCUUAUUUUUCCUUAAAUAUUUUAAAACCAGACAUAGCCUUAAACUUUUUUUUUGAGGGGCUAAUUUUAUUCGUCUCUUUCAAGAUUUUGGCUAAAUAUAUUUAGUUUCUAUUGAUUUGAAAUUUCAACAAUUUAGCAUAUACCUUUUUUAUUUUGAGUGAGAAAUGAGAUAAGUAAAAAUGAAAAAUGAAAAAUGAAAAUGAUAAGAGAGGUAUUUAAUGAAAUUUUAAAUUUAUGAAGAUUGGAUGUAUUCAACCGAAACCUUAGAAAAUGUGAAUCAAAUUAAACUUUAUUUGAGUAAAAAUGUUUUAUACAUGUGAUUCACGUGAUGUCAAAUAAAUAUACUUGCAUUAUGAGACUUUUUUGUUAUCAUUUAUUUUUAAAAACUAGAAAAGUUAUUAAAAUAAUUUCAUGACACAAAGAUAAAUAUUUAUUUAUUUAUUUUAACAUUUUAUGAUUGUGAAUUUGUGAUAUUAUUGAAAAAUAUUUCUACAUUUUUCUUACCACGAAAAAAAAUCAAUUAUUAGAACAGUCUAAAUUUCUAAGUAUUUUAAGGACUAAAUUGGCACCAUCAAAGCAUAAUUAAAUGAAGGAGUUGAACAAAUUAGAAAAAUAUCAAAAAAGACACUUAAAAAAUAUAUUGCUAUUAGAAUUUAGAAAUUAAUUAUCAUUGGAAUUAAAAAACACAUUUAAUAUGAAAAAAAUUUCCAAUAUAUGAAACAAUGGCAAAAGAGAGUGAGCGCUCUGUUGUAGAUGGGGUUACGGAGUGUUGAAGUAGAGAGAUGAUUAUUGAGAAAUAAUGACUUGACUUUUCCAUUGAUUAAGAAUGAAUAUAUAUACAUAAAACCUAAAACACAAAAAUCAGAAACAAUCUACCCAAAACACCAAAAAUAAGAAACAAUCCUAGAAUUAGGGGAUUACAAAAAUAGGAAACAAUCAUGGAAUUAGGGAAUUACAAAAAAAAUAGGAAAUUACAACUAAUUACAAGAAUUUGAAAAUAGAAAGAAAAUCUAUUGUAAUGAAUUCUCUAAUAUGCCCCCUCAAGAUGGAGCUCCGGAGGAGACGCCAAUCUUGACCCAUAAUUCUUGGAAGCGGCUUCGUGGAAGCGGUUUAGUAAACGUCGGCAAGUUGAUAUGCUGAGGAAACAUGAGUAACAUGAAGAGCACUUGAUUGAACUUGAUCCUGAAUAAAGUGAUAGUCAGUUGCCACAUGUUUUAUGCGCGAAUGAAAGACUGGAUUAGAACAGAGAUAGUUGGCACCAAAAUUGUCACAAUAGAUAACAGGCGGUAUAGGAAGAGUGACGUCAAGCUCUAUGAGAAGGGAACAAAUCCAAUUGAUUGCUGAAGUAGUAGCAACAACUAAUCGAUACUCAACCUUUGUGGAUGACCAAGCAAUUGUACACUGUUUCUUGGAUGACUAAGAAAUUGGAUGACGACCAAGAUAGACAAUAUAGACAUUCAUAGAGGUAUAGUCGUUUUUGUUGCCAGCCCAAUCUACAUUUGAGAAGGCAUGAAGAGAAAGUGUAUUUGUCUUAUGAAGAAAUAAUCCAUGAGUCAAUGUGCCACACAGAUAACGAAGCAGUCGUUCUCAUUCCAAUGUUCAAACAUCGGGCGAUGCAUGAAUUGGGAUAGCUUGUUAACAACAUAUGAUAGGUCUGGGCGAGUGAAGCAAAGAUACUAUAGACUGCCAACAAGGGUUUUACAUUUUGUGCAGUUAGUCAGAGCUGUACCUGAAUGAAGUGUGAGAUUUUCAUCUAUAACAAGUGGUGUAGCAACAAGUUUUGCACCAGACAUUUUUGUCCGGGCAAGAAGAUCGGAGAUGUAGCGCCUUUGAGUAAGCAACACACCAAAUGGAGUGGUAAGAACCUCAAUGCCGAGAAAGUAAGAUAAGGCGCCAAGAUCCUUGAUUGAAAAUCUUUGUGCCAAGAGGUCAAUGUAGCGCUGAAUAAUAUUGGUGUUGGUACCCGUGAUAAUAAUGUCAUCCACAUAAACAAGUAGAAAUAUAGUAAUGUCACCUGAGUGGAGAAUGAAUAGAGAAAUGUCUGCAUGAGAGUUUGUGAACCUAGACUCAAUGAGGAACUGGAGAAAUUCAAGAUACUAAGCCCAUGGGGCCUACUUGAGUUCAUAUAUAGCCUUCUUUAAUUUGCAUACAUGUGUCGGAUUGUCUCUAUUAACAAAUCCCGAAGGAUUAUUAUGGAGUGAGACUCCUAGGCAUCGUGAAUGGGGGAACAAAAUUCAGUGUCUACUUCAAUCACUCUAAAGUCUUGUCAUGUUUACUUCUUUACCAUAACCUUUGUUUAUUUUAUUCUCCACUACCUUGCCUUUUCUCUCACUCACACUUCACCAUCAAGUUUGAAGUGUUCAAGGGCACUUCCUUAAAUUUACAAAAUAAGAUUGUAUGGUGCCAAGGUUUACAGUAUAAGAACAUGAUAAUGACUCCCUAAUUCUGGGCACAUGUUUCCUCUUCCAUGUCCGAUGUAAGAUUGGGAUUGCAUUUUUAAAGCUAAAUAGAAAAAUAACAUAACUUGCUAGGGCAGGGCUUGGAACCAGGGACCUUGAGCAAGGGAUGAUAGCCUCUUACCACCAAACUACUUGGGUAUUAUAAAAGCACAUAAAUUCUAUUAUAUCUUUUAUAUUUUAUAAAUUAUAAAUUAUUUCAAAUCAAAUUAUUUAAAAUUAAUUAAUUUUAAUUAUUUUAUUAUUUAUGUUUUAAAAUAAUUAAAUAUAAGGCAAAUAUAAUUUUUAAAUAAAAUUAUGGAUACUUUUAAAUAAAAAAAAGUUACAUGUAUUAUUAUUUAUUUUAUAUCCUUCGAUAUAUAUUAAUUUAUUUGUUAAAAUUAAAACAACUUCAAUAUAUGUAAUAUUAAUUUUUUUUUUGGAGGUUUUUUUUUUCAAUAUUUCUAUGACUUUUUUUAUUUAUUUAUUAAUUUUCAUAUAUAUCUUUUAUAAUUGAUAUUUUCAUCCUUAGUUUUUUAUGAGUUCGGGGACAUGCGAUAUCAACCAAAUAUAAAAAAAUUGUAUUUGAAUGUGGCUUUGUGACUAUGCUUUCGACAUAAUAUUCAACACUAAUAAUUGGACUUUUGGGUUGUAGUUAUUCUUUUAACCUAAUGUUGAAUUUCAACAACAAAAAACUUUGAUCAGUUGUUAGCAAUAUUUUUAAAAUUAGAUCGGACAUUAAAUUGAAAACGUUACUGGUUUACGAUUCAUUGGUCGGAUUGAUGGUUGAACUGGGAUCGAACCAGUGAUAUCAUAAAUAUAUAAUUAUAUUUUAAUAAAAUUUAAAAUAAUUAUAAUAAAUUAAUAUAUAUAUAUAUAUUAUUAAAAAUUUUAAUAAUAUUUUAUUUUUUAUGUGAAAUUAAAUGAUAAAUAAAAAUAAAAAUGUACUAAUAUAUUAAAUUUUAUUAAAUAGAAUAUGUCUAAUAUUUAAAUAUGAGAAUAUAUAUAAGAUGAAAAGAAAAUUAUAAUAUUUAAUUUAAUUAUAUAUUUAUGUAUUUUGUUAUUUUAAAAAUUAUUAUAUUGAGUAAUUUAUAUUGUUUGAAUGUUUAUAAUUAAUAAUUAUUAUAAAAAUAAUAGUAGAUAAAAAUAUUUAUAUUUGUUUAAAUGUUUUAUAUGAUAAAAAUUUUAAAAACAGAUAUAUAGAUAUUUACCAAACUAUUAAUCAAACCACUGCGUAGCAUAGUGGUGUGCUAUUCAUUUUGUUUAACCAUAGGUCCAGGUUCAAUUCCCCACCAUGCAAAGCUCCUUUUAUUAUUACAAAUAAUGAAAUUCUUCUUCUUAACAAUAAAUUUAUUUUCUGAUACACUUAUUUUUCUAGGAAAUGUACUUUUUUUCAAAAUGUAAUUGAUUUUUUCAAAGGAUGUACUUAUUUAUAUUAUUACAAAUAAGUGAAAGUUUAUAAACAAUUUAUGGUAAUGUAUAUAUAAUGUACUUUUUUAAAGAAAAAUAAUUAAUUUUCUAAAGGAUCUACUUAUUUUUAUAAGAGAUGUUUUUAUUUUUAUUUUUAUUUUUUAUAAUAUACUUAUUUUAUGAAGGAUGUAUUUGUUUAUACUGAUACAAAUAAUUGAAAGUUCAUUAGUACUUUUAUGAUAAACCAUUAUAUAUAUAUAUAUAUAUAUAUAUAUAUAUAUAUAUAUAUAUAUAUAAUUUAUUCAUUUUUUACAAGAAUGUACUUAUUUUUUUUAAAGAAUACACUUGAUUUCUAAGCAUUUACUUAUUUUCCUUGAUGCAUUUAUUUUUUAAUAGGGUGUACUUAUUAUCCUUUAAUGUAGAAUAUACAAAAUGGUUCUUUAUAAAUUUUAAUACUUGUACAACGAUAAAUAUUUAUUAUGAUUAAUUUUAGUUGCUUGGUUUCCCUUGCUAAUUCCUGUGGGGUAGGUGCUUGGAAUUUUUCAGUAGCGGCCUUCGUUUGCAGGUCAAUUGCGGGGAGUUGAAGAAAGCUGAUCAUGUUGCUUCUCCUCUUAGGAUCCAAAAUGAAAGACGAAGCAAAUGAAAGUGUUUCGGCUGGUCUCUCCUACAGCAUUGAAAUCAAGGAUGCUUACAUUCCUCCGUGGAUAAUAUCCAGUAUAUGUGCAACCAUGGGUUCUGAAGGGAGGAGCUUUGAGGCAAGGCAUGACAAAUUUUGGAUAUUACAUGACCUUUCAGUUUUCCUUGCUUAGACAUGUAUGGAGUUGUCAUGUCUCAUUCUACAUCAAAGGAUGCUAGUUACGAAUACAUCAUGCUGAAGAAUUAGCACACCCUGUUAAAAAAUAAGUGCAUCGGAUCAACAUCAAGGUGGGGAUCACUCUACUAAAUGGACGCAAAUCUGGCUUCAAGAAUGGCAGUGCAGUGGUUCUCAUGGUGGUUAGAAGGGCAGCAGGGUGCUCCAGAGUCCAGCCAUGGUGGUGCUAAGUCAACAUUGAUUCUUCAGUUGUUGUAACCUGUACAUAGAAUGAUGGUUUUGGAUUGUCUCAAGAUUUUACUAAGAAGAAGAAGCAGAAGAUAAGACAUUGAAGGUACAGUAAAGAAUUUAAGCAACAACUCCAAUCCCUUUGUUAUAUAGACUUGAAGGAGAAAUGAAGAUGACUUACAAUUACGACUGUAAGGAAACCCUGCAUUUGAAGACAUCCUUCCUAGGUAGAGCUUUUAAAUGAUUAAAAACAUGAACAACUCUAUGCUUGAAAUAUGCAAAUCAAAAUCAACAAUAAAUAGAAAUAAGAAGCUGAAAAAACUGUCACGUGAUGCUAUUGUCAUUCUAGGAACAAAUCCCUCACUUUAAGACUCUUUUACUUUUAGAAUAUUCUACCAUCAACCCAUGAUCAGCCAUAUUUCCAUAAGGAUUCAUAUUAAUUUAAGAUGGAUUUAUUAUAGAACUAAAAUGAGAAAACAUUUUAAAAUGUUUAUUGGGAGUAAUUCAAUUAUAUUUCAAUAUAUUUGAAAAAUAACACUACUAAGAAAUUUAAGAUACUUUCCAUAAUUGAUGAUAAAAAUAUGAAAAUAAUUUUAGACAAAAGUUUUGAUCUAGAAAAAUCAACAAUUUUAAUUUUGUUGUUGUCUUAUAUAUAGUAGCUUAAUUUUGUUGUUGUCCUAUAUAUAGUAGCUUGAGAUAUAUACUUCAAUCCGAAUGCAUUCCAAAUUUGAGUUAUAGAUGGAUAUGUUCUUCACUAUUUAAGUUUAAUCGAUAAUUUGUUCCAAAUAUGAAUUUCUGAAACUAAGUGUUUAGCUAAUCUAAAAGAAAGAAAGUCAAGUUUUAGGCAUUAGGGUUCGGAUUUCCAAACUCAAUAAAGUUAUAAAAUGGCUAAUAUUUAAGGUGAACUAUGUUGAAAAUUAAGUGUCUCAAAUUCCUAAUUUUUUAUGUAUUCUAUUUUGUAGAAAUGAUAUUAUAUAGAGAAUUUUCAAAGUUCAUAUGUGAUUGUAAUUAAAUUCUUUAUAGAAUAAAAAACUUAGUAAGAAUAUCUCUCUAAAUAUUCUACGUCAUGAGAGGAAAAAUAUUAUAAUAUAAGAUAGAGAUAGAGAUAAGAAGAAAAGUAAGAGAUAAUUGAUGGAGUAAGAAUGCUUAAAACUGAAGUUGAAGACAUAAAGACUAGGAAAACGAUGGAUGUUUAGGGACCCAAAAGUUGUUUAUGUUUUGUUAUCUGUAAUAUUUUUUUAUUAUAUAGUGAAAUGUUAUCUCUUAUUUGUAGGUGUAGACAUACAUGUUGACUAAACCAUGCAUUUUAAAGCUUUGACACCUUUAUAUGUGGAUUAUCUUUACUUUAUGCGUUCUUUCAUUCAUAUAUUUACAUUGAAACUUUUGCUAGCCCAAUAAAUGGUAUUAGAGCUUUUGUUGGCCUAACAAACUUAAUGUUGUCCUUUCAAGAUGUAGUGAAAAGGCCUUUUAAAGGAUUUGUAUUUUAUCAUAAAAUAGAAAAGAAAGAAAAGAAACAUUAGAGAAUUUCGACUCCUUCUAACCACUUGGCAAUAUAUUUAUCUUAUAUUGAAGAUAAAUAACUAGUCCAAAUUUUAUGGUGUUAUAUAGUCCACACAUAGAUUAAAGUAAUUAAGGAGGAAGAUGGCUUACCAGUAAGUUUCCAUGAGGGCUUGAAUGAACAAAUAAAAUAGAGAGAUGGUGGAAUAUAAGGACUUAGCUAGCAAGCGCACCUGGCAAUGGAGCUUAAAGCUUGAGAUCAGUGCUGGAUGCUCUCAAUCUUUUACGGCAUGGUUCCCGAUCAUCUGCUUGGUUUUUCCCGGCAUCAUCAUGGCCUCUUUGAUGAUCCAACAACAUAGGCACACUGCUGUUUAGAGAAUCACGGGUGUACAUCAGCUGAACCCCGCACCUCUUGAUAUUGGGAUGAGUAACCUCACCAUUAAUCCGGGUAGAAAAAUCAAACGCAGCCAGAAAGUGCCAUGGUUGAUUGCGGUGGUACUUAUUUGGAAUAGCAUUCUUAGGAUAGAGAGUCACCCACAAUUCAUCUGAUACAUCACCAUUAAUCUCGUGACAUUUACACAAAGAAUCCAUGGAGAGGUGAUCCACAACUUCAUCCGAAUCACCGUGCAAUGUCAGAUCAAAAUAAUAUGGAACCUCAAAAUGAUUCCCUUUAUGAUAAAGAAAGAAGAAAGCCAAUCCCAGAAAGUGGUCAUCCUAGCUCGUACCAAUUCAAAGGAAGCUCUAUUCUUACUUGGCUUCCAAUCUCCUGAUGCAACACCCACCCUGGAAUUCCACCGUUUCCCGGAAUAAUAAUUACCUUGCCUUUCUUCCAAUUCCGAUUCAUGUACUGCAUAUACAAUCAAAGCUAAUAUGUAAUUGGAGUACUACUGGGUGGAUGAAAAGUUUUAAGUGUCGUUAUUAAAUAAAAAUCAUACCUCAUUACUUGUUGGAUUGAACCAUUUGAACCAUUUGAGGAAAGGACAGAGUAGAGAUGAUGGACUUGAUAACAUUUCCAGCUUCGUGCAGCCGUGGGCAUCUAUUUGUGGUAGACUUGAUGAAAGCUCUGGAAUUUCUUGGAGCAUCUUGCAGUGACUGAUAUCAAGGAGACGAAGUCUACAAAGUUGAGUGAUGCCAGAUGGUAUGCUAACCAUAUGGUUUCCACUUAGAUUUAAUGUACACAAGGAAUAUAGACCCCAGAUAUCAGUGGGUAUCGACCCUUCCAUUAGAUUGCAGUGACUCAAAUCUAGUUCUACCAAGGUGCAUAAGCCUUCCAGAUUCUUGGGAAACUUCUCCAAGUUUGAACAACCAGGGAGUAUCAAUCGUUUAAGACAUCUCAAAUCAUUAAUGCUGUCUGGAAUAGUCACAAGGUUCUUGCAAUUGCUCAAAUACAACAUUUGGAGGCUUUUCAGAUUUUGAAUUGAUGAUGGCAGUUCUUUUAUAGCUGUUCCUUCCAAACCAAGCACCUCUAAGUAUUUCAUACCCUCCAUGAUUUCGGGAAAGUUCCGUAGGCUUGAGCACCCAUUGAGAAAGAGUCGGCAAAAAGAUUUAAACCUACGAAUGCUGCUUAGAAGACUCCUCAAGUUCUUGCAAUCACUCAAAAACAAUGAAUUAAUAUUAAGAUGUUCCAUUGAUGAUGGUAGCUCUUUUAUACCUGUUCUUAAAUCAAGAAAUUCUUUCAUAUCCUCCAUGAUUUCUGGAAAAGCAUCUAGAUUUGAACAAACAAAGAGUUGGAGGUCUUCAAGGAGAUAUUCUAUUGCGGAGGGUAAUUCCUUAAUAGCAGAUCGAUCAAAGUGAAGAUAAGUUAAAGCUUCCAUAGAACUCUCCUCUAUCUCCAGAAAUUUCUCCAAGUUUGAGCAAUUAUUCAAGUAAAUAGUUUCAAGAGAGUCCAAGUAUUGAAUGCUACUUGGUAAGCUCGUAAGGUUUUCACACCCACUCAAACUCAACAAAGUUAGCUUCUUGAGAACUCCAAUAGAUGGAUCAACGAUAUUCAAACUUGUACAAUAUCCAAGUUCUAACUCCUCUAGAUUUGGCAUAUUUGAAAAGUUUGAUAUUUCAGUGAGCUGCUUUGAUCCUAGUAAAUUUAAGAACUUUAACUUUCCCAAACACUGUGACAAAAGGAAUUUUGAUUUAGUACAAAAUGAAUUUUCAUGAACAAAAAAUUAAUCUCAAACAAAAUAAUAUGAUGAAAUACUAAUUAUACCUUAUUUCCUUGCCAAAGUUGUUUUAUUUUGCUAUCCAUCAUGUUGAGUACAAUAAGGUUCUCUCCAUGAAAAUUUGACGGCAAUGAUUUCAAAGGGUAUCCUUUCCAAUGAAGAUAUCUCAACUCUUGUGAAGGAAAUUGAAAAUCUUCAGAAAGAAUAAUUUUAUACUCCUUUUUCAUGAAACCACAACAAUCCAUCCCAUAAAUCUUGAGCAAUCUAAGUCGUUUCAUCUUUGCAAAAACCUUUGUACUAAAUUGUAGUUGUUUUGAUCUAGACAAGUUUAAGAAUAUGGCCUCAACAUUUUUCAUCCCCUACAAACAAUAACACAGGAUUAGGCAAACAUAAAAAAGAUAAAGCUAGCUAAAAUUGUAUGGAUAUGUAACUUAGACAAAAAUGAUAUUGCUCACAUUUACGUAUUUUAAUGAAGCUUAAGAAAGUUCAUGAGUUUGAUGGUUACCUUCUUCAUUGUAAAUGCACGAUACACAUCACUCGGAUCCCACAAUCUGCUCCAUUUUCCAGGAUUAUCAAGAAAUUCACUACGAAUAAUGUUCCAUCCCAUUUCUUGUACCAAAUCAUGCAUAAGUAUCUUAUUUUCAGAAAGAGAUAUAAGACACUUAUCAUAGAGGACUUUUAUUCCUAUCUCUGCAUACAAAUCACAACUAUCCAAUAUCCUUGAAACAAAGUCUUUGUCUUCCCCUUUAAAAAAACAUGCAAUAUCAAGAAAUAUUUUCUUCUGUGUAUGAUCUAAUCCGUCAAAGCUUACUUUAAGCACAUUUUGAAUUUUCACUUCAGGUUCUCUUUCCAAUUUACACAAUUCACUUUCCCAUUGGAGUAUUGUCUUGUUAAACAAGAGAGAACCGAGGACUUUUAGAGCUAAAGGAAGGCCAUGACAAUAAUAGAUUACACGAUUCGAGAGGUGGAUAAAGUCUUGUUUAGGAAGAUUUUGUCUAAAAGCAUAGAGACUAAAAAGCUAACGAGCUUGUUCAAAAUUUAAUUCCUCAACCUCAUAUACGUCAUCCAUUUCUUGUAACAAAUGUUUACUUCUAGUUGUUAUGAUGACUCUGCUUCCUCUUCCAAGCCAAUCACAAUUUCUGAGUAAAUAUUCUAAUUGAUCUGAAUCAUCAAUGUCAUCAAGAACAAUAAAAACUCUUUUAAAUCGGAGAAUAUUUUUUAUCAUAUUGGCUCCUUGGCUAACAUUGCUUACAUUUUGAUUUCUCUCCACUUGUAGUAGAUCACAAAGAAGUUGAUUUUGUAAAUGAUGCAAACCCAUAGUAUUGCCAACUUCUCUAACAUUUUCGAGAAAACUCAUAUACUCAAAUUCAUGAGAAAAUUUAUUAUAUAUAACUUUGGCGAUACUCGUCUUACCCAUUCCACCUAUUCCACAUAUACCAAUUAUACGAACAUCAUUCAAUUGAUCAACACAUAGCUGCCGAAUUAUCUCAUUUACAUGGGAAUCCAUACCAACCAAGUUGGCACCAACAUCAAACAUUCUACAAUUCAAUCUCAUGAAUAUGUUGUUGACGAUUUUCUUAAUAUGCUCAGACUCAUACCUGCCAAUUGUAAAGUACAUGUGAUGAUUAAUUAGGCUAUAGCUGAUUAAAAAACAAAUACAUGUUAAGCUUCUUCAUGAAAAAUGAGUUAUAGUAAAAAAAAUUAUAUCAAAAGUAUUAAGUUUUAGAACUCAAAUUACAUUUUUAGGACAUUUUUAUUGUAUCAAGUAUAUAAGACAAUGAAAAUAAAAUAUGUAGUGAGACAUUGUCAAAUUGAUUUUUUUUUUUGGGAACAUUUAUAGGCUGCUAAGCAUGGAGCAAAUUUAUAUCAAACAAAAUCAUAUUGUAAUGACCCACUCUCUUGUGCAUAUAUAGAUAUCAUUUGCAGCUCUCUCUCUCUCUCUCUCUAUGUUAUAUGUGACAUUAUAAUUACCCAAUCCCCUAUUCACAAUGGAGACACAAGGUCCUCAUCAUAUCUCAUAAUAUCAUGGGUUUGCAGGUCUUCAGUGACUUUCUUGAUAUACUUUGAUUCAUGAGUUGCAAUCAUAAAUGACCUUCAAAUCUAUUCAAGUAUUACACUGUAAUUAUAAAAAUGCCUGAUUCCUGUAGCAGUAAAUAAAACCUAACUUAUAAAAGAAAGUUGAAUGGAAAUUAAUAAAGCUUUACCCAUCCUUCACAUGCUCUCCAGAUAUAUUGGUUGCUUCUGUCAAUGCGCUCCUCCAACUUCGCACCUUCUCUUUCAUCUCUUCUGAAUCUUCUUUGUAAUUAGAAAAUGCCUCUCCAAACUUUCCUGUCUGGUUUCGUACAUGGGAUGGAUCCACAUGGUAGAAAAUCGGUACCACAGUUUGUUUCAUUUCUUUCCUGCACUUCAUGAUCUUCACCAGCUCAUCUAAACACCAUCUGGAACCAGCAUAGUUUUCCGAGAAAACUAUUAGGGAAAACCUUGAUUCUUCAAUAGCUUUUAGGAGUUCAGGUUCAAUCUCUUCCCCUCUCUCAAGUGAAUCAUCUCUAAAGGUAUGAAUACCUCUUCGAAUCAAGUUUUCAUACAAAUGAUCAGUGAAAUUGAAUCGGGUGUCUUCACCUCUAAAACUCAAGAAAACAUCAAAAUUCCUUUGUGGGAUGAAAGUAGAAAUAGAAGUAGAAGUAGAAGUAGAACUUGUGGAAGCCAUAAGAAACUUGUGCCAAAAUCAGAACUUAGAAGGGAUUUUGCAGAAUUGUGAAUGUAGAUUGUGCAGAUUUUUUAGCAAAAAUUUGCUGAUGAAGGAUUAUGUGUCAAUGUAAUGUAUACAGAAAGAAAAAGAAAAAAAAAAAAAAAAAGUAGGUAGCGCCUAGGGGUACCGAGUACGACUUGUCUGGGAGAGUACACAACUACAGCUGGUCCUUGGUAGGUCUUAAAAAGCCCCCUCUUCUUCUCUUUCCAGCGCCCUAUGAGAAUCUCCCCCGCUUGCCUUCCACCAAACAUUGCGAGUCUGCUUAAAUCUCCCCUACUCCCUCUCUUCUUCUGCCACCUUUCUAAAUUUUUCUCCUCGGCUUAUGUUUGGUUCUCCGAAAAUAUGAAAAAAGAUAUCAUACAAAAUAUAUUAAAAAAAAUCAAAUAUAAUUAAAAUUGGUUGAUAAUUUAUAUAUUUUAAAAUUAUUUAAGUUUUAUAUAAUAAAAAAUAAAAUAAAUUUUAAAUAUAUAUGUAUAAAUAAUUUAUUCAUUUUAAAUAUAUUUUUUAUUUUACUUCAUAUUUUAUUUUUAUUUUCUUUCAAUUUUUUUUUAAAUCGAACAUAGUUUAAACUUUUUUUUAAAUGCAUGAAACCAUGUCAAAUAAAUAUUAUUUAUUUAUUUAUUUUUUAUCUUUUCUUUGAAAUUACUAAAAUUAAGUGAUUAAGAAUUAUUCCUAACAUUUUACGAUUGUAAAUUUGUGAUAUUAUUGAAAAAUAUUUCUACAAUUUUUAUAUAUAUAAAAAAAAGAAAUCAAUUAUUAGAACAACCUAAACACUACUUUCUUCAAGAUAAAUAAAUGUAUUUUUAAAAAAUUAUAGUUAUUUAUGAAAAUUUUAAGUAUUUUAAGGACUAAAUUGACACUAACUAAAUGAAGAAGUCGAAUAAAUUGGAAAAUUUAAAAAAAGACACUAAAAAAAAAUUUGUUAUUAGAAAUUAGGAAAUAAUUAUCAUGGGAAUUAAAAAACACAUUUAAUAUGCAAAAAUUCAAGGACAAUGAAACAGUGACCGAAGAGAGUGAAUACACGGGCUGCUGCAGACGAGAUUACGGAGAUAGAGCAUCUUACUUUGGGUGAUGUCAGUGCCAGCUGGACGGUGCAAUCGCACUAUGCGAUGCCGCUCUUUCUUUUUCUUUUUUUUUUUUGAUUCGCUUCUUUUUAAAGUUAGAAACUUUAAUUUGAAAAAAAGAUGGGAAAAAAAUAGCCCGGCGUCUGUUCUUUAAAAUUUGUUUUUAAAAUAAAGAAAAAAAAUAGUUUUUAGAAUUUUUUUUAAAAAAUAGAAUGUUUGACGGACGUUUUGAAAAUUAUUAUUAUUUUUAAAUAAAAAGCAUAUUUUUAUGAAAGAAUUUAUAUUACCUUCAAAUAAUUUGUAUUAUUUUUAAAGACAAUGUAUCACGCCCCAAAACCCCCGUUGACAUGACGAUCAUUUGACAUGACGAUCAUUUUACACUUCAAAUAUAAGAUUUUAAGUGAAAACGAUAUAAACAUUUAUUUUGUAAUUAAAAAAUAUCAAUUACCAAAUUUAUAUUAUUGUACAAAUAAUUUCAAUUUCAAAUAAUUUAAAUGAAAAUUAAAUUUUAACAUCUAAGUAAUGUCCAAAAUAAAUUUUGAACCAAAACUUAAUGAAGAAAAAUUCCCUAACUUAGUCAUUACUCCUCACCGGAACUAAAGUGAUGUUUGUUUUUUUUACUUAAUUCUAAAUAGAUCUUUAAUGUUUAAUAGUAUUAAUUAUUAGGUUGUUUGUUUUUGUAGUAUUUUAUUUUUAUUAAGUAUUAAAAAGUAAAAAGACCAAUAUAUUAUUUUUUCUAUUUAGAAAAAGUUAUAUAUUUUGACCUUUUCUAUUUAGUAAAAAGUUUAUAAUUAGUCAUGAAAAAAUAGAAAAACAAAUAACCUAAAUUCUGAAAACAAAUUACUUUUAACAAAAAACUAAAAAAACAAACACUACCUAAGAGUGCUUGAAAAAUUAUCAACGGAAAGAUAUGAUCUUAAAGUUCGAUAAAGAAUAUCAAUACAGUUUCAUGGAUCAAACAUUUUCAAUUAUAAUUAUAAACAUGAGAUAUAUCGUAUAAUUAUUUUCAUAAAAAUUUUUAAGUUCAAAUGCUAAUACAAUCAAACUUUUCAACAAAACUUUCUUAUAUCAAUUUCUAAAUAAUUUCUCAUCAAAACUAAAUCAAAUACAUUCAAAAUAUCUUUACUAUAGUUAUCAAAUAACAAAUGAUACUCAAUUAUGUGAGACUUUACAAAUGAGUGACUAGUUUCAAAUUUAUUUCAUUUAAGGUGAACAAAAUCAAAUGUUAACAAUUAUAACCUAUUGAUUAUAGUUAUAGAAACUAGAAUCAAACACUUUAUUUCGUUAAUUCGAAUUUACUAAACGAAAUAUCAUAUCUCUACAAUUUUUAUUUUUCAUAAACAAGAAAAUGUUCAAACAUAUUUUCUAUGCAAAACAUAAAUUUGAUCCAUGCACAGAAAUAAAAACAAUAUUUUUACACGUUUCAAAACACAAUAUAAAAAGAAAAUUAUUAUUUUUUUAAAAAAUAUGCAUUAAUUUUCCUUACUUUGAAAAAACACUUAAAAUCUUAAAGAAUUUAAUUUGAAGAAAAUUAUUUUCACAAUCUUAAAAAUAUUUAAUUUAGUAUUAAGGAUUCUAAUUAAUUUCUUAUGUUAAUAUUAUUACUACCUAAUAUUAUUUUCAACUUCUUACAUAAUAAUAACAGUAAUAUAAAUUUAAUAAAGUUCCAAAUUUUUAUAAAAUUUAUAUUCAUUCCUAAUUUUACCCCAAUUAAUUUUUUUUCUUUCUUUAUAUACUUAAAUUAAAUUUAAACUUGUAUAAAAAAACUAUUAUUAUUAUUCUUGUCAACCAACUGACACUAUAUAUAUUUAUUUAUUAUUACUUUUGAUUACCUGCAACACCACCAUUACUCCAUGCGACCGACUAUAUCUAUUAUUAUUAUUAUUAUUUUAACCUCUUCCACCCCUCUGACUUACAAACCACCACUCUAGUGCUUCUCACGAUUACAAAUUGAUUUGACUAUAUCUAUUAUUAUAUUAUUAUUAUUUUAACCUAUUCCACCCUCUAACUUACAAACCACCACCUAGUGCUUCUCACCAUUACAUAUUGAUUUUUUUUUUUUGACUCAACAAUUCGUACGUAUUCGUUCUUCUUUUCUUUAUUAUUAUUUUUUAUUUUUUCAAAUUGCCACCUCGAUAUAUAGUUCCUCAAAUUCCAAAAUCCAAAAAUAUGCUAUUCUUCUUCUUAUUAAUUUAAUUUAUUUAUUAUUAUUAUUUUUUCCAACCUAAAGCCUCUACAAAUAAUUUAUUUAUUUAUUUUCUAAAUCUAAAAUUUCUCACUUCCACUAAUUUUUUAUUUAUUUAAUUUCUAUUUAAUUGAAAAUUUUCUAUUUUCAUCAAUAAAUUAAUCUACAUUCAUAAAAUUCCAAUAUUUUGAUCUAAAAAAUUAAAUAAACAAACUUUAAUUUAGAUUGUGAUUUUUUAAUGUGUUUAAAGCUAAUUAACGGAUCUAAAAUAUUAAUCUAGGGGUCAAAAUCUUACAUGAAAAAUCGAUCUUCAACCCUAAACUUCCAAAUCUUAUGUUUCCCUAUGCUAUCUGAUCUUUCUAAUCCCUAUGUAAAAGUGUUUUUUGAAUAAAGAAGAUGGAGGAAAAUUAAUUUAUACCUACGGCUUUUAAAAGCAAAAAGACUUUUCUAUCCUUAUAAAAAUAAUUUAAUUAAUUAAUUAUUUUAAAUUAUGAUUUUACCCCUAAAUUGGUUGUGAGGAAUUACACAAUGUAUUAUUUUUAUUUUAUAAAAAAAUUAUAAAUUAAUUUAUAAUAAUAUGAAAUCAAAUUCAAGUUAAGUCUUAUUCAAAAAUAAAAAUUAAAUUACAAUUAUAUAUGUGUUAUAUAUAUAUAUAUUUUAAAUUAUGAAACAAUUUUUUUAUUUUAGUAAAAUAAAAAUUUCUAUAAGAUAAAAAUAAUUUUAAUAUUCAUUUUAAAUAUAAGUCAAAUAAGUACUUUAAUUAUUAUUUUUUAAAAUUUUUUGUGUUGAUCAUGAUUUCUUAUGCUUUUUUUUUUUAAUAAACUUCUUUGAAGUUAAAGAAUACAAAAAAAGUUUUUAAUGUUUUAUAAAAUUAAGGAUAUUGGGUAAAUUAUUUUUUUUUAAAGAACUUUAAAAAUAAAAAAACAAAAAGACUUGUUUGGAUAAAUUUUUUUUUUUAAAAAAAUUGUUUUGAUUUUGUAAAAACAUUUUAAAUUCAAUUUAUAUAAUAUUAAUUAAUUAAAUUUAAUUGAAGUCUUAUUGAAAAUGAAAAUAAAUUUUUAAUUAUAAAUAAAUUAAAAAAUAUAUAGUUUUUAGUAAAACAUAAAUAUUAAUAUUAUAAUAAAAUCAUAAAUUAUAUUUUUAGUAGAAAAUAUACUAUUUUAUUAUAUGUUAGAAAAAUGAUAAUUAUAUUUAUAAAUUUAUGGUAUAAUGAAUUUAUUAUUUAAGUUUUAAAUUAUUUUUAAAAAUUAAUAGACUUGUUAACAAAUAUAAUACAUUAAAUCUUGUUUAAUUUACCUAACAAUAAAAAAUAUUGAAAAAUAAUAAUUUUAUGUAAAAAAGAAAUAAUAAAGUGUAUAUGUUUUUUUUUUUAUUGUUUUUAAAAACUAGUGAAAAUAAUUUUUACUUAUUUUUUAAAAGUUAUUUUUUAUUUUACUUUGUUUUUAAAAAAUUAAAAAUAGAGAAUGAUAACCAAACAAUAUUAUGAAUUUUUAAAAACUAUUUUCUAUUUUUUAAAAAUAAAAAACUGUUAAAAACUCCGUCAAACUAGCUUUACGCCCAUGAGUUCCCUCCGUCCAAACACUAAUUCUGAUUGGGAUUGCACUUUUAAAGCUAAAUAGAAAAAUUACCAUAACUUGCUAGGGAGGGCUUGGAACCAAACACCUUGAGCAAGGGAUGAUAACCACUCACCACCAAACUACAUGUGCUUUGGUGCUAUAAAGCCACAUAAAUUCUGUGCAUACAUAUUAUAUCUUUUAUGUAUUAUAAAUUAGUUAAAAAAAAUUUAUUUUAAAUAAAUUAAUUUUAAUUAUCUUAUUAUUUAUUUUACAUAAUAAUUAAAUACAAGACAAAUAUAAAAUUAUAAAUAAAAUUAUCAACAUUUUUAAAUAAAAAAUACUUACUUAUAUUAUUUGUUUUAUAUCCUUCAAUAUAUAUUAAUUUGUUUGUUAAAAUUAAAACAACUUCAUUAUAUGUAUUAUUAAUUUUAUUAUUUGGAGUUUUUUCCCAAUAUUUCUAUGAUUUGUUUUUUUUGUUUUUUUUCAUCAAUUUUCAUUUCACCAAUAUUUCCCACUGAUAUUUCCCUAUACAUAUAUAUAUAUAUUUGCAUUUUUCUUAACAUUUUCAUGAGUUUUGAUCCAUUUUCAUUUCAUAGAGAUUUCAUGUCAGGAUAUCCAUCGAUAUUUUUUGAUAUAUCUUGAUAUAUCCGUAAAAUCAAGUUAUUGAUACAUCCAUUAACACUGAUAUUUUCAUCAUUGGUUUUCGAUGAGUCCGAAAACAUGGAAUCUCAACCUAAUAUUAAAAAAUUGUAGUUAAAUGUGGUUUCUGACCAUCCUUCAAAUCUAAUAUUCAAUACCAAUAAUUGAACUUUUGGGUUAUAGUUAUGCUUUUAACCUAAUGUUCAAUUACAACAACCAAAAACUUUGACCAAUUGUUAGUGUUGGAUUUCUUAUUGUCCGAUUUUCGUGUUUACAAAUCAAUAUUUAUUAUUGAUUAUGAAAGGAAAUUUUUUAGCAAAAUCAAUUUUUAGUUGAAAAUGUAUAACAUAUGAUAUGGAACACAAUUGGACUAUCAAGGGAUGUCUAUUCAUAGAUAAAUUUGUCCCAAAUUACCAAAGAUUAAUAGUUUCUUAAUUAGAUAUUUGAAAUGUAGGGUAGGAAGACAAAUAAAAAGCUAGAGCUGAGUAGAAUUUUCUUGAAAGAAGGAAAUCAAGCAUUUCAUACAAUAGUCCAUUUUUUCACAAGGCAAUAACAUUAGAAGAAUAUUGUGAAUUUAGUGAAAUAUGGAUAGAAUAAAUGACUAAAACAUAUAUUAUUUCAUACAAUUGUUGAAGGAAAUAUAAAAUUUUCUUGAAAGAAGGAAACAACUGAAAUAUUUGGAAAACUCCAUUCCAAGUCUUAGAUCGAUGAGGUGCAUGCAGUACAAUCGUAAGGAUAUUGGAUCUAAGCAACAAAAUCAAUAAUAAUAAAACGACUAUAGAUAUAGGUGCUCUAAAAACAAUUAUUGUUCCUAGAUUAGUUCCAACUGAUAUAUGAAAAGGAUGAUAUGGAUCUUGAAUAUCUUAUGAUAUUUCGCUUGAUGACUCUCUUUUGGAUCUUAGCCCUUAAGAAUGGUGAACUUUUCUAUAGGGAUGAAGGCUAGGGAUCUCUCUCUUUGGAAGAUAGAAUGAGUCAAGUAUCUAAUCCUAAUCCUUUAAGGGGGUUUAUAUAGAUUUCCUUGUAAGCUUAAGUAACUUGAGCCCAUCUAGCGCUGGGGUUCCUUAAUUGAAUUCACUAGGUCCUAAUUAAUUAAUUAACCUUGUUAGGCUUCAAUCAAUUAAUUAACUCAACCCAAAAAGAUCAUUCAUAAGCUUUUGAAUAACCUAGGAUAUUUACUAAAAUGCCCUUAUGCACAUAUAUGAAUAAGAAACCCAAAUAUCUCUAAAACAAUGUGCCACUAAGGAAUAUGAGUUUAAGCGAGAACCAUUGAGACCCAUAAGAAAAUACCAACUCCCUUAGCAUCUAAUUUUGAAGUUGCUAUAACAUUUCAUUGUAGAGGGUUAAUUGCACUUCUAUAUCCUAUGAUAUUAAAUCGAGAUAAAAAAAAAAAACUUGGGUCUAUGAUAUACUAAUGAUUGUUUGCAAGCUUUCUAUAACUAGUGUCCAUAAUCUAAUAAGAUGAAUGUUAUCAAUGUUUCAAAAUUACCUUUACUAUCCUUGAAUUUAAGAUCCUCCUAUUAUAUGCAACUGAUAUAAUCCAAUUCUUUAAAAGCAAAUAUCAAAUUUCACUUAAAAAAUAAUUAUGGUAAUUGCAAAUCUCUAUUGUAAUUAAAAUAAUAAAACCUAAGUAUGUGACAACCCUAGGCAAGAAAAAUCAAAGAUUGAAUCAUUACAACUUUGUAGUAUUUCAAGUUAUCGUUCUUUAGGAUCAACUUAAUGUGUCUAAUUGUUUUUAGAUUAGAAGGAUUAAUUAUUUGGUAAAGUUAAUGAAUUCCUAAUUUAUAUAAAUAGAAUAAAAUAUGGAUGGUAAAAUAUCUAAUAAACUUAAAUAAAAUAAAAGAAAAAAAAAACUAUCUAAUGAAGAUCACAUGUUUGAUUUUAAAUCCAAUAAGAAAAUUAAAGUGAUAAGAUUUUUCCUACUUUGGGGAUCAAAGAGUCAAUCCAAGAUUAAACCACAUCUUAAGAUCAAUUUAAGCCAAAAACUUUGAUUUAACAACUUAAUCUAGAUCUCUAAAGUAUUUUGAAGUAACUUUAACCUUUAUUUCUUGUUUUGACAUUCAAGCCCUAGAUUCAUCAGUGAGGUUUAUCUUGAUCUUAUGCAUGAUCAAUCAAAAUGAGUUAUCCAAUGAUUAAGAGGCGAAAAAGCAUAAUUGGAACUAAGUUAAACAUUGAUCAUCUCUUAAUUGAGAGGAACUACCUAGAUGAUUCAUUCAAUCAUAAUGAAAAUAAAAAAAUUAAAAAGUGUAGGUUUAGAGUUUAUUUCCCUUCCACACAUUCCUCAUAUUAUUUCUCCAUCUCCCUUGCUUCAUUCUCUAGAUUAAUCUGCCUUCAUAUGUUCUGUAUCUCAUAAACCCUAAAACAAAGCAUAUAUAUACAUAACCUAAACCUAAAUGAGGCAUGUUACAUACAUAUUCUAAUUGGCCACUUAUUCCCAAAUACUACUUAAAAAUAACUAAAAAUUACUAAAGUCAUCAUUGAAAACAUAUGGGCCCCACUUUGGGCUAGAAAAGUAUUAAAAUAUCCAAUGUUCAAGGAUUUGUAGCUUAUGUCAAAUUGGAAUAGACCAUGAUUUCUACAUGAAAAGUUGCAUUUCGAUAUGGAGGGUUGAAUUUUGACAUGGAGGGUUGCAUUUUGACAUGAACUCAUAAUCAAUAUGUCAAAUGAAAAUUUUUCAAAUUUCAACAUUGUGGUCAAAAUUCAUUUUGACUUAGAAGAUUUCCGAUUGAAAUUUUUGAUAUGCAUUUCAACUUGGCAUUCUACCAUUGUGCAACUUGCUUUAAUUAGUCAUAACUUUUUCAUUUUAACUUCAAAUUUGCAUAUUGUUUAAAGAGUUGGACUCUUCACUUUCUAAGCUUCAAAAGAUAGAUAGUUUGCUUUAAAAUAAUCUUGAGAAGUUCUCUAAAAUUCACCUUAAAGUGAAGGUAUGUGUUGCUAUCAGAUUUUAAAUUCCAAUUUCCAUAUGUUAGGAUAGAGCCUUUAAAAACAUGCCAUGAUAUAAUAAAUUUGGAAUUCAUUAUUUAUUUAAUGAUAUUCUAGGUUCACUUUCAUUUAUCCUUAUUCCAUGUAUUAUACUUUAUGAUCAUUCUUGCUUGCAUUUUUUGCAUUGUACGUGACUUAGGUGCAUUAGGAGUUGCACAAAAGAUCUAAAUCAUGGGUUCCUUGCAAAUAGAUGACUUGUUUAUAAUCAGUUCAUGUGUCUAAGCAACUCAUUAGAGAUUGUACUGCACCACCUCCUAAUUGGAGGGAUGGUUGGUGAUUACUACUCAAAAAGAGUAUAUUUUAGAUAAUAAUUCUCAUGAGUUUCACAUCUUUUGAGUAGUAAUUAUGCCUAAAACACUCAAUUAACAUGUUUUUGCCCUUGCAAGAGUUACUAACAAGUUUUAUGAAGUUUUGGAGUCAUUUCAAGGUAUGAUUUUGAUAAAUUUGUGCCAAAAGAGAUGAAUCAAAUUAAAGAAAACAAAUAAAGUUGAUGAUGAUCCAAAUACACAAUGAAAGAAGUAAUGUAAUUGGUUUGGACCAAGCUUUGGAGCUGAAUUGAAGGUGGUGGAGGUGGAUUAAAAAUGAAGAAAUGGGAGAAAUUGCAAAGAGGAGUCGAAAAAACAUGUUUUUCAAUUUCGCAUGACCAUGCGAAAUGAAACAGAAUGGGUGUUGGUUGCAACAUACAAGGGAAAUGUGAAAAGUGAUUUUGCAUGACCAUGCGAAAUUUUCGCACAAUCAUGCGAAACGCUCCAGGAAGACGAAAAUGAAGCUAAUGGACUUUCCACUUCGCACCAUCAUGCGAAAUUGCUGGGGGCUCGUGCGAAAAUGUAUUUUCUCCAGAUUCCUUGAUGAAGAAGCCUCCGAAAGACCUCUUAGAUGAUGCCAAGUGUCCACUUAACCUUGGCCUAUAAAUAGAAACGUGAUUGACUCAUUUAAAGACUUUUGAUAUUUCUUAAUUAUAGAACUUUCUAGAUUUUUUCUCUCUAUAUAAUUCUCUACUUUCCUUCAUUUUCUCGGUAGCCAAACAUGUCUUGUGAGACCAAAUCUCCAAGCAUGAGUGGCUAAAUCUCAUUUUUCUCGGAGGAGGGAGGAUUUAGAGACAAAAUCUAUGGUGAAUUAGAGAAUUGAGCUUGAAUUGCAAAGGUAAUUUGAUCCAAUUGAUUGAUUAAUUGAAAUUUGGGGAUUUUUCUCUUCAAAUUGUCUUGGAUGAUUACUACAAUGCAAGCUAGGUAGAUUCAUCAAAUUUGUAAUGCUAAAUUUGAUGAGAUUGAAUAGUUGCAUUGUGUGAAUCAUUGGAAGAUAAUUUCAGAUGAAUUGAAUAUAUGAUUUGAAUUGAUCUAUUGGAUUAAAUGACCUAAUUUGAAGAUAAAUUAGAUCUAGACCUAAAGCUAAAUAAAAAAUCAGUUUAGAUGAAAAUUUAGGUUUUCAAUCUAACUUGAUAAAAAUUAGAUCUUAACAUCUAUUUACCAUAGAAAUUGUUUUCUAGAAAAUCCUAACUUCGAGAAUUUCAUCUCCUAUUAAUUUUCUUUUAUUUUACAUUUUAUUUUUCUUUUCAAUUUUAGACCAUAGUCAAAUUGAUUUUUCAUCAUGAAUUUUCAAAUCAAUUUCACUUGAUCACAAUUAUUUCUUAUCCUCUCAUUCAAGCUUUAAUUACCGAGAAUAAUCCAUCCUAGUGGACGAUACCUAAAAACCACUAUACUACGGCAGUUUGUACUAAAACCAUUUUUGAUCGAGUACAAGCUACUUUAGGAUAGUGAAUUAGGUUAUAAAUUUUGUUUUGAUCAAAUAAACAACAAAAAUCUGAGCGAUCAGUUGGUCUUGGUAAUUGGGAUGAGUUUCCCAUGGUGAGUGCAUUAGUAUAUAUGGUUACACAUUGGAAAAGACCUACGACGAGUCAUGGCUUAAGGCUACCAAGUAGUCAUGGCCUCACCAAGUUGUUUCAUUAUGUUGUCUCUCAACCUUGAGGGAAUACUGAGUUCAUGAUAAAGUUAACAAUGACUUUGACCUAUGGGUGAGAUCGUAAGUUGAUCAUAUAUUCCCUAUAAAUUGGGUCAUUGUUGAUGGAAGUCGAUAGUAAUAAGUAUUCUCAAUAGAGACACUAUGAUAUCUCAUGAGAUUGAGGCAGUAUGUCCCCUUGGGUGAUCCUAAGGAGGUGUGUUCAUGAAAAUUAUGACUAUAGUUGUUCUUUAAGUGAAACUUGACAUAGGCUAUUUAAGAGUUAAAACAUGUUAGUUGAAUACACAAUAAGAUGAUCUGUAACUGAAGGAUGGUAGAGGUAGUAUUGAAAGUCUGAUAGCUUUCACCUUGUUAGACUACAAACGUUGGUUUAUGGGGAGACUAAACAUAAUGGAUAGUAGGUUAUGGACCCGAGCACGUAAUGUCUUGUUAUUUACAUAGGAUAAUGGAGUUUAAUUGAUUAUCUAUAGUGGGAUGUUAAAUCAACUUCAGAAUUGGAUUAUGAGGAAACCAGUACUCCUUUGGGUCCCGGUGGUCCUUGCUCUAGGCUCAUAAGAGUUUAAUUACUACUAAGUUCACUUUUGUGCAUAAAGGCGUUUUGGUAAUUACGCAAGGUUGCAUAGGAGUAAGUGAACAAGGUCUCUGGAUUGAAUUAAUUGAUUAAUUAGUAGGCCUUAUUGGGUUAAUUAAUAAAUUAUAACCCAUUUUAGGCUAGAUUAAGUGACCCAAGCCCAUGUGGGCUCAGGUCACUUAAGCUCACUUAGAAAUCCUAUAAAUACCCCUUAGGGGUUAGGGUUUCCAUAACUUUUAUCUUUCACCAUCCACAAAGAGAGAGUCAUAGCCUCCACCCUCAAUUCCUUCCCAUCGGAAGUGUGACAAGAACAAGGUUGAGUCAUUGGACGGAAAUCGUGAGUUUACGAGACUUCCAACAACUUCAAGGUCAUCUUCAAUACUUGGAAUUUAAGGUUUGGGAACAUCCAAACCUAAAGGUUAGUACUUUAGCCCUAAAAGAUCAAUUUUUAAAAAAUAGUAUUGCUUCCGUUGCUUAGAUCUAAGAUGCCAACACCAUAUUGAAUUUCAAGCUAUGACCUUCAACUUUCAUUUUCAUGUUUGAUUGUUCUCUAACUCCUUCCAUAACAUUUGUUGCUUAUCUUCCAUGUCCAUGACUCUCUCAUUUUUAAUUUUUUUUUUUUUGUUUAGAUAUCCUCUGCUUUUUUUGCAUGUUUACAAUUUGCUAUCCUAUGAAACUCAUAUGGACAAACUCCAUUAAAAAUACUAUAUAAAGCCUUAUCAUUGGCUUCACUACCUUCAUUAUCAAUUUUGUCUCAUUCAUAUUUAGGUUUCUAUUCUCUUGUUGAUCUUCCUUCAGUAUCAAAGAUCAAUCAUGGUCCUUAACUAUAUUCAAUUGAAUGUCAUACCUUUUUACCUUGCAUUUUAAGGAAAAACGUCAUACGUACUUUCCAAUGGGAAUAGUUACUCCCAUUAAAAUAGGGUGGACUAUUUAAAAGAGCACCACUUUUUGAUUGUUCUAUAUUGGACUUACAGGAUCAAUAAAAAUUUGAUUUUUAUCCUAUAUGAUUGAUAAAAAUUUGAUUUUUAAACAAUAUAAAUAAUAAAAAUUGAAUUUUUAAUCAAUGUGAUAAAGAAUUGAUUUUUUAUCUUGCUCUGAUACUAAUUGAAAAUGGGUACUACUCUGAAUGCCACUUGAAUAAUAGUCAAAAGUCCAAUAGGGAACACCCAAAUGAGGGGUGAAUGAGUGAUUUAAAAAUUUAAAACAAUAUUAUUAAAUUAUAAUCAAUUUUCUUAUCCUAAGAUAUUAUAGGGAUAUUCAGGAUAUCCAAAUAAAAAUUCACCUCAAAUAAAAAUAUAAUUUUUAUGGUUAAUUUAUAUCCAAAGAUUAUUUAGGGAUGGAAUAAAACAAAUACUAAUAUCCAAAAGAUAUCUUGAAGGGUGUUAAGGAUAACAAAAAUUAGUUAUAGGGAUAACCUCUAUAACCACCUAAAUAACCAACACAACAACCUCUAGAGUAAUCUCAACAAAUCAAUCGAACCAAGAUAUUCAAUAUCAUCAACCAAAACAUAAGUAGGAAUAAAUAGAUAUGUAUUUUUAGGAAAGUCCUUCAAGAUAUUAAGGAUAAUCAAUUUAACCAGUUAUAUGCAAUUCAAACAAAAUAUCAAAUAUAAAAUAUAUAGACAAUGAGACACAAUAAUUUUUAUGUGGAAAACCUCCACAAAUUGUGGAGAUAAAAAACCAUAAGGUCUAAGACUUAUCAAUCUAAAUCCACUAUUUAAAAUCAAGCUACACAUAUUUAGCUGACCGCUUUACCCUAAAGGUUUAGAAUGUGUUUAGAAGUGAUUCUAGAAAAUAUUUAUACCAUUUUUAACACUUGAAUGAUAAAAAAUUUCAAGUACUAGAAAUAUUAAAAGUGUUUCUUAGAAUCACUGCCAAAUAGGCUCUUACUCUCCAAUACUUAUAACUUGAUCUACGUCCGCAAUGCAACAACUAUUUAUUGCUCACUAGUAGGACCUUUGAUCCUUCUAAAGGAUUACAAUCUUCAACUAACAAUUUAAAGAAUUGAAUCCUUGAAUGAGAGAUCAGAAAUGGUGUGGUAAUAAGGCUUUCUUUUAAUGAGGUCCCUCUCUAAGGAACAAGAAGUCUCAACAAAGUAUUUUUAUCUUCCUAGAACUCUCCACACAAUCAUUCUAGGAUCUCUUAACUUGAACCUCUAAGCCUAAAUCUCUAACCCUCAAAGGUUUAUAAGGGAGGUAUUUAUAGGCACAAGUCAAAAGAGUCAUAGUAUCUUAAGUUUCCAAAUUAGAGUUUGAGUGAAAAUCAUCCAAAAUACUUUUCUAAACUCGGUAGAAUUGACAUGACCGUUUGAGCGAGCUUGGACCACAUGAGCAGUCCAUUUAAGCAGUCCUUAUCGCUUGAGCAACCCUUGCUUCUUUUGAAAAAAUAUUUUAAAACAUUUUAAGUCCAAAAAUGAUACUGAACGUUUUAUACCUCAAAUAAACCUUAUAUGCCACAAGCCAAACCUUUUUAGAUGUACCAGUGACUUCUCGAUUGGACGAAUAACAACCUUUGAUCUUCAGUGGAGUGUAAGUCACUAUCUAAAAGACUUCUAUGGUCAAACAUAAAUUGGAACAAAAUUGUCAACAUAUGAACAAGACUCAAUAUCUUAACAUUAGGUGCCUUAUUUUUGCUUCAACAAAAUUUGAAAAAGAAAUUAAAUUUAUAUUUCAUUAAGUUUAGUUAGGAAAUAAAUGAAUGAUUUAUUAUAAUGAAAAAUGUCAACUAUUAAGAUUAUAUGGUCAUAAUAUGUUAACUAUUAUAAGAAUGAAACUAAUUUAAAAAAAAUAUAAUCAAUACACACUUCUAAUUUGUAGAUGAAUUUUUAAAUCAAUCCUACCCAAUCAAUUUUUUUUUAUCAAUUUAAUAUUUUUUUUAAUGUUUUUUGAAAUUAUUUUUAUUAAUAAUUUUUCUUUAAUGUUAGGGUAAGUCCAUCCAAGUGUUUGAUGAUUUUUUUAUUUUUAUUAUUUUACAACAAUUUUUAUGAUUUUUUUUUUCAAAAAUUGAUGGUAAAUCAAUUUUUAUUUUUUUGAAAUGUUAUAAUUUUUUAUGUAAAUAUUAUGUUAUUCCCUAUUUAUUUUUAGUAUUUUUUUGUAUAAUUAAUUAAUGUGAUAAUUGGUAAAUUAUUGUGGAUGCAAUUUAGGAAAGACGUAGACCUUGAUUGUUUGACUUUUUAUAGGUUACAACUAAUUAAUUAUUUUGAAUAAUUUUAUUUAAAAUUUUUGGAUUAAUUUUGUAUAAUAUAUUGUCAUGAUAUUGUGAUAUAUUAAUUAUUAAAAUAUAAUCUUAGUUUGCUUUGAUUUUGUUAUUUUAAUCAAUGGAUAGACCAUAUUAAUUCAAUAAAGUUAAUUUAAUAGUCAAAACAUAGAAAAUAUAAUCUCAAUUUAAAACAUUAAUGUACAUAUUUUUCUAAAUAAUUUAUAAUGAAAUUGUUUUUCGUAACAAUAUAUUUAUUUUCCUUUAAUAUACACUUAUUUUUCUAAGAAAUGUACUUUUUUUUAAAAAUGUAAUUGUUUUUCCUAAGGAUGUACUUAUUUAUAUUAUUACAAAUUUAUCAUAAAUUUAAUUAUCAAUAAAUGACCAUUUUGGUAUUUUCAUUAACCAAAAAUUCAUAAAUCCUCAAGAAGUAAAAUGAUAUAUCAAAUCACAGACAAAAAUCACAUGUACAAAUAGAUCUAUCUCGCAACAAGAUCUAUAAUUUUUUUCUUCUAACAUAUAUUAAAUAAAAUUUUUAGGGAUAAUUCACCUUACCAAAAUCCAACCCUUAACUUUAAAAUCAGACUCCAUAACAAUAUUCCCCACGUGAAAUAAAAUAGCAUCCUAGAAUUUCAUACCAAACGAACUACGUUUGGUCUAUCAAACAACCUUUUGAGGACUAAUGCUACAUGUUUUUUUAUUUUUUUUUAUUUUCUGUUUCCUUUUUUAUUUUUUGUUUUUCUCAUUUCUCUCUACUGUCAUCCAACUCUUUUUCUCUCUCAUUUCCCAUUUGUUUGACUUUUUCUUUUCUUUUCCUUUUUAAUUCUUCAUCGUGACGUCCAUACCGGCUUCUUUUAUUAUUAUUUUUACUAUUAUUACAACUUUGCUAUAUUAUUUUUUAUACAUAUCCUUAAAAAUAUUUAAUUCUUCCUAAAUUAAUUUUUUUUUAUGAUAUACAUACUUUUUUUUUUCAAAACUAUCAUUUUAUGUGGACCACAUGUAUAUUAUUAUGUGAUAUUUAUUUAAAUAUUAAAUUAAGUAUUAUGGUUUAAUAAAUAAUAAAGCUAAAAUCCUAUUAGUCAGUUUUCGAGAAGUUAGUUUCUUAAAUUAAAGACACUUUGAUGGAAAGUGCACUUAUAAUUAUAUAAGGAAACUGGUCCUCUCUCCACCCUAUAAAUAAAUGUUCUAUUCCAUCAAUAAUACGCAUAAGAGAAAACCUAAGGGUGAAGGGGUUAAGGGAGAGAAACAUAGUUUCUAUUAUACUUAUUGUUUGGUCUCUUCAAAAAUUCCCUAGGGAUUAAAGACAUGUUUUUUGUUUUUCUCUCAAUAAUAGAAUUGUGAAAAUCAUAUUAUUUUAGAAUCCUUGGUUAUUAUGACUAUUCUGCAAGAAUUAAAGUUAUGGUUGUUCUGCAGGAAUUAGGGUUAUUAUUAUUCUGCAUAAAUAAAGAAAACCUAACAUGUGGUAUUAGAGUAAUGGUUCAAGAACUUAUGAUUUUCCUUUAAAGAUUAUUUUAUAUCUCUCUUAUGAUAUCAAAUUUUGAUGAGAGAAUUAAAUUUAUUGAUUGUAUUUUUCUGCUGCAAUCAACAUAUUUUGUUGAUAUUUUUGUAUUCAAUUUCUUCCUGAAAUGAAUUAUGGUGGCUUCAAGUUAUUAUAUGAAUUAUGAUUUUAUGUCAAUUAUGAUUUGUUGCCACAUAAUUGUUUAUUGCUAUUAAUGCACAAUUUGAAUAAAUCAAAUUCUUUAUGACUUUAUGUUAAACUUGAUCCUUUUAUGAAGAAAUUGCAUAUUAUGCAACUUGAGAUCAUAAGUUAUUUUUGGCAAAUUGUCUUUUAUGCUUCCGUAAUAGUAUUAUGAAGGUUUAACAUGAUUGAGAUUUUGUUUAAUUUGAUAUUCAUAUUAUUUUUGUUUGCAGUCACCAAAGUGACCAAACUUUAAUGUUUUGAAUAUCAAAUUAUAUAAUAAUUAUUUAUAUUAUAUAAUUUGAAAUUCGCUUAUGAACGGUUUGUUAGUCACCAAAGUGGCCAAAUCUUAAAGUUUUGUGUCUAUCAAGUUGUAUAAUAUUAUUAUUGAUUACCUAUUAUGUAUGAGGUAAUAUAAGAAUGAUUGAAUAGUUAUGGGUUAAAGAUCAUUUGGCUGAAGGUCUUAUUAUGGGUGAUUAUUUAUAUGAAUUAUACAUUAUGGAUAUUGUUGUCAAUGUAAUGCAAAUUGACACUUUUGAGAUUUUGAGGUAUAAUUCACAUAAAUAUAAAUGGAGCUAAUUAUGUGGGAAUUUCUCAUAUUGUAGACUCUCAAUUUUGUCUCCUUAGCAUAUUCCUUAGGUGUUAUUUCAGUACUGUGUAACAGUUCCCUAAUGGCCCAUUGCUACUCAUACAACCUACCUUUUUGAGCCACCUUAGAGACUCUGAUUGAGGGAUUUAUCUCUCCCCAUUGUGACCCUUGGCAGCCCCGAAUUAGACUUAGGAUUUUUCUUCUUUUUUUAGGAUAGCUCAUUUAGGUACAUUUUUAGGAUAACAUACUUAGGCAUGUUUAAGCACACUUUUUAUAUCACUUAGGUUCACUUAAACACUUCUUACGCACACCUAGGCACCUUUUAGCUUGCACACACUCACCCAAGGUCACCUAGGCACUUUCCAAAUUACACACACUCACCUUAGGUCACUUAGGCACCUUGUUGAUCCUCAUAGGUCACUUAGGACCACUAAGUCACACCUUAGGUCACUUAGGCUAACCUUAGGUCACUUAGGCACAUUAUAAUUCAACUAGAUUCACCUUGGCACAUUACACUUUACCUAGAUUCACCUAGGGCACAUUUAGGUACACCCUAACCCAUCUAGGCACACUCAAGCCCACUUAGGCACGCCUUGAUCCAUUGAGGCACACCUUAUCCCAUUUAGGUAUACUCUAGGUCACUUAGGCACCUUUCUAAUCACCUUAGGCAUAUGUAGACAUUUUUUAGAUCACCCUAGGUCACUUAGGCACGUUUCAGGCUCAUCUAGGCCCACCUAGAUUCACUUUGGCCCAUUUAGAUUCACCUAGGCCUAUUUAGGUGCAUCUAGGCUCGAUUAGGUUAGCUAGGUCCACUUAGACACAUCUUUGGCCCACUUAGGAAUGUCUUGGCCCUUGCAGGUACACCUGACCCACUUAGGCACACUCAAGCCCACCAAGGAUCACUUCAUAUGGAUUGUUUCACUUUAAGUUGGACUUUGGUUUUGAUUGCUUGAUUUUUGAGAUUAGGUAAGUAUGUGGUUUGAUUUAGAUUUUUUUGAUUGCUUGAGGUGAAUUUUCAUUAUUUAAUUAUGUUAAUUCGAUAUUUCAUUUUUCAAUUUUAUCUAUUCCUUUAGUUUAAUAUUAAGUAUUUCAUUUUUCAAUUUUAUCUAUUCCUUUAGUUUAAUAUUAGGAUUUGUGAUCGCAUGUGUUUAGUAUUUAUGUAUUUAUUCAUUUAUUUUUGUUUUAUUUAGUUAUUUAUUUAUUUUUGCUUACUUGUUCAUUUUUUUUAGGAAAGUUACAUAAGGUCGCUUCUACUUAUUUUUCUAAUUGCAUGAAUUAAUUACUAUUACUAUUAUUAUUAUUGAUUUUCCUAUAUAAGUAUGUGAUUGAUUUCUUUUAUUUUAUUUUUACUUUUCAUGAUUUUUGAUUCUACCAUUUUUAUUUUAUUUAUUUCUUCAUUUAUUUAUUUUUGCAUGAAUCCUGUGGCUAUGCGUUGGAGAAUCUACAUUAGAGAAGACUCUUAGGAAGACGAAUUUGGAAGGUUUUAGAAAAGGAAAGGGGUUGUUAGCUAUUCGGGAGAAAAAGGAAGGUUGAAAACGUGUUUUAGGAAGGAUAUUUGGGCAAAAGUCUUUUGGGGAAAUAAAGGAGAUUCAAUCAUAAAGGAAAAAAAAAAAAAGGAAUUUUCGUGUGUGGUGAUGGAAAGGAAAGAUUGAGCGGGUUUAAGAAUGAAUUCAAGGUGUUUUGAAGAAGGGAGAACAUGUGUGAGGAAUAAGAGGAUUCAAUGACUUUUAGAAGAAAGGGUUGUCAUGUAUAGAGUGUUGUAUUUAAGGGUAUGGAAACAAAGGACUAGUCCAAAACAGACAAACAAAGAACAAAAUGAAUAACAAGGAAACUUGGUGCACUGUCCUUGAAAUAGAUCCACCCUCCUCGAAGACGAACUCGGUGCAUUAGGGUACCAUUGGUCUACCUCUAGGAUUUAACAGCCAGAAAAUCUCAUCUUUGGUGCACUCUAUAAGCGAGACGUAUACAGCUCGGGUUCUGAAAUAUUCCUUCAGAUAGAUGUAUGAAAGGCUCUCUGAAAAACUCUUUGAAAAAUUGGGUGUGUAGAGAGUGAAGGGUGACCUGCUUUUAUAGGCCACAAACACAGUCCAAAUGAGACUCUACUUGUAAUCUAAACAGAACUUUACUUGUAAUUUGAACAGAACUUUACUAUUCUACAUGUAAGCAGAAUGGGACACUACUAGCAUAAUCCUAGUGGGACUCUUCCCAAAGAUAAAAGACUAAGUCAAACGGAAUAAAAAUUUAAAUUAAAAUAAAAUAUUUUGAAUUUUGUAAAAAUUAGUUGAAUUCGCUAAAACACUUUUUCACAUUUACACUCUUCCUACAAUCUCCCACAGAGUGUAGAUGUGAAAGAAAAAAAUGGAGGAAAAAAGAAUCCAAUACAUCAGUACUAGUGCCCAAAGGCUAUGAACCAAUCUUAGGACAAAUAAGUAUUGAAUCACAAAACACGAUGAAAAUAAAUUUCUAUGAACCAAUGUUUCUUGAUGUAACUCAAGGAACUUUUAUCCACAUUCAUUUUCUCAACUACAUUACAAGCUGUUCAAAACGGGUUGGCACAAAUAAGCCAUGUGCCCUGCUUGGAUAUUCAUGAGAGUUCUAGAGAACCUGCCUAAGUUCUCAUAGGAAGCGGUCUCACCUCCACUCUCAUAUAGGUGAAUCCAUCAGGUAUGUUCUACAUUUAAACAUACCAUCCAUAAGGAAUAUGGUAUUCAUUAAGAGUAAACACUCAACCUUAGUUAAUGCAAAAUAUACUCUAUUUACACCAUAGGGAUAGACUCUCAUACAAUUAAAGUCAAUAGAGUACUUUAAGUCAACAAGUGAUUUGUUAUUACCCAUAUGAACCUACUUCAUGGAAUUUCCAUUCUAAUAGCUUGGGUUACCACCACUCUUGACUUCUGUAAUAGGCAUAAGCCCCAUCCCCCGUGAUGUUUCUUCCACUAGUUUCUUAUUUAGUGAUUUGGUCAAAGGAUCAACCAAGUUCAAAUCUGACAUCACAAAUUCUAGGGAUAUAAUCCCUGUUUCAAGCAACUGUCGCACAAUAUUGUGCCUUAUGAGUAUAUGCCUAUUCUUCCCAUUAAAUAUUUUACUCUUGGCCUUAGCAAUUGCAACUUGGCUAUCACAAUGCAUAAACACAGGUGGGGCUGAUCUCGUCCAUAAAAAGAUAUUUGCUAAGAGGUUUCUAAACCACUUAGCCUUAGAACUUGCCUUUACUAAGGCAAUAAGCUCAACCUUCAUAGUAGACCGAGUAAUGCAAGUUUGCUUGGUGGACUUCCAAGAAACUGCAUUUUCACCAAGGAUGAAAACAUGUACACUAGUGAAUUUCAUCUCAUCUAAAUCUGAGAUCCAAUUUGCAUUACUAAAUCUUUCAAGGACACUUGGAAAUCCACUAUAGCACAAACCAUAGUUAAUGGUGCCUCUUAAAUACUUAAGGACUCUACGAACAACAUUCCAAUGGUCCUGAUUAGGACUUUGGGUGUACCGACUCAAUCUACCUACUGCAUAAGCAAUGUCAAGUCUGGUAUAGUUCAUUAAGUACAUUAGGCUCCCUAUGAUCUGAGCAUACUCUAUUUGGGCAACACUGUGUUUUCUAUUUUUCUUCAACUGUGAGCUGGGAUAAUAAGGAGUUGACACUAGUUUACAAUCAAAGUGUUCAAACUUCCUUAGGAUCUUCUCAAUAUAGUGCUCUUGAUAAAGUUUAAACCUAUUAGGUGUUCUAGUUAUUUUAAUUCCUAGAAUUACUUUUGUCUCUUCUAGGUCUUUCAUAUCAGACUUAGAACCUAGGAAUUUCUUAGUCUCACACACAACCUCUAGGCUAGGUCCAAAGAUCAGCAUGUCAUCAACAUAAAGGCAGAUGACUACACGUGUUAUCCUCAUACUUGUUGUAGACACACUUAUCAACAUCAUUAAUGGAAUAUCCAUUAGUUACUAACACAUGAUCAAACUUCUUGUGUCACUAUUUGGGAGCUUGUUUUAGCCCAUAUAAUGAUUUAACUAGCUUACACACCUUUUUCUCAUUCCUUGGUUGUUUUAAAUUUCUUUUAAAGAUCCACUUACAACCAAUAGUCAUUGCACCAGGAGGUAUAUCUACUAACUGUCAUGUAUGGUUAUACAUGAUUGAUUCGAUUUCACUGUUUAUGGUCUCCUUCUAGAAUGGUGUAUCAGGAUAAGUUAUAGUUUUUUUGUAGGAUCUAGGGUCCUUAUCUAUUAGGAAGGUGUAGAAACCAUCUCCAAGGUUUGUUUCCUUCCUAUCUCUUUUACUUCUUCUAAGUUCAAAUUUAGAAGGUUCAAUAGACUCGUCUCUACUUGUUUUCUGAACUUGUUUUGCAACGACCCACACCCAACUAUGUAGAUAUUGUCCGCUUUGGGCCCAAGAGGGCCCUCACGGCUUUAAAACGUGUCUACAGGGUUAAGAAAAGUCCAUACUUAAAUAGCGUCAGGAAUUUUCCCCCCUAUCCGAUGUGGGAUGUCAUAAACACCCCCCUUAUCCAGACACAAUGUCCUCGUUGUGUCCCACGGGAUUGCGGGGCCAAACAGAUGAACACCCCUAUGGGGCCAAACAAAUCCCCAUAUCGAGGUUGGAGAUCGGCUCUGAUACCAUUUGUAACAACCCACACCCAACCAUGUAGAUAUUGUCCGCUUUGGGCCCAAGGGGACCCUCACGGCUUUAAAACGCAUCUACAGGGUUAAGAGAAGUCCAUACUUAUAUAGUGUCAGGGACUUUCCCCCCUAUCCGAUGUGGGAUGUCACAAAAGUUCACCAUUUAGUUUCAUAGGAAAGAUGUUUUCAAAGAAAUCCGCAUUCUUUGUUUCUAUUAUGGUAUUGACAUCUAUAAGACUAUUUUCUGACUUAGUAACAAGAAACCUAUAUGCCGCACUAUUCUCAGCAUAGCCAAUGAACAUUGCAUCAAAGGUUUUAGGAUCUAGUUUUUGUUUUUUAGGUUCAGGGAAAAGGAUUUUGGCUAAACACCCUCACACUUUAAAGUAUGCUAUAUUAGGUGCAUAACCUUUCCAUAACUCAUAAGGAGUUGUACUGGUUUUCUUGUAAGGUAUUCUAUUUUGAAUAUGACAAGUGGAGAUGAUAGUUUCCUCCCACAAGUUCAAGGGUGCUCCUGAACUUACCAACAUUGGAUUCAUAAUUUCUUUUAAGGUCCUAUUUUUCGUUUCUGUUACUCCAUUAGACUCAGGGGAAUAAGGAGGAGUAGUUUCAUGAACGAUCCCAUGAUCUUCACAAAAAAGUUAAAGGGGUUGGACUCAUACUCUCCUUCCCUAUCGAUUCUAUGCCUUUUAAUUUUCUUACUUAGUUGAUUUUCCACUUCAUUUUUGUACUUGAUGAAAACAUCUCUUGCUUCAUCUUUGUUUGUCAAAAGAUAUACCCUUGUAUACCUUGAGUAGUCAUCUAUGAAAGUUAUGUAGUAUCGUUUACCACCUCUAGUCAUUGUAUUUUUUAGGUCUCUUAAGUCACUGUGUAUUAAACUUAGUAGAUCUGAUUUUCUUUCAAUUGUUUUGCAAGAUUUUUUUGUGGUUUUAGAUUUUACACAAGAUUCACAUUUUCCAUGGUUUUCUAAGGAUAGUUUAGGGAUUAAAUUCAAUUCAACCAUUUUCUUCAUAUAUGAAAAGUUCAUAUGUCCUAGUCUACCAUGCCAAAUAUUGCAAGAAUCAACAAUGUAAGCAGAAGAAGAAGAUGCAUUAUUAUUGAUAAUAUCAUAAACAUUCAACAUAAAUAAACCCUAAUUACAAUAGCCCUUUCCCACAAAUGCAUCAUUCUUGGUUAAAACUAUUUUAUCAGAGUCAAACAAGAUCCUCACUCCUACUUUCCCAAGCAGAGAUACUAACACCAAGAUCUAGCGGAUAUCUGGCACAUUAAGAACAUCACUGAAGGCAAACACUUUUCUAGAGGUUAGCUUGAUGAGAACUUUCUCUUUACCAAUCACUAAAGUAGAUCUAGAAUCACCCAAGAAGACUUGUUCCUCUCCGUCCUUUACAGUAGUAUAGGAAGUAAAUGCACUUUUGUUCCCACAGAUGUGCGUGGUAACCCUAGAGUUUGUCAUCUAGUCCUUCACAUUGGUGACCAUGCUCACCUCAGAGGAGAUUACUACUAUGAUCUCCUCUGUCUCCAUAUUUGCCUUUGAAUUGGACUUCUCAGUUAUCUUCCUAUGGCAACAUUGAGCUGCAUGGUGUCCAGACUUGCCACAGACAAAGCAAUUACCUCGUUUUUUAAUAGUUGGAUUUUGGACCUUGUUUGAUGCAUUGGGCUUGGUUCUAGAGUUUUGUUUUCUGGACCUAUCUUUUUUUUUUUUUUUUUGGUUUGAGUUUUUUUUUUUUUACUACAUUAGCCUUAGAAGACAAUUCCUUAGCUUUCUCAACAUCGUCCUUAUUUCGAUUUUGUUCCUCAAUCCUAAUAUGGAUUAUGACAUCUUCUAGGGACAUUUGUUUUCUUUUAUGUUUCAUGUUACUUUUGUGGUCUUUCCAAAACUUUGGAAGAGUCUCUACUAAAUAACCAACCACAAAAGAUUUGGGUAAUUUAAUGUCUUCAAUAACUAAGUUAUUAAUCAACAAGUGAUAGUCAUGGAUUUGAGAUGAUACAUCUCUAUCCUCGGUCAUUAGGAAAUUUCUAAAAUUUCCUAUGACAUAUUUCUGAGUUCCUGCAUCUUUCAAGAUAUAUUUUUUAUUCAUUGCAUCUCAAAUUUCUUUUGUAACUUUAAAUUGACAAUAAAUAUAAAAAAGUUCAUUAGAAAGGGUACUUAGAAUAGUAUGCCUAACUUGUUUAUUUCAUGUUUCCCAUGUAGGCAACUAUAGACCCCGUAUUUUUGGCUCGAUGCGUUCCCACUCAUUUGGCGAGACUCGCUUUUGAUUAAAAUGAAAAACUGAUUUUUUAUAAAAAGUUGGAGUCGCUACUGACUUUUAUUUAUUUUUUAAGGGGAAAACAAGUAAGAAUAAAACCCUUAAAAGGACUCCUGAUUUUUGUGGAAAAGUUGUCUACGAAAAACUUGAGUCUGGGUUCGGGGAUAAGGUUACUUAUUGGGAAGGUACGGUAAAGACUGUAACACCCUUCUAAGCCCCUAAAAAAUGGGUCUCUACUAAAUAAGAUGAAACAGAUAUGACAAUUAACUAGGAGGUCAAUGGAUACAAAAAUUAUCAUUGUUCAAAAACAAGUCAUGAUAAUGAAAUAAUAAACAAAAUGAGGGUGAGAGCGUACCUAUGUAGCAAAGAAUAAAACGUUGUCAUGAAAACAAGGUUAGUGUAUAAUGACAAGUGUAAAAAAAUCUCACACAAAACCAAAUCAAAAUCAAACAAAAUCAAUCGCACAGUUCAUUUGAAUUAUUUUCGAAAUAAAUGUUAUGAAUGUUGGGCCCCCACCAAAACCCAAUUUAUUUUGUUAUGAAUUAAUUCUCAUAAAUUCCAUUAUUUUGGAAUUAUGAAAACUUAUUCAUUCUUUUAUUUUUAAAAUAAAAAAAAUUGAAAAUGAGUUUUUUGAAAAUAAAAUUUGGAAUUUAGGAACUUUUGGAAAUGGAAUUUUAAGAAUUAAAUUUGGGAUAUUGGAAUUUUGAAAAUUUUGGGGAAUGGAAACUUAAAAAUUAAAUUUGGAAUUUUGGAAGUUUUGGAAAUUUUGGAAAUGGAAACUUAAAAAAAAAUUUGGAAAUUUGGAAGUUUUGGGAAAUUUUGGAAAUGGAAACUUAAAAUUAAAUUUGAAAUUUUGGAAAUUUUGGAAAUAACAAUUUUUUUUUUUAAAAAAAAUUAAGUUUGGAAUUUUGGAAAAUUGGAAGAUUUAUAUGAAGAUGAUAUCUUUAAAAAAAAUAAGUUUGUGAUUUUGGAAAAUUGGAAGAUUUGUUUGAAGAUGAUAUCUUUUUUUUUUUAAAAAAAAAAAUAAAUUUAGGAUUUUGGAAAAUUGGGAAAUUUAGAAAAUUAUUUGAGAAUUUUAGUUAGUGUGCUUAGAGAAUAGCCAUCAACAACCAUGUACACAUGGGAGGUUUAAGUGCAAAGGUAGGUCUGCUUUGUGAGUGCCACUUACUCUCCUUAAAAAAAAACAUAUUCUAAAAAAACUUGCCAACCUAGGACGUAUUAUACCCAGUUUUAUCCACACCUAUAUAUAAAGGAUUUGAAUCAUGCAAGUCAUGCGCCAAUCGAACCCACUCAAUAUCUCAAAAUGAUAACUGUCUGACACGGGAAAUGAAACCAUGUUUAUGCAUUUUCUUUCACAUGGGCCGGUGCUAGCGGCAGUGGGAAAUGAGGUCUGGAUUGAUAGGAGCUGAGGAACAAAGCUAGACGAUGUUCCGGGGGUGAUUGGUGGGCAUUGUGAGUGGGAUAAGCUGGCGGUGGCUGUGUGUGUGUGUGUUCAUAAUGGCAACUUGGUGGUCUGAUGGUGUGAUCAUGUGCUUGUUGCUUUUCUCCUCACAAUCAUGAAAACACGCACUAAAGUGACUGAAAUCCCUCCAAAAAUCAAGCAUCAACACAACACCAAUGUGGUAAAAUGGAGCAGCAUUUAUGGAUCCAUGAAUCCUUCAUGAAUUUACCAUAAAAAAAAUUAAUAACCAAAGCCACUACACAUUCAUGAAUUCUUUAUGGAUUGUCAUGAAAAUACUCCAUUCACGGUGACAAAACUAACGACCACAAUGUUCCAUAAUUCAGUCGUGAGAGGAACACUCUAUACACGGCCACGAUAUCCCCAUUGUUUCAUUUUUAAAAAGCAUUAAAUAUCAAAGCCACUAGCAUGAUCUCCACGGUUGCUGCAUAUAAAUUCAACCAUUCAUUUUAUUUUUAAUUCCAUCCACCAUGUCAUUGUCUUGUGAAUCUUCAUUAAAUUCUCUAAAUAUUCGACCACUGCAUUCACACUUUCAUUUUUUUUUCUUUAUUUAUUUAUUUUAAAGAAUCAAUAAACAUUGAAGCCACUAAUAUGAUAUCCACUCAAACACCAACACGACAUGAAUUUUAGCCACAUGACGACCAAUUUCACUUGUAUUUCUUUUCUCCAUUAGCGCAACAAAGUGGGUUCACAUGAAAGUGGUGGUAUUCUCUAUUAGAUCUUCACAUGAAAACAAUUGCAUCUUCCAUUAAAUAUUUACUCAAUGUGCCGCCAUUUUUAGCCAUAAAAAAUUAAAAAUCUAUUAACCUACACGCAUGGUUUCUAGUAAAUCAACAUUAUUGAAUCAUCUAUUUUCCUUGUCGAAUUCAACCACGAGAACACACAGCUGUAACUUUCCGAAAAUUCAUUUCUUCAUUAACAGAAAGUAUUUCCACCAAAAUCAUCCAAACACACUCAUAACCCAUUGUACCCAGAAGAAACGCAUGGUGGUAAACCACUUGAUGCACACUACGGGAUGGACACCAAAACUAAAGGAAAACAACAAUAAUAUUGCAACAAAAGAAACAGAUUAUAAACACAAAUCAUUAAGCCAUUAAAUGAAGAUUUAUCUCAUGGAAUACUAGUAAGCUUACAAGCUAGGUGAAAAAGACCAUGAAUUCUAAGAAAAAAAUGUAAUAAUAAAAAUAUGAUCUUUAAGCAUCACACAACGAAACUAGACCAAAUCUGUAUUAUUUAUCCAUCAUAAACAAAGAAACAGUUGUUGGAAAAAAUGGCAACCAACUUGCAAAUGUCUCAGACAUUAAUAAACAGCAUAAGGCCAUCUACUACUCAUACCUCAAAUUGACAAAUAAACAUCCAAGAACAUCAUACAAUGAACGAGGAACAUGGUAAUAAUGAAAAUAAACAAGAAAUCUGCAAUAGUCAUACCUCAAGGUGUUCCUCUGUUUUGCUUCUUCUUUGUUUUACUUCUCAAAACCCACUUUACCGGAACGUCUCUUUCUACCCAGAAAAUAAAAAAAUCUCUUCCCCAUGACAGCCUUUUCUUCCUUCCUGUGUUGUUUCUCUCUCUGCCUUUCUCCCACUCUCGUCUCCUAUCCAGUUCUCUCUCUCUCUCAAAACCUACUUUUUUCUUUUUCUUCUUUUUCUCUACUCUAACAACUCUCCCAUCUCUCCUACUUUUUCUCUCAAUCCCUUGCUCGGUUUUCCUUCUCUCUCAGUUCCUUCUUCAAACCAGUUUUCUGCCACUCCUUACUCUAUUUUUCUCUCUCAUCUCUCUGUUUUCUCCUCUUUCCAUUUGAAUCCCCUCCACCCUCUGUUUUUUCUUUCUUUAAAUCUCAAUGCUCUCCAUCAAAAACCUCUUCCCCUUCCUCCAGACUUCCUUGGCCUCCCUCAUCUUUUCCUCUUCUUUAAAUCUCAAUGCUCUCCAUCAAAAACUUCCCUCAUUUCCUCCAGACUUCCUUGGCCUCCCUCCUCUUUUCUUCUUCUUUAAAUCUCAAUUCUCUCCAUCAAAAACCUCUCACUUUUCCUCUAGACUUCCUUCACUUUUGAUUUUCUUUCUUCCCUUUUAAGAUACCCCACAUGACUCCAUUUUCCACAACCUCCCUCAGAAAGCCCCAGCCUCCCUCUUUUUCUUUUUAAAAAAUCCUUUUUCCAUGCAUUUUUUUUCCAUUAAUUGUUUUUGGAACUUCACUUUCCUAUGCAUUUUUUUUUAUGGUGCAACUUUAGUCCUCUAGUAGCGUUCUCUCUUUACAUCUCUUAACUUAACAACCAUCUUGUUGCAUUUUUGAGAGUUCUCGAACUCCCAUGCAAAAUAAAUAAAUAAAAGAGCUACAAAUUAAAAACCUUAUAAUAGAAAAUGAAUAAAUAAAUAAAUAACACUACUACAAAAAUAGUUUAUGGUGUCACUAUUUACGGUGUCACUUUUAAAAUAAUGACACCAUAGGAUUUAUAAUUAAUAAAGGUGACACAUCAUAUAAAAAAUCCUCAAUUGAGGUAGUUAGAUGAUAUUAAUUUUAUAUUUAUAGUGUCAUUUUUUGGGAAGUGACAUCAUAUAAAAUAAUUUUUUUAAAGUAUUAUAACCCAUUUUUAGAAUUAAUAAUGAUGGAUACUAUAUAAAAAUCCCAUUGUUUCCAUAUCUCACCCACAAUCCAAAAAAUCUCAAUAUAUAAAUCCUAUAUAUAAAAUCAUGAUCUUCUUCAACCUUUUCUCUCACCCAUAGUCAACACGCUCACAACUGAUAUUCUUCACUUUGUGGACUUCCAGGUAACUCAAAAUCUCUUGGAUCUAUCAUUUUUUUUUCUUUUAUUAAUGUCAUUAUAUUAAUUGUUUCAACAUCUUUGUAUUAUGGUUUUUGUGAAUUGUGUAUUCUUGAGUUGUAGGGAAGAAAAAUUUAGGUUUAAUCUUCUAGCAUAGAAGAAAAAACUGUAGAUUAAUUGAUUUUUUAAUCUAAACCAAACACAUGAUCAAAUCCUUAAAAAAAGUGAAAAACAGGAAAAAAAAUGAAUGAUUUUUAAUAUCUAUUUGUGUGAGAAUGACAGGUACAGAAUUUUUUUGAGAUAUACUAUCACAUAAUCUUCAUCCUUUCUAAAAAACGAGAGAGGAAAAAAAAAUGAUUUUUCUGUUUGUAUCUAAGUGGGAAUGAGAUAUAGAAUUUCGUUAAGAGUAUCCAACCCCAAAAGGACCAAUUCGGGAAGGCAUGUGUGGUAUUGACGGGAGAUGAUAAGAUGGAAAUCAUAACCAUAGCCAUGUUCGAUCUCUCUAUGUCUUUCUAUCCUCUUUAAUUAAUUCAUGGACAUAGAUAUUUUAUUUAGUUUUUAUAUUUAGUUUAUUUAUAGUUUAUUUAGUUUCUAAAAUCCAAUUAGCUAGAUAUUUUAUUUGAUUUUAUUUUUAUAUUUAAGUAGUUGAGUUUUGGAAAGUUUUUAUAUUUUGUUAAUAGAAAUAGAAAUUUUUAUAUUUUUUAUUAUUAGGAAUUUCUAUUUUGUUAAAUUGUAAGUAUCUAUCUCAAUAAGAGAUUAUUAAUAUUCAAAUGAAAGUGAUGAAAGAGAGUAAAUAUUUUAAUGCUCAAUUAUAUUUUAAAGUUUUUUUUUUUUUUUUACAUAAGGGUUUAUUUAUGUUUUCAAUUUUGAAGUUCCCUUUCCAAGUCCAUCAACAAAAGUAGUGUCCAACCUUAAAAUGGGCAUGUGUGGUAUUGACGGGAGAUGAUAAGAUGGAAAUCAUAACCAUAGCCAUGUUCUCUCUGUGUCUUUCUAUUCCCUUCAAUUAAUUCAUGGGCAUAGAUAUUUUAUUUAGUUUUUAUAUUUAGUUUAUUUAUAGUUUAUUUAGUUUCUAAAAUCCAAUUAGCUACAUAUUUUAUUUGAUCUUGUUUUUAUAUUUAAGUAGUUGAGUUUUGGAAAGUUCUUAUAUUUUGUUAAUAAAAAUAGAUAUGAGGACUUAAAGAGUUUAUAUUUAGGUAGUGCUUGAGCCAAGGAAAAUGAUAGUCCACUAUCUUGACCCUAUGCAUCACAAACCAUGUGAGGACUUAAAGGAUAUCGUAAACAUGUAAGUUCUUCCUAUUAUUUUUCAUAGUAUUAUUUUUAAAUAAAAAAAAUACAUUCACCUCAAACACAUUUUUUUAUUAUUUAUAUAUAUUAAAACAUAUAACAUUUACCUAUUUUUAAAAUGUACCCAUUGAACUUAUUUACAUAGGACUCUUCGAAUAUCUGCAAAGAAAACAUCUAAGAGGGAGUCAUCUUAGCAACUAGUGCAAGUGACAUCCAAAAAUUUUUCUUUACACAUUAGCUUAUGCAUUUGCACCAUUUAUAUAUGUGAGUACUAAUGUUAUUUUAUAAUUGAUCGAUUAGUGUCCAAGAGGGUUCGAAUGUGGCUACUUUGUUAUGAGAUUCAUUCAAGAGAUAAUUUUUUAUCCUACAAUUAUUGCUUCAAAGGUAUUACUUAUUUAAUGAAUUGUACAUAGUUUUAGGCUUCCAAAUGUUAUGCAUUUUAAUGUUAUUUUCUUAUUUGAUUUCAGUUUUGUGAUAAAAAAAAAACCAUAUUCUCAAGUAGAAUCAUAUUUCCAUUUAUUCAUCAGAAGAAGCGUCCUUCGAUGAAAUUAGAGGAGAAUGGGCUACUUUUGUGCUACAACUAAUCAUGAAUCAUGUUAAUGCAUCAUGAUCACCAUGCAUGGUGAGUCCCUUAGCUACUACAUGAAUUUUUCCAUAGGUAUUGUAUAGUAAUGCUUAUUCUUUGAAUAAUGUUUCUAUUUGAAAAAAAAAAUAGUUCUUAGAUUUGUUCAUUUAUGAUAACAUCGAUCCAUGUUUAUUUUCUUCAAUAAAAAUCUCUAAAACUCAUUAAAUUUUGAAAUGCAGGUAUACACUCUUGGGAUGGUGAAAUGGAGAAUAAAAAGAAAGAAGAAGGCAACAAGAUUUUGGGUUUUUAAAUGCAACUCUUAUGUUAUACGUUGUAGGACAUAAACGUUAUUUUAAUUGCAACUGAGAAAUUUAGAUUUUUAGAUGGGACUUUUAUGUCAUUUUAUGGUUAGCCGGUUUUAUGCUUAGAAAAUGGAGGUAUACAUGAAUCUUGGGAUCUUUAACAUUUCUAAAUCAUGUUUUGGUAUGUAUUCACUCUUCUUUUUUAGUUUUGAUGGGUUUGAUAUGUUGGACGUACUAUCAUUUUGUGAACAUUUGAUAUACAAAUAUUAUUAGAUGAUCAAUGUAUUAUGAGUUAUUCCAGAAACAUUACAGAAAAAUGAGUUAAAUAUAAUAUGAUUGUUAUAUUUAUGGACAAAAUAUAAAUAGGUUAAUCUUAUUAAUUCAUAAGCAUUACAAAAAUCAACAACUAAAACCAAUCAUAUCUUCCACAAUAAUUUACAAUGAUGUGAUACCAUAACUUAAAGGUGAUGCAUUUAAUGUGACAUCAUAACUCAAAGAUGAUGUAUUUAAUGUGACACCUUAUCAUCACUAGAAAUAUAUGGUGUCACUUCCGAAUGGGUCAUCAUUUAUCUACUUUGGUGUCACUUCCAAAUACGUCACCAAUUGGUACCCUCUAUGGUGUCAGUGGAGAAGGUGAUGCUAUGUUGUAGUGACACCCUAUGUUUAUGGUGACUCAUUAUAAAUGUCACCAUAUACCUUUUUCCUUGUAGUGUAAAUAAUCAUGCCAAUUUGGAAAAGAAAAAUGAAAAAUAUCAAUACAGGCAUAUAUGAGAAAAAUCUAAGAAUUAAUUCAUGAAAUAAUAAUAAUGAUAAUAAUGAUGAUAAUAAUGAUAAUAAUAAUAAUAAUAAUAGUAAUAAUAAUAAUAAUAAUAAUAAUAAUAAUAAUAAUAAUAAUAAUAAUAAUAAUAAUAAUAAUAAUAAUAAUAAUAAUAAUAAGAUAAGAUCACUAAUCACAUGCAAUUUUUUGAAAAUAAAUAAUUAGAAGAAUAAAUAAAUAAAACAAGGAAACAAAUAAAUAUCAAAUGCAUAUAAUUAAUAACCCAAAUAUUAAACUAAAACACAAUAAAUUAAAAAAUUAAAUUGAAAAAAUACAAAAUACCAAAUUGACACAAUUAAAUAUCGAAAAUUCAUCUCAAGCAAUCAAAAUCAAAAUCAAGCCAAAUACUCACCUAAUCUAAAAAAUCAAGCAAUAAAAAAAAAAAAAAAAAAAUCAAUCUAAGGGAAUUAAGCCCAAAAAAACAUCUGAGUGACCUAGGUGAAAAGUGCCCAAGUGACCUAAGUGGGAAUUGCCAAGGUGAACUAGGUGGAAAUUAAACUGAGGAGGUGUCUAAGUGAGCCUAAAUUAAGCUCAAAAGAUAGCCAAGGUCAUAAUGGGAGUCCAAAUGAGCCUAAAUGGAUUAGGUGUACCUAAAUGGGUCAAGAAUACCUAAAUGGACCGAAGUGAUAAAAAAUGUGCUAAGUGACCUAGAAGGUUGAGAAAAGUGCCUAAGUGAUAUGGGGUGAUCAGAAACGUGUCAAGUGACCUAGGAGUGUACCUAAUGGACCAAGUGCAACUAAAUGGGCCUAGUGUGCCUAAUGGGCCAGAUGUAUCUAAGUGAGCCUAAAUUAAGCUCAAAAGGCAGCCAAGAGAUGACUACGAGUCAAAAGAGAAGUAUGAAAAGACACUUGGUGUUACACCUGUUAAGAGGACAAAAUGGAGGGUCUACAACAACAAAUCAGAAUCAUCUUCUGGUUUUGGGUUAGUCAAAAUGUGUUCCAAGUUCACUACAUCAAUUGCAGAGAAAACCCUUUCCUGCCAUCUCUUGAAGAAUGUCUCGUUUAAGGGAUCAAUCUUAGAGGUGUCGAACAGGUGUGAACUAGGGAAGCUUCCAUCUGGGAUAUAUUUCAAGAUUGUUGUUUUUAAGGGUAUGGAAACAAAGGACUAGCCUAAAACAGACAAAUAAAGAAUAGAAUGAAUAACAAAGAAACUUAUUGGCCAAGGUGUUACAAAUACUGUCCUUGAAAUAGAUCCACCCUCCUUGAAGACGAACUCAGUGCACUAGGGUAUCAGUGGUUUACCUCCAGGAUUCAACAGUUAGAGAAUAUCGUCUUGGGUGCACUUUGUAAGCAAGAUGUGUACAACUCGAGUUCUGAAAUAUUCCUCCAAAUAGAUGUAUGAAAGGCUCUUUGAAAAACUCUGAAAAUUUGGGUGUGUAGAGAGUGAAGGGUGAUUUUCUUUUAUAGGCCACUAACACAGUCCAAAUGAGACUCUACUUGUAAUCAAAACGAAACUCUACUUGUAAGUGGAACAGGAUUCUACUUGUAAGCGGAACAGGACUCUACUAACACAAUCCCAAUGAGACUCUUCCCAAAGAUAAAAGACUAAGUCAAACAAAAUAAAAAUAAAAAUUAAAAAAAUAUUUUGAAUUUUGUAAAAAUUAACCAAAUUUGCUAAAACUCUUUUUCACAUUUAGACUCUUCCUACACAAAGGAUUUAUUAAAAUUAGCCGAAUUAUCUGAAUUCAAUCUACACACUUUUCACCGAAUUAACGUUUGUUUUAUUAUUAUUUAUCUGUUUUGCCAAUUUGGUUAGCUUAAAUCUUGAGUUCAUUAACAUUUGGUGAUGUUUUUAUUUGUUUUAGAGGAUUAGAUAGCUUGAAUAAAAUAAUUGUCUAGAUUGAAUCCCAUUUAUUUGUUUUAGAAAUAGAAUAGUUCAAAUAAAAUAAUUUUUUUGAUUGAAUCUUGUUUAUUUGUAUUAAAAAAUAAAUAAAUAACUCAAUAGAAUAUUUGUUUGAGUUGUAAUGCUUUUAAAAUUAUCUAAUUUUUUUUUUGGAUUGAGUAGAAAAUUUUUUCUUUUGUCAAAAAUGAAUUUUCUCCAUCAUGGAUGUAGCUCCUUGAUUCCAAAUGAAAGGUAGCCGAAAAGGGGAUCUAAGUUAGUUUUUCUCUUUUUUCCUUCAAUCUUGUAAGUUAGAAAAUAAAAAUCUUCAUUUUGUGUAUUGAUUGAGGUUUAUUAAUUUGUUUGGUCUCUUUUGCUUCCCUUAAAAUCAUUUUCAAAAGUAUUUAAAUCAUCAAAAGGCUUUGAAAAAAAAUAUUCAUUCUAGAUUAGGCAAAGAAUACAUUUUCUUUAAUUUAAAAAUUAUGCAACUCUAUUUUAUCGAGGUUGCAUUCUUUUUUUUCUUUUUCUUUUUUCAAAUUUUGUUUUUAUUCACAUAGGUAUGGACUUAUGCUCCCAAACUAGUGGGAGUACACAAGUAAAACUUAUGGAUAUUGAAUGGGGACUUGAUGGGACCCCAACAUUUUCCAAACUCAUCUUUGUUGCCACUUUUGUUACUUGUUGUAAUCAUAACCAUCAAUUUUUUAGAAAUUAUUUACAAGAUGUAUGCGAUAAUUGAUGAUUCUGUAUACUCUAAUCAUUUUGCUAUGCUAUUUAAAUACCAAACAUGCUAUGAAUUUUUUUUUAAAUUUUAAAUUUAUUAUUUAUUACUAUAAUUUUGAUCUAACCUCCUGUGUCUUGUGGAAGCACAUUAUAAGUUACCUAUGUUAUUCAUGCACGCUUCUUACCUUUGUAUUUUAAUUUCAUAAAUUAUGUAUUGCUUAAUAUAGGAUUGUUAUGUAUUGCUUCAUAUGUGAUUAUCAACCUGUUUAGCACAUAUUUUUUAUUGUUUGUUUGGCUUGUCAUGUUGAUUGAGAGACUAGGGUAAAAUGCAAACUAACCAUUGAUAUCCUAUAAUAACACUUAAGUUACGAUUCAGGUACGCACACUAUCAUUUUAUUAUGCUUAUGUUUUGACUUCUUGUUUGACAUGUUAGUGCUAAUAGAGUUUUGAAAUCACCUUAGCUUAUCCAGUUACUCUCAUUCAAUUGAUUAAUUUUCAUACUUCCCUCAACUUGGCUAAUAGAGACAUCUUUAGGGCUUAGGGGGUGCUACCUCUUUGAGGUACCUUCCCAGUAGAUAACCUGAUCUCUCGGACCAAGACUCAGGUUUUUCAAGACACGCUUUUUCAAAACUAUGGAGUCACUUCUUUAAAGUUUUCUUUCUUGUUUUAUUUUCCCUUUUAAAAUAAAAUAAAUUAUGUGGUGACUCCGACUUUUCCAAAACUAAUUUUUCACCAUUAAAAAGUGAGUCUUGCCGACGAGUGGGGACGCACCUGAAAAAUGCAGGUCCACACAUAUACUCUCAAAUUCUUGCUAUAGUAACAUGUCUUACAUGUUUAUAAUUUUGUAUUAUUAUUGAUUUAUAUAAAGCCUUUGAUAUUUGCCCUAUUUACAAAGUCUCAUUUAAGUUUUCUCAUCAUGUUUGACAAUUCUGGUUAUGAUUGUUGUAAUAUUAUGGUUUUCCAAUAAACUUGUAUGUUUAACUAUUAUAUAAUGUUUAUAAUAAUAGUUAAUAUUGAUUUAUUACAAAGUAAUGUUUUUAUGGUAAUUAUAUUAUCACGUAAGAGUUCAUAUUAUUUAGUGUGUUAGUCACCAUAGUGGCCGAACUUGAAAGUUUCAUGAAUUUCAUAUUAAGUAAUACAUACUUACGUUAUUCAAUUACUCAUUACUUAUGGAUGCUUGCAAUAUAUUUAAAUACUUGUUGAAUAAGUAUAUUGAAAGAUAUUUAAGGAUUUAUUUAACCACUUUAUGAAUGAGGAAUAUGAUGAGAUAAAUCAUAUGUUUUAGUUAGAUUAUAUUUGUACAUCCAAAGAUUGCAAAUGUAUUUUAACAUGGGCUAUGAAGUUAUCCAUUAAAAUAUGUAUUAAAAACAUCAUAAAGGUAUUAUAUAUUGUAAUAUCUACCUAAAGGAGAGUUGUAGUAUAUAUGUAUUGUUUUUCUAAAUUAGUUGUUUGAAUCUGAUUGUGUUUUUGCUUAUAGCUUACCAAGUUUAAUCAUGAAAACAUGAUAUUUUAUGUUACAUUGUUGUCCUCAAAUUUGCUAAUUAUUUUGCAAUAUUAAGUUUAUUAUUGUUCCUCUAAAUAAGGAAUAUCCAUGAUUGAAGACUAAUUAAUAUCAUCAUGAAUUUUGAUAAUAUGUAAGAAAUGAGACUAACGAUCUUGGAAAUAAUUGAUGAAUUUUCAUAUUAUGCAAUCUUGUUUUAGUAUAGACCACUUCAAAUCUAUCCAAAACACUAUUAAGAAUGAGUGUGAUAUGAUUGAAUUGGUCAUCAUAUUUCUUUGAAAGGAAACAAGACUACUUGAUGAAAAUUCAUUCCCUUUGAAGAUUUAUGAAACUUAUAGGAGGUCAAUGAUUAAAGUCUACAAGAAUUAUGAAUGAACCAAUUAAAGAGAUGAUUCUUGUGAAAUUAUCAAGAAUCAUAAAAGGAAACUCAAAAUGUUGAGGAUCACUUUAUUGAAAAAUUAUGAAUAGUUGAAGGAUUGCAUAAAUUGUAAAAUAUGAUUUAAAAGAACAGUUAAGUUUUGUUCUUUUGUAUGAUUAAAAUCAUAUUUCAUUAACGUUUUCCUUUUAAUGAGAUUCAAAAAGAAAUUAAUAGAAUCAAAGUAUGAAGUUAGACAAUUAUGUUUUAAGGUGGUAAAUGUUACAAUUGCUAUUAAACUCUUUAGGCACUCAAUACUUAUGUUAUAUUAAGUAUGAUUGUAAUUCAAUGCUACUUGGUUAGGAGUAUGUCAAGUAUCUCUUACUACCCCAAAGGUAUAAGAUUUACAAUCCAAACCGAAGUAUCAUGAGUGAUUGUUGAAACUAAUAAUGUUGUGGUUCAUUAAGAAUGUUUAUAUCAGUGGGAGUGAUAAGCACCAUGAAAUAUGGUUAUCUAAGGAGUUAAAAUAAAGUUGUCUUUAACUUUAUAACUUCUAAAAUGUUGCUUACUAUUAACAAAGGUUAAAGUUAGUAAGUAACAACUAAAUGAUCAAUCACUCUUAAAUGAAGUUAAUUGGACCUCUUAUUAUUAGGAAUGACAUUAAAAAUAAACAAAUAAAUAAAUAAAAUCUUAUAAGGGGAAAGAUUUGUUAUUCCAAGUAUCAACCAUGUGGUAUUAUAACCACAUAAAAAAAUUUCAAGAUUAGAAGUUUAACAUGAAAUGUUCAACUUUUAGUUUUAUUUGAUACUUCAAGUUUGUUUCUCCAUUAAUGUAAAAAGUGAGCCAAGUGGGAGAAUAUCAUAUUUUCAUUAAGUGGCUCAUAUUUUAAUGAUUGAGUAAGUUUAAGAGAUAAACUUAUAGUUUUCAAUUAAAACUAUCAUUGAAAGUCAAUUAAAGUUGAUAUAUAAAUUUUAAUAUUCCUUUGUGAUAUCUUAAGCUCUAUGAUAUCAUAAUGUUCUUUGGAUUUAAGAAAACCACUAUGAUUUAGUAAAUAUAUCCAAAGAUCAAUGGGAGAAAACUUAUUUUUAUAUUGAUAAUGUCUUGCUAGUUAUUGUUGGAUUUCUAUUUAUUGCAUUAAGUUAUGAAAUAAAAUCUCAAAAUUCUUUGAUAAAAUAUAUAAAAGAGACAAUAUUAUGUGAUGGAAUAACAUAUCUUAUGUGAAGUUACAUGAAUUGUUAGAUUGUCUCAUCAAGUAUAUAUUUAAAGUUUUUUGAGAUAUUUGAUGGAUUGAAAGUGUUAUGAGAGAGGAACCUUAAUGUUGUAUGUUUUUCAUUUACUUUCAAAUUCAAUUAUGUUGAAUGAUAGGUAAAAGUCUACUUUUGCUAUUAGUUCAUAUUAAUUGAAGAUUAUGCAAAGGAAUAAUAUUAUGUAAAAGUAUGACAAUCUUCUAUCAAAGUAUGUAUUGUGACAUAAUAUGUCAUAAAUGAUGAAUUAUGGGUACGGAAUGUUAUUUUAGAACUUAAUUGGAUUUGUCGAAUUUAUCGCCAAGUUGCUAAAAAUAAUAUAUUCUACUGUCACUUCUUUUUCAACAACAAAUAUUUUAUGAUCAUCGAGGACAUAAAAGAUAAAGAUUUUGUUGUAUAUGAGAUAAUUUAGAAACAAGAGUGUUAAAUUAAUUGAUUAUGUGUACAACUUAUGAUUGAAGACCUAAUUAUGAAAAAAGUGCUACUAAGACAUUGAAUACCACGUAGAAAUUACGAGUCUUAGGCACAUUAUGGUAUUGGUUUCAUGAUGAUGAUUAUUUAUUGAACACUCUGGAGCUUGAUUAUAUGUUUAUGAAAUUUCCUUAUAUCUGUUUUGUAUACAUAAUUUCAUAUAGAUUGAUGUUAAAAGGAAAGUCUUUGACAAAGACAUUAUUAUGUAUUAUUAUUGUACUUCUCAUUUACAGGUCAUGUUAAGUGGGAGCUAUUUGUGUAGCACAUGGAAGGAAGGGACUAUCUCGAAAUAGUGAUGUACAACUGCCAUGACUCUCAUUAGUUUUCACUUAAUUAUGAUUUAUGAUGUGAUCAAUGUAAGAAUGUUUUAUCUUCAUAUUUUGCGCAUUAUGCUUUAAUUAUUAAAUCAUGAAGUGAAAGAAUAUCACAUGGGCCAAGUGGGAGAAUGUAAGAAUUUUAUGUGGCCCAUGUGUAUAUUAUUAUGUGAUAUUUAUUUAAAUGUCAAAUUAAGUAUUAUGGUCUAAUAGAUAAUAAAGCUAAAAUCGGUCAGUUUUUUGAUAAGUUAGUUUCCUAAAUUAAAAGCACUUUGAUGGAAAGUGCACUUCUAAUUCUAUAAGGAAACUAGUCCUCUCUCUACCCUAUAAAUAAGCGUUCUAUUCCAUCAAUAAUAUGCAUAAGAGAAAACCUAAGGGUGAAGGGGUUGAGGGAGAGACACAAUUUCUAUUAUACUUAUUGUUUGGUCUCUUCAAAAAUUCCAUAGGGAUUAAAGAUAUGUUUUUUGUUUUUUUUCUCAAUAAUAGAAUUGUAAAAAUCAUAUUAUUCUAAAAUCCUUGGCUAUUAUGAUUGUUUUACAAGAAUUAGAGUUAUGAUUGUUUUACAAGAAUUAGAGUUAUGAUAAUUCUACAAGUAUUAGGGUUAUUAUUGUUCUACAUAAAUAAAGAAAAUCUAACAUUUUAAAUUUCUUAUUUCUCAAUAAAAUAUCUCCUAAUAGUACUAAUCAUAUAUCUACAUUUUUUUCAAACUUAAUUAAUUUUCAAAAACCCAAAUCAUUAAUUCCAAUAGUAUUUAAGACUUAACUUCCUAAAAAAAUUUAUGUAGUAAAGCUAAUAUGAUGUAAAUUUAACUCACUUAUUUGACCAUUAGAAUUCUUUGAAUUUUUCCAAUUCUUUGACUUGUGUUCUUAAUUUUGCAUUUUUUGACUUUUCAACCAAAAAAGUUUUUACACUCGUAAUUUCCACAUGGCCUAAAAUACUUGGAUAUUACGUGAUCUUUCAGUUUUCCUUGCCUAGGCAUAUAUGGAGUUGUUGCGAAUACAUCAUGCUGAAAAAUAAGUACACCCUGUUAAAAAUUAACUGCAUCGAAUCAACAUCAUGGUGGGGAUCACUCUACUAAAUGGUGGCAGACGGCUUCAAGAAUGGCAGUGCAGUGGUUCUCAUGGUUAGAAGGGCAGCAGGGUGCUCCAGCCACGGUGGUGCUAAGUCAGCAUUGAUUCUUUAGUUGUACCAAUCACCUGAAUGUAGAACGAUGGUUUUGGAUUGUCUCAAGAUUUGUUUAACCACAAAAUAAUAAUAAUAAUAAUAAAAUAAGACAUUGAAGGUACAGUAAAGAAUUUAAGCAACCCCAAAUGCCUUUGUUAUAUAGACUUGAAGGAGAAAUGAAUAUAACUUACAAUUACAACUGUAAAGACAUGCACCACGCAUUUGGAGACAUUCUAGGUAGAGCUUCAAGUGAUUGAAAACAAGAAAAAUUUCUAUGCUUGAACUAUGCAAGUCAAAAUCAACAAUAAAUAGAAAUAAGAAGCUGAAAAAAAUGUCACGUGAUGCUAUUCAUGUCAUUCUAGGAACAAGUCCCUCACUUUAAGAAAUGGUUCAAUGAUAAGUUUUCUUGUUCUUCAUUAGCUACCACAUCCAAUUCGAUUGUGUCCAGCAUCACCGUAGACUCUUUUACUUUUAGAAUAUUCUACCAUCAACCAAUGAUCAACCAUAUUUCCAAAAGGAUUCGUAUUAAUUUAAGAUGAAUUUAUUAUAGAACUAAAAUGAGAAUACACUUUAAAAUAUUUAUUGGGAGUAAUUCAAUUAUAUUUCAAUAUAUUUGAAAAAUAACACUACUAUGAAAUUUAAGAUACAUGCCAUAAUUGAUAAUAAAAAUAUGAAAUAAUUUUAGACAAAAGUUUUGAUCUAGAAAAAAUCAACAGUUUUAAUUUUGUUGUUGUCUUAUAUAUAGUAGCUUGAGAUACAUACUUCACUCUGAAUGCAUUCCAAAUUUGAGUUAUAGAUGGAUAUGUUCUUCACUAUUUAAGUUUAAUUGAUAAUUUAUUCCAAAUAUGAGUUUAUGAAACUAAGAGGGUGUUUGUUUUUUUGGUUUUUUGUUAGAAACAAUUUUUUUUUUUUUCAGAAUUUAGGUUGCUUAUUUUUCUACUUUUUCAUUACUUAUUAUAAACUUUUUACUGAAUAGAAAAAACCAAAAUAUUUGACUUUUUCUAAAUAGAAAAAAUAACAUAUUGAUUUUUCUUUAUUUUUUAAUACUUAAUAGAAAUAAAAUACUAUAAAAACAAACAACCUAAUACUUAAUACUAUUAAACAUUAAAGUCCUAUUUAGAAUUAAGUAUAAAAAACAAACACCAUCUAAGUGUUUAGCUAAUCUAAAAGAAAAAAAGUCAAGUUUUAGGCAUUAGGGUUCGGAUUUCCAAACUCCAUAAAGUUAUAAAAUGACUACUAUUUAAGGUGAACCAUGUUGAGAAGUGUAUCAAAUUCCCCAUUUUUAAUUAUAUAUUCUUUUUUGUAGAAAUGAUAUUAUAUGGAAUGUUUUUCAAAGUUCAUAUGUGAUCGUAAUUAGAUUCUUUAUAGAAUAAAAAAACCUAGUAGAAAUAUCUCUCUAAAUAUUUUAGGUUAUGAGGGGAAAAAAGUUAUAAUAUAAGAUAGAAAUAGAGAUAAGAAGAGUAAGAGACAUUUGAUGAAGUAAGAGUGCUCACAACUUAAGUUGUAGACACAAAGACUAGGAAAACGAUGAAUGUUUAGGAACCUAGAAGUUGCAUAUGUUUUGUUAUUUGCGAUUUUUUUUUAUCAUACAGUGAAAUGUUAUCUCUCAUUCGUAGGUGUAGACAUGUUGACCAAACUUUGCACUUUAAAACUUUGACACCUUUAUAUCUGGAUUAUCUUUACUUUUUGUGUUCUUUCAUUCAUAUAUUUGCAUUGAAACUUUUGCAAGCCCAAUAAAUGGUAUCAAGUUUUCAUUAGCCCAACAAACUCAACGAUGUCCUUUCAAGAUGUAGCAAAAAGGCCUUUUAAAGGAUUUGUAUUUUAUCAUAAAAUAGAAAAGAAAGACAAGAAACAUUAUAGAAUUUUGACUCAUUUGAACCACUUGGCAAUAUAUUUAUCUUAUAUUGAAGAUAAAUAAUAUCUAGUCAAAAUUUUAUGGUGUUAUAUAGUCCACACAGAGAUUAAAGUAAUUAAGAAGGAGAAGGAAGAUGGCCUACCAAUAAGUUUCCACGAGGGCUUGAAUGAACAAAUAAAAUAGAGGGAUGGUGGUUAGAAUGGCAGAGUAGUGCUUCUCAUGGUGUUUAGAAGGGCAGCAGGGUGCUCCAGCCACGGUGUGACGGUGGUGCUAAGUCAACAUCGAUUCUUUAGUUGUUGCACCAAGCACCUGUACGUAGACUGAUGGUUUUGGAUUGUCUCAAGAUUUGUUUAACCACAAAAUAAUAAUAAUAAAAAGAAAUAAGAUAUUGAAAGUAUAGCAAAGAAUUUAAGCAAGUCCAAUCCCUUUGUCAUAUAGACUCGAAGAAGAAAUGAAGAUAACUUACAAUUACAACUGUAGGGAAACCAUGCAUUUGGAGACAUUGUAGGAUCUAUGCUUGAAAUAUGCAAAUCAAAAUCAACAAUAAAUAGAAAUAAGAAGCUGGAACAAGUCCUUCACCUUAAGCAAUGGUUCAAUGAUAAGUUUUCUUGUUCUUCGGUCGCUACCACAUCCAAUUCCAUUGUCCAACAUCACCAUAGACUCUUUUACUUUUAGAAUAUUCUACCAUCAACCAAUGAUCAGCCUAUUUCCAUAAGGAUUCAUAUUAAUUUAAGAUGGAUAUAUUAUAGAACUAAAAUGAGAAUACAUUUUAAAAUAGUUAGUGGGAGUAAUUCAAAUAUAUUUCAAUAAUAACACUACUAAGAAAUUUAAUAUACAUGUCAUAAUUGAUGAAAAAAUAUGAAAAUAAUUUUAGACAAAAGUUUUGAUCUAGAAAAAUCAAAAGUUUUAAUUUUCUUGUUGUCCUAUAUAGUAGCUCGAGAUAUAUACUUCACUUUGAAUGCAUCCCAAAUUUGAGUUAUAAGAUGCAUAUGUUCUUUACUAUUUAAGUUUAACAGAUAAUUUAUUCCAACUAUGAAUUUCUAAAACUAAUUGUUUAGCUAAUUUAGAAAAAAAAAAAAAAACAGGAAGUCAAGUUUUAGGCAUUAAGGUUUGGAUUUUCAAACUCCAUAAAGUUAUAAAAUAACUCAUAUUUAAGAUGAACUAUGUUGAGAAGUGUCCCAAAUUAUCCUAAUUUUUAUGUAUAUGUUCUUUUUUGUAAAAAUAUUAUUAUAUAGAAUACUUUUUAACUUCUCAUGUUAUUGUAAUUAGAUUUUUUAUAGAAUAAAGAAACCUAGUAUAAAUAUCUCUCUAAAUAUUUAGGUAAUGAAAGGGAAAAAGUUAUGACAUGAGAAGAAGAGUAAAAGACACCUAAUAAAGUAAGAGUGCUCACAACUUAAGCUGUAGACACAAAGACUAGUAAAACGAUGGAUGUUUAGGGACCCAAUAGUUGCAUCUGUUUUGUUAUCUGUAGUAGUUUUUUAUUGUAUAGUGAUCAUUUGUAGGUGUAGACAUGUUGGCCGAACCAUGAACGUUAAAACUGUGUACCUCCAUGUGUGGAUUAUCUUUACUUUUGUAUUCUAUCACUCAUAUAUUUGCAUUCAAACUUCCGUUAGCCCAACAAAUGAUAUCAGAGCUUUUAUUGGCUCAACAAACUCAAUGUUGUUUGACCCCUUCUGAGCCACUUGGCAAUAUAUUUAUCUUAUAUUGAAGAUAAAUAUUUAGUCAAAAUCUUAUGGUGUUAUAUAGUCCCCACAUAUCUUAAAGUAAUUAAGGAGGGGAAGGAUGAUGACUUACCAGUAAGUUCAGAUGAGGGCUUGAAUGAACAAAUAAAAUAGAGAGAUGGUGGAAUAUAAAGAGGACUUUGCUAGCAAGCGCACCUGGCAAUGCAGCUUAAUGCUUGAGAUCAGUGUUGGAUGCUCUCAAUCUUUUAGGGUGUGGUUCCUGAUCAUCUGCUUUGUUUUCCCCGGCAUCAUCAUAGCCCCUUUGAUGAUCCAACAACAUCAUGAUAUGGGCGUACAUCAGCUGAACUCCGCACCUCAUGAUAUGGGUGCAAGUAGACGGAUAAUUAAUCAAACUAUCAACAUCAAUCGCAGCCAGAAAGUGCCAUGGUUGAUUGCGGUUGUACUUAUUUGGAAUAGCAUUCUUAGGAUAGAGAGCCACCCACAAUUGAUCUGAUCCAUCAUCAUUAAUCUGGCAGCAGUUAUGCCAAGAAGAAAUGGAGAAGUCAUCCACAAUUUCAUCCGGAUCACCACGCAAUCUCAGAUAAAAAUGAUCUGGAUCGUCCAAAUAAGUUCCUCUAUGAUAAAUAGAGAAGAAAGCAAAUCCCAGAAAGUGGUUAUCCUCGUACCAAUUCAAAGGAGGCUCUACUCUUACUUGGCUAUACCCACCCUGGAAUUCCACCAUCUCCUGAGAUAAUAAUCAUCUUGCCUUUCUUGCAAUUCAAGUGCUGCAUGUACAAUCAAAGCUAAUAUGUAAUUGGAGUACUACUGGGUGGAUGAAAAGUUUUACGUGUCGUUAUUAAAUAAAAAUCAUACCUCAUUACUUGUUGGUUUGAACCAUUUGAGGAGGGAAGACCCGAGUAUAGAUGAUGGACUUGAUAACAUUUCCAGCUUCGUGAAAUAGCUGGCAUGUAUUUCUGGUAGACUCGAUGGAAGCUCUGGAAUUUCUUGGAGCAUCUUGCAGUGACUGAUGUAAAGGGAACGAAGCUUACAAAGUUGAGAGAUGCCAGAAGGUAUGCUAACCAUAUGGUUUACACUUAAAUCUAAAUUUUCUAAGGAAUAUAGGCCUCAGCUAUCAGUGGGUAUUGACCCUUCCAUUAGAUUGCAGUGACUCAAAUUUAGUGCCGCUGAGGAGCAAAAGCCUUUCAGAUUCUUGGGGAACCUCUCCAAGUUUGAACAACCAUGGAGCAUCAACAUUUUUAACUUUCCUAAACACUGUGACAAAAGGAAUUUUGAUUUAGUAAAUGAAUUUUCAUAAACAAAAAAUUAAUCUCAAACAAAAUAAUGAUGAAAUACUAAUUAUACCUUAUUUCCUUGCCAAAGUUGUUUUAUGUUGUUGUCCAUCAUGUUGAGUAUAACAAGGUUCUCUCCAUGAACAUUUGACGGCAAUAAUUUCGAAGGGUAUCCUUUCCAAUGAAGAUAUCUCAACUGUUGUGAAGGAAAUUGAAAAUCUUCAUGAAGAAUAAUUUUAUACUCCUUGUUCAUAGAACCACAAUAAUCCAUCCCAUAAAUCUUGAGCAAUCUCAGUCGUUUCAUCUUUGCAAAAACCUUUGUACUAAAUUGUAGUUGUUUUGAUCUAGACAAGUUUAAGAAUAUGGCCUCAACAUUUUUCAUCCCCUACAAACUAUAACAAAAGGAUUAGGCAAGCAUAAAAGAGAUAAAGCUAGCUGAAAUUGUAUGGAUAUGUAACUUAGACAAAAAUGAUAUUGCUCACACACUACUACAAAAAUAGUUUAUGGUGUCACCAUUUACGGUGUCACUUUUAAAAUAAUGACACCAUAGGGUUUAUAAUUAAUAAAGGUGACACAUCAUAUAAAAAAUCUUCAAUUGAGGUAGUUAGAUGAUAUUAAUUUUAUAUUUAUAGUGUCAUUUUUUGGGAAGUGACAUCAUAUAAAAUAAAUUUUUUUAGGUAUUAUAACUUAAUGAGCCCACUUUUAGAAUUAAUAAUGAUGGAUACUAUAUAAAAAUCCCAUUGUUUCCAUAUCUCACCCACAAUCCAAAAAAUCUCAAUAUAUAAAUCCUAUAUAUAAAAUCAUGAUCUUCUUCAACCUUUUCUCUCACCCAUCCAUAGUCAACACGCUCACAACGAACAUUCUUCACUUUGUGGACUCCCAGGUAACCCAUAAUCUCUUGGAUCUAUCAUUUUUUUUUUCUUUUAUUAAUGUCAUUAUAUUAAUUGUUUCAACAUCUUUGUAUUAUGGUUUUUGUGAAUUGUGUUUUCUUGAGUUGUAGGGAAGAAAAAUUUAGGUUUAAUCUUCUAGCAUAGAAGAAAAAACUGUAGAUUAAUUGAUUUUUUUAAUCUAAACCAAACACAUGAUCAAGUCCUUAAAAAAAAGUGAAAAAUAGGAAAAAAUGAAUGAUUUUUAAUAUGUAUUUGUGUGAGAAUGACAGGUACAGAAUUUUUUUGAGAUUUAUUAUCACAUAAUCUUCAUCCUUUCUAAAAAACGAGAGAGGAAAAAAAAAAGAAUGAUUUUUCUGUUUGUAUCUAAGUGGGAAUGAGAUAUAGAAUUUCGUUGAGAGUAUCCAACCCCAAAAGGACCAAUCCGGGAAGGCAUGUGUGGUAUUGACGGGAGAUGAUAAGAUGGAAAUCAUAACCAUAGCCAUGUUCUCUCUGUGUCUUUCUAUCCUCUUCAAUUAAUUCAUAGCCAUAAAUAUUUUAUUUAGUUUUUAUAUUUAAUUUAUUUAUAGUUUAUUUAGUUUCUAAAAUCCAAUUAGCUAGAUAUUUUAUUUGAUUUUGUUUUUAUAUUUAAGUAGUUGAGUUUUGGAAAGUUUUUAUAUUUUGUUAAUAGAAAUAGAAAUUUUUAUAUUUUUUAUUAUUAGGAAUUUCUAUUUUGUUAAAUUGUAAGUAUCUAUCUCAAUAAGAGAUUAUUAAUAUUCAAAUGAAAGUGAUGAAAGAGAGUAAAUAUUUUAAUGCUCAAUUAUAUUUUAAUGUUAUAUUUUUUUUUUUUACAUAAGGGUUUAUUUAUGUUUUCAAUUUUGAAGUUCCCUUUCCAAGUCUAGCAACAAAAGUAGUGUCCAACCUUAAAAUGGGCAUGUGUGGUAUUGACGAGAGAUGAUAAGAUGGAAAUCAUAACCAUAACCAUGUUCUAUUUGUGUCUUUCUAUCCUAUUCAAUUAAUUCAUGGGCAUAGAUAUUUUAUUUAGUUUUUAUAUUUAGUUUAUUUAUAGUUUAUUUAGUUUCAAAAUCCAAUUAGCUAGAUAUUUUAUUUGAUUUUGUUUUUAUAUUUAAGUAGUUGAGUUUUGGAAAGUUUUUAUAUUUUGUUAAUAGAAAUAGAUAUGAGGACUUAAAGGGUUUAUAUUUAGGUAGUGCUUGAGCCAAGGAAAAUGAUAGUCCACUAUCUUGACCCUAUGCAUCACAAACCAUGUAUAAAUAUCUCUCUAAAUAUUUAGGUAAUGAAAGGGAAAAAGUUAUGACAUGAGAUAAAGAUAUAGAUGAGAAGAAGAGUAAAAGAGACCUAAUAAAGAGUGCUCACAACUUCAGCUGUAGACACAAAGACUAGUAAAAUGAUGGAUGUUUAGGGACCCAAUAGUUGCAUCUGUUUUGUUAUCUGUAGUAGUUUUUUAUUGUAUAGUGAUCAUUUGUAGGUGUAGACAUGUUGACCGAACCAUGCACGUUAAAACUCUGUGUACCUCCAUAUGUGGAUUAUCUUUACUUUUGUAUUCUUUCACUCAUAUAUUUGCAUUCAAACUUCCGUUAGCCCAACAAAUGAUAUCAGAGCUUUUAUUGGCUCAACAAACUCAAUGUUGUUUGACCCCUUCUGAGCCACUUCGCAAUAUAUUUAUCUUAUAUUGAAGAUAAAUAUUUAGUCAAAAUCUUAUGGUGUUAUAUAGUCCCCACAUAUCUUAAAGUAAUUAAGAAGGGGAAGGAUGAUGACUUACCAGUAAGUUCAGAUGAGGGCUUGAAUGAACAAAUAAAAUAGAGAGAUGGUGGAAUAUAAAGAGGACUUUGCUAGCAAGCGCACCUGGCAAUGGAGCUUAAUGCUUGAGAUCAGUGUUGGAUGCUCUCAAUCUUUUAGGGUGUGGUUCCUGAUCAUCUGCUUUGUUUUCCCCGGCAUCAUCAUAGCCCCUUUGAUGAUACAACAACAUCAUGAUAUGGGUGUAUAUCAGCUGAACUCCGCACCUCAUGAUAUGGGUGCAAGUAGACGGAUAAUUAAUCAAACUAUCAACAUCAAUCGCAGCCAGAAAGUGCCAUGGUUGAUUGCGGUUGUACUUAUUUGGAAUAGCAUUCUUAGGAUAGAGAGCCACCCACAAUUGAUCUGAUCCAUCAUCAUUAAUCUGGCAGCAGUUAUGCCAAGAAGAAAUGGAGAAGUCAUCCACAAUUUCAUCCGGAUCACCACGCAAUCUCAGAUAAAAAUGAUCUGGAUCGUCCAAAUAAGUUCCUCUAUGAUAAAUAGAGAAGAAAGCAAAUCCCAGAAAGUGGUUAUCCUCGUACCAAUUCAAAGGAGGCUCUAUUCUUACUUGGCUAUACCCACCCUGGAAUUCCACCAUCUCCUGAGAUAAUAAUCAUCUUGCCUUUCUUGCAAUUCAAGUGCUGCAUGUACAAUCAAAGCUAAUAUGUAAUUGGAGUACUACUGGGUGGAUGAAAAUUUUUACGUGUCGUUAUUAAAUAAAAAUCAUACCUCAUUACUUGUUGGUUUGAACCAUUUGAGGAGUGAAGACCAGAGUAUAGAUGAUGGACUUGAUAACAUUUCCAGCUUCGUGAAAUAGCUGGCAUGUAUUUCUCGUAGACUCGAUGGAAGCUCUGGAAUUUCUUGGAGCAUCUUGCAGUGACUGAUGUAAAGGGAACGAAGCUUACAAAGUUGAGAGAUGCCAGAAGGUAUGCUAACCAUAUGGUUUACACUUAAAUCUAAAUUUUCUAAGGAAUAUAGGCCCCAGAUAUCAGUGGGUAUUGAUCCUUCCAUUAGAUUGCAGUGACUCAAAUUUAGUGCUGCUGAGGAGCAAAAGCCUUUCAGAUUCUUGGGGAACCUCUCCAAGUUUGAACAACCAUGGAGCAUCAGAUAUUUAAGGGAUCUCAAAUCAUAAAUGCUGUCCGGAAGAGUCACAAGGUGCUUGCAAUUCCUCAAAGACAACUUUCUGAGGCCUUUCAGAAUUUGAAUUGAUGAUGGUAAUUCUUUUAUAGCUGUUUCUUCCAAAUAAAGAUCAAAUAAUAAGUCUUUCUUAUCCUCCAUGAUUUCUUGAAAAGCAUCUAGAUUUGAACAAACAAAGAGUUGGAGGUCUUCAAGGGACUUUAACCUGCAAAUGCUACUUGGAAGACUCCUCAAGUUUUUGCAGUGUUUCAUAUACAACUCCUUAAGUCCAGUGAGAUAUUCUAUUGGGGAGGGUAAUUCCUUAAUAGCAGAUCCAUCAAAGUGAAGAUAGGUUAAAGCUUUCAUAGAACUCUCCUCUAUCUCCAGAAAUUUCUCCAAGUUUGAGCAAUUAUUCAAGUAAAUAGUUUCAAGAGAGUCCAAGUAUUGAAUGCUACUUGGUAAGCUCGUAAGGUUUUCACACCCACUCAAACUCAACAAAGUUAGCUUCUUGAGAACUCCAAUAGAUGGAUCAACAAUAUUCAAACUUGUAAAAUAUCCAAGUUCUAACUCCUCUAGAUUUGGCAUAUUUGAAAAGUUCGAUAAUUCAGUGAGCUGCUUCUAUCGUUGUAAAUUUAAGAUCUUUAACUUUCCCAAACACUAUGACAAAAGGAAUUUUGAUUUAGUAAAUGAAUUUUCAUAAACAAAAAAUUAAUCUCAAAACAAAAUAAUAUGAUGAAAUACUAAUUAUACCUUAUUUCCUUGCCAAAGUUGUUUUAUGUUGUUGUCCAUCAUUUUGAGUACAACAAGGUUCUCUCCAUGAACAUUUGACGGCAAUGAUUUCAAAGGGUAUCCUUUCCAAUGAAGAUAUCUCAACUGCUGUGAAGGAAAUUGAAAGUCUUCAUGAAGAAUAAUUUUAUACUCCUUGUUCAUAGAACCACAAUAAUCCAUCCCAUAAAUCUUGAGCAAUCUAAGUCGUUUCAUCUUUGCAAAAACCUUUGUACUAAAUUGUAGUUGUUUUGAUCUAGACAAGUUUAAAAAUAUGGCCUCAACAUUUUUCAUCCCCUACAAACUAUAACAAAAGGAUUAGGCAAGCAUAAAAGAGAUAAAGCUAGCUAAAAUUGUAUGGAUAUGUAACUUAGACAAAAAUUAUAUUGCUCACAUUUACAUAUUUUUAUGAAGCUUAAGAAAGUUCAUGAGUUUGAUGGUUACCUUCUUCAUUGUAAAUGCACGAUACACAUCACUCGGAUCCCACAAUUUGCUCCAUUUUCCAGGAUUAUCAGGAAAUUCAGUACGAAUAAUGUUCCAUCCCAUUUCUUGUAUCAAAUCAUGCAUAAGUAUCUGAUUGUUGGAAAGAGAUAUAAGACACUUAUCAUAUAGGACUUUUAUUCCUAUCUAUGCAUACAAAUCACAACUAUCCAAUAUCCUUAAAACAAAAAGCUUACUUUAAGCACAUUUUGAAUUUUCACUUCAGGUUCUCUUUCCAAUUUACACAAUUCACUUUCCCAUUGGAGUAUUGUCUUGUUAAACAAGAGAUAACUUAGGACUUUUAGAGCUAAAGGAAGGCCAUGACAAUAAUAUACUACAUGAUCCGAGAGGUGGAUAAAGUCUUGUUUCGGAAGAUUUUGUCUAAAAGCAAAGAGACUAAAAAGCUCACAAGCUUGUUCAUAAUUUAAUUCCUCAACCUCAUGUACGUCAUCCAUUUCUUGUAACAAAUGUUUACUUCUAGUUGUUGUGAUGACUCUGCUUCCUCUUCCAAGCCUAUCACGAUUUCUGAGUAAGUAUUCUAAUUGAUCUGAAUCAUCAAUGUCAUCAAGAACAAUAAAAACUUUUUUAAAUCGGAGAACAUUUUUAUCAUAUUAGCUCCUUGGCCAACAUUGCUUACAUUUUGAUUUCUCUCCACUUGUAGUAGAUAUCACAAAGAAGUUGAUUUUGUAAAUGAUGCAAACUCAUAGUAUUGCCAACUUCUCUAACAUUUUCGAGAAAGCUCAUAUACUCAAAUUCACGAAAAAAAUUUAUUAUUUACAACUUUGGCAAUAGUCAUCUUACCUAUUCCGCCUAUUCCACAUAUACUAAUCAUACGAACAUCAUUCAAUUGAUCAAUGCAUAGCUGCCGAAUUAUCUCAUUUACAUGAGAAUCCAUACCAACCAAGUUGGCACCAACAUCAAACAUUCUACAAUUCAACCUCAUGAAUAUAUUGUUGAUGAUUUUCUUAAUAUGCUCGAACUCAUACCUGCCAAUUGUAAAGUACAUGUGAUGAUUGAUUAGGCUAUAGCUGAUUAAAAAAUAAAUACAUGUUAAGCUUCUUCAUGAAAAAUGAAUUAUAGUAAUAUAUAUAUAUAUAUAUAUAUAUAUAUAUAUAUAUAUAUAUAUUAAAAGUAUUAAGUUUUAAAACUCAAAUUACAUUUUUAGGACAUUUUCACUGUAUCAAGUAUACAAGACAAUUUUCUACACAAUCACAAGAUGACCGUGAGGAGGACUCGUUCGACUCAUUGGAAGAGUUAUCUUCUAUUAGAAGAUAUUGGUUGUCAUUAGAUGAUUCUACCGAGGUUUGACUAGAUGAAUCCGACUAUGACUUUAUUUUGAUGAGAUUAAUCAUUUGUCGUUUGGGACGCUUUCCUAUGUCUAAGUCGGCAAUUAUUUCUUUGAUUUUGCAAUUUGGGGUGAUAUGUCCCUUUAGCCACAAUUGAAACAUUUAAUAUCUUUCUUUUCUAUUUUCUUUGAAGUGUUUUUAUAUUUUUUAUUUGAAUAUUUCUUAUGUUUCGGCUUUCUAUAAAAGGAUUCUUCUUUGAAUUUUAAGUAUUUUUUAUUUAAUCUCUUUUUCUUUCAUCUAUAGUAUUUUUCCUGUUUGGUCGAAAGAGGAAGGUGAUUUUCAUAUCCAUAUUGGGCACAAAAUGAUUCUAAUUCUUUCUUUGAGGUUUUAAGAUCUUUUUUUGUGGGUAGCAUUAACUUUGAUCAUAUAACAAAGAUUUAAUGCUUUUUGAUUGAUGAAAUUGCUUAAUUGGCCAUAGGUAAGGGAAUCAUAAGGUAUGACACCAUUAUACAUCUCUUUGAUUCUAAGUUGGACUUUUUGACUAAAGGACUUAGAUAACCCAUUAAGGAAUCUUUAUUUCCAAUAAGGUUGGUUUACAUCUGGUUUGGUGUGGACUUUAGCAAAGUAUAACUCUUUAUACCAUCUAUAGUCACUAAGCUUUCUACAUCUAAUGUUUUGAAGGAUUUCUGAGGUUCAGGCUUGAAAGGCAAUUGGAUCUCCAAGGAAGUGUUUGAUUAUGGCAAAUAUUAGGGUAUGAACUGAAUUUUGAUUUCCUCUUUCAUCUAAGCUGGUUUGAAUAUAGUCUUUUUCUUCUUCAGUGAGAGUAUUAUCCCACCAACUUUUGAGCUAGCUAGUGAAUCCUGCAAUCAGGUGUACACUGAUCAGAUGGUCAGAGUUUCCAGAAGCUAUUGUGUCAUCAAAACCACUCUUCAAAAUGGUGGACUCAAAUGAUGGGCUUCAAAACUGCCUUUCAAAUUCAAAGACAUGUGCACAAAUGGACAACCGAUUUUCGGUGGAUUUCAAACCAUUUUGUAUCUGUGGACUUUAAAUCUGUCUCCAAGGGCCUAUAUGAGGCUCAUUUUUCUCAUUGUAAGGCAGAGAAAAAGUUUGAGUGAAAACUUAGAGAGAGAAAACAAGUGAGAUUUUCCUCUAUAAGAUAGCCUUGUAUUUGAGAAAGCUCUCAAAUUCUGUUGUAAAAGCUCUCUUCAAGGAUUGUAAGUUUCAACUUUUCAAAGUUCUUGUAUAUUUUAUGUUUUGAAUGAAAGUUUAAAUUUCAAAUUUAACUGUAGAUCAAGUUUAUUAUUGAAUAUUUAAAGAACCUCUUCGAAAGUUUAUGAACUUUCUGAAAACACUGUCAAAGUUAUUUGGGUUUUAAGCAAGACCAUUGUGACUCCUCUAGAUUCAACUAGGAGAUUUCUUCAAAGUUCGUAUUGAUAUUCAAAUUGAAGUGUUUUUCUUGCUUUAAUUUUCUUAUCAUUCCUCGAUCUUGUAUUUAUUGGUAUCAGAGCCAUGAUAGUUAAUUUUCAAAUUUAAUAUGUUAUUUUAUUUUAUGAUUAUUUGUUUAAAUCCAAACUGCUUAGCGUUGGUUAACCCAUAGUAUCCGUUGGUAAGCCAUUGUAGCCAUGCUAGCAUUUAGGUGUUCCCGAUGGUGGUCCCACUAAGUUGCCUAGGAUUUAAAUAGAGAACCCAUAGAGUAAAAUGUCAAAUUUGUUUGGAAAUUUUUCUAGAAGUAGCUCUCAUAGUAAUAUAAGUAGCAUGAAACAUGAUCUCAAAAUGCUAGAAGAAAACACUUCAAAAUUUGAGAAUCAAUUGAAUGUAUAAAUUGAUACUCUGGAACAAUAUAUCAAAAACGAGGAAAUGCCAAGACAACAUAUCAAAGAUAUUUAUCAAAUAGGUACUUUCAGAUUUAGAUCAACAUAUAAAAUCAAAGUGUCCAAAAACACACAUUCUAUAGGAUCAGAAACUGAAACUAUAGAACUCCUUAACCCCAGGGACAUUAAGAUGUUAAGAGAACAAUCUUACAAAAUUCUUCACAUAGGAGCCAUUCAAGUAGCAGUCAAACCAUUAACCCGAAUUGGGUUCAACAACCAAUUUGUGUUUGCCUUAAAGAUGCAAGACACAAUAACUUUGAUGACUCCUUGUUAAGAGUCAUGGAAUCAAACAUGGCACAUGACCCUAUUUAUUUCAACUGUUUCCCUUACCUAGAGUUAAGUUGUAUAGAUGAUAUGACUAUACACAAAGCUUUAACUUUAAAUGUUCAAACCAAGGGUUAUGACAUGAACCCUAGAGCAAAGAACAUUCUUAUAUUAUAUCGAAUAUACUAGAAGGUCAUGACCACCUCAGUAAAUGCUAAGUGUUUAUUGAAAUCUCCAAAAGGGAAAACACUUUUGUUCCAAGCCAAUGAGGAACAUUCCUCAACUAUAACCCUUGAAGAAAUCCCUUGGGAAUCUUUAACUCUUUCAAAUACUUGGAAUUUCACACAGUUAGCUCUUCCAAAACCUAUUCAACAUAAAUUACACCUACAAAUGUAGAUAAAAUAAGAGCCAUAUUUGAGGAACAGGACCCUCAAAUAAAUAGGAUUAGACAUCAAUUUAAACAACAAACUAAGACUAGGAACUACUAUCCUAGACCAACUCCUCUUGAUCUUCAAUAUGAAGAAAGGAAUCAAAUCACCCAAUCAAAGUAUGAUGGAGAUGGCAUUUAUGAAUGGAACAUAGAUGGCAUAAGUGAACACCAAGUCUUGAAUAUUCUUUAAGAAAUGAUUAUGGCCUCCACAACCUACAAAUCCAGAGGAGACUUUGACCAUUUGAUUAGUGUACACCUGAUUGCAUGAUUCACCGAUCGACUCAAAGGUUGGUAGGACAAUUCUCUCACUGAAGAAGAAAAAAUCUAUAUUCAAACUAGCUUAAAUGAAAGAGGAAAUCAAAAUUCAGUUCAUACCCUAAUAUUUGCCAUAACCAAACACUUCCUUGGAGAUCCAAUUGCUUUUCAAGCUCGAGCCUUAGAAAUCCUUCAAAACAUUAGAUGUAGAAAGCUUAGUGAUUGUAGAUGGUAUAAAGAGGUAUAAUUUGCUAAAGUCCACACCAGACCAGAUGUAAACCAACCCUAUUGGAAAAAAAGAUUCCUUAAUGGGUUACCUAAGUCCUUUAGUCAAAGAGUCCAACUUAGAAUCAAAGAGAUGUAUAAUGGUGUCAUACCUUAUGAUUCCCCUACCUAUGGCCAAUUAAGCAACUUCAUCAAUAAAAAAGCAUUGAAUCUUUGUUAUCUAAUCAAAAUUAAUGCUACCCUAAAAAAAGAUCUUAAAACCUCAAAGAAAGAGUUAGGAUCUUUUUGUGCCCAAUAUGGAUAUGAAAUUUUUUUAAUGAAUUUGAAGAAUUUGAUUACUCUGCAGUGAAUAUUUUUUUUUAAUGAUAAUUUUUCAUACUUUCCUUUUGAAAUGUUAAUAGCAUGGUUUAUAGAUAUGCUUUCAGGACAUGUAGGAAGAGAAUUGAUUGGACGAGGACUUAUCGUCUUAGUAUUUCAGAAUAGUAUGGCAAAGGUUGCUACAGCUGGUCCUUUAUCUUCUGACUCUUCGUUUUGGUGGGGGUUCUGGGAAGGUGGGGGCAGGAGUUAAAAGGAAGACACCAUCGGAAUUGAGAGUAAGUUUCUGAAUUCGUGGUUUUGCUCUGUUCUCUACAUUAUUAGAUGAUAAAUUGGGCAUAAAAUGAGUUUCUUUAACCUUUUAUAUGGAAGAUCUUGGCAGGUUGUGUCUUCUUUUUUAAUUUUUAAUUUGUUAAUUUGCAAGUUUUAUGAGAAUGGAGGAACAUAGCCAUUGCUCUGCAUGUUUGCUUCAUAUACAAAGAAAGGAAGAUUACUCUGAUUAUCUACUUGUACACUCUCCUGGUGCAACAAAGAAAAUAAAAAAUUGAAUAGCUCUAGGCAUAGAAGUCAUCUCUAAGAGUUCUUACCUUUAAUCUUCAUGGUGGAUGAGAUUGAUGGUUUGAAAUUGGGAUUUGAGAAUCUCAGAAUUGGACUUGUCGUACUUGGUAUCAAACUCGGCGUGGUCAAUAUUGAGGCAGAUACGACUUGGUUGAGUCAUUCUGUGGAUCCGCAUUUUUCAUGUCCUCACUCAAUGGCGAGACUCGCUUUUGUUUGGUGAAAAAUUAGUUUUGGAAAAGUUGGAGUCGUUACUUAUUUUAUUUUAUUUUAAAAGGGGAAAUAAAAUAAGAAAGAAAACUUUAAAAAGUGACUCCAUAGUUUGGGAAAAGCAAGUCUUGAAAAAACCUGAGUUUUGGUUCGGGGAUCAGGUUACCUAUUGGGAAGGUACCUCUAAGAGGUAGCACUCCUUUAAACCUUAAAGAGGUUUCUACAAGCUAAGUUGAAGGAUGUGACAAUUAAUUAGUUGAUUAUGGAUACCUAGGUAGGCCAAGGUGAUUUCGAAACUAAUAUGCCAAAAAGAAAUUAAACCACAAUCAUAAAGGAGGGUUAGGGUGUGUACCUGGAUUGUAUCUCAAAUGCUAUCAUAAGAAAUCAAAGUUAGCGUAGAAAUAUAGCAUACAACUCAACAUGCGCUUUAUAAGAAAUAAUCGAAUAGUCAAACAAAUGUCAAGACACCCAAGUACUAUCAAACAUAGGCAUAGUUCACAAUGACAUAUAUGUUCAUGGAAUUUUGAAAUUAGAGAGUAGAGAUAGCGUACAUGGCUAGCAAGCAUCAAUGUCUCUAUGGAAAACAAGGUUAGCUCAAUAAUAGGUGUAAAACAAUCUCGUGCAUAUCAUCAGGAGGAAUCAAAAUCAAUUGAUCACCAAACAACCAUCUCACUUGAGUCAAUAUCAAAGAAGAUGUCAAGAAUGUUGGACCCCCCACCAAGGUCCAAAUUACUUUUGCAUGAAUUGGUUCAAUGGGUUCCAUUAUUUGGAACCAUGAAGUUCGUUCAUGCUUGUUUGAAGAAAAGAGAAAAUUAGUUGAAAACAGUGAAAAUACAUGCUAGAAGGAAAAUGACAGUAAGGAGUUUAUUUAAAUCUGGAUUUUAUGCCUAGGAAGGAUCUAAAUAUGGAUUUUUAAAACUGGAAUUAUUCAGUUGGAAAUGGAUUUGAAAAAUCAAUUCAAAACUGUAAAUUUUCAAUCCAAGAAACAAAAAGAGGAAGAAGAAAAGGUGUGCACCGAGGUGGCCUUUGCUGGAGUAGGACUUGGGGGUCUGGCUGUGACUGCGUUGCUGGUGGUCGUGUGAAGAGACCUCUGUAUAUUGAUGGCAUGACUGGAAAAGAACUGACCGUAUUCAUUCCAGAGCCCAAACUCACUGGGUUUGAGUGUAUAAUUUUAUCAACAAAGACGUUCCAACCCAACUCUGGCUUCCUAGAAUCACAACUUGCAUUGCUAGCAGGAACUUGUGGUGAAGCAAUUGAAGUCUAGCUCCAGAUCUGAUUCCCUUGCUGCCACUCAUUCUCAAGUUUCAAGUCUUUGCCCAGAAAUCCAUCUGAUUUAUCAAUUUUCUCACAGUUCACUUCUGGAAUUUUAUGUAGCUUAGAUUCUGUGUCUUCUUGCUCAUCCUGAGCUUCAUUUCUUACCUCUUCGGUUAUCCUAACCAGUCAUCUGGAGCCUGCAUGCGGGAGCUCACUGAUUGAUGCUCACAUAGCCCACCUCCAUCAUUUUAAGAUGUGACUGUGGCAAUGGCAAUAGUUCUGAUCCGGGAUGCUGCUUUGCUCAAAGAGGGCUCUCAGCUCUGUCUAGUGUCGUUGAUGAUGGGCUAUCUCACCUCCAGCACUAGGGAUUGGAGAGCCUCUUCAAAUAUCCCAGCAUCUAGGUGGCCCAUUAAUUUUCCAUAGCCAGCUAGAGGACUAUAAACCCGUAAAUGCCCAGCUUCAUCUUUCCACCUUGCUUUGAAUUCCCAUCAUCAGCCUCCAAGAGUGAAACAGGGGCCUUGUCCAGUAGAAAUGCCAUCAAUGAAAUCAACAAUUCUGUCUUCUUGGCAUUCUUAACGUAAGCAAUCUGUAGUAGAUUCUUCUCACAUCUUCCAAAACAUCUUUGCUGUCAUUCCCAAAUUCUGUUGGCAGUAAAACAGAAUGAAUGCUAAGUGAACUCCCUUGAAGCCACAGUACUGUAUAAAGCAAUAGGUAAUCCUUUGGAAGACUGGGCAAUAUUAGGCUGUGGCAAAAGCUUCAGUAGAGUUUCGAUCCCUGACUUUCAUGCAGAUAACUGGCGAGCUUCUGAAUUUUCCAUUAUUCUGUGGACUAGAGCCAUCACAUGAAAGAUGCAAAGUUGGAACCACUCAUUACUGGUGCCUGCUGUAGCCGAAAUUGUCGAACUGACCAGACAGCAAUGGCCAUCAGACAACCCAGGCAACUUUUCCUACAACCCUUCUUGUCAUGAGCAGAAAUGUUCAGUGGCUCACAUCAAUUUUCAAUGGCUUUCAUGUCAGAAGAACCUGUGUUAUUAGGCUCUAUCUCAAACAAAAUAUAAAAAACAAACUCCCUAUGUCCAAAGUCACCGGAAACUGAAAUCUCGAUGAGUAGUGCGCUCUGAACCUUUUGGCAUUUGUUUUAAUUUGCACUUUGGGUACGAGUUCUGCUGAACCACACAUGAACGGCGCUUUGGACAAGCCUGCUGCUUGUGGUGGAAGGCAUGCUCUUUUCUCAUGAGUGGUAUACUGAUCAUCCACCUCCCAUGGCCCAAAUGCAUGCAUGAGGGCCUUCACCUCAGGUACAGAUGAAUUUAUGGGAAUUUAAUACCAACACAUGGGACUUCACUGAUCUACAGCAGCUGACAACUUACCCUGCUGAUGCUAGAAUUGGCUUGGAAUUACUGAUUUAUCGAUACUAAUCUCUUCGCAAGUGGUGUUGAUAGGCAAUUCAAAAAAUUUCCAAAUUAGAUGACUAGGGAACUUUCUUUGUUUGGACAUGAGUGCUAUGAGCUGUUACAGUAGUCAGAACUUCUUGAUGACACACCCCAGCUUGUUCUUGAUUUUAGUCAUGUGGAUGGCAUUACAUCCAGGAACUUCACCAGAAUUGGCCGAGCUUUCCUGAGAACGAAAAAAGAAUCUGUGUUGUACCCAAUUUCAGUAACCAGUUUUGCCUCCCGUUUUCUUCCCUGCAGUUCAAGUCUCUUGAAAGUCUAUUUGCUGGCAAAUAGAUGCAGGCCGGUAGCUAAGAGACUGGAAAUGCCUCAUAUGAUGUCCAUUGUCCUGAAUGCAUGAGGGUGAAGAAACGAAACAUCUUUUAGUUCCUUUUCUCAUCAGUUUCUGUAAUCAACAAAUCAGCCAAAAUGCUCUUAGUUCUCUCCUGAGCAUCACUUUCAGUUCUGCAAUAUGUCUUGCUCUCUUUUAUUGGUAGAAAUUCUGAAAGAGCCACUCAAAGAGUCUGAUAUCUGUCAAAGUAUGUUGAACAAGCCAAUUACUCCCCCCCCCCCCCCCCCCCCCCCCCCNNNNNNNNNNNNNNNNNNNNNNNNNNNNNNNNNNNNNNNNNNNNNNNNNNNNNNNNNNNNNNNNNNNNNNNNNNNNNNNNNNNNNNNNNNNNNNNNNNNNCCCCCCCCCCCCCCCCGCGACAAAUCAGUCGUUGUCCAGUUCUUCGCAGUACUAAUGACCAGUGGGGUGGGAUGAUGCUGAGUGAAGCCUUCUAUAGACCAGGGUAUUGUGUAGAGCAAUAGACAUUACUUCAGAAGACUGGUCGAGAUUAAGUCAUGGCAGUAGCUUGAGUGGAAAUUCGGUCCCUGAUUUUUCCACAAAUAAUCAGCAAGUUUCAGAAUUUUCUUUGUUCUAUGGACCGGGAUCAUCUCAUGAAAGGUGCAAAGUUGGACGAAUCACUCGUCACUGAUGUCUACGGCAGCUGAAUUUAUUGAUGGCUAUCAUUUCUUUGUCUUCAAAAGUCAUUUUCAUUGCGGCAGUCCCGUUAAAUCUUCCUGAUGGCCCCCACAUUUUCAUCCCAUGUUGAAGCAAUUCUAUUGACAAUUUCGAUAGUUAUGUAAACACUAGUACUCCUUAAUGAAAAUACAGCAAAAGCUUUUCCACAACAUUAGCCAAGGGAGCAAAAAUCUCAUUCAUUGUUCACAAGGGAUCAUGACGCUGAAGCUUCUUUCACUUCCUUUAAGCCCUUGAGACAAAUGGCACCAAGACCCUUAAGAACAAAUGCGAGGGCCUUUGAAGAAGGGAGUAUUCCUGCCACUAUUGAAGAUAAAAGGCAUCAAGGUGAUCCAGUUCAUGCAAAGCAAAAAGACAAGUGAGAGCCUCUGAAGGAGAAAGUAUUCCAGCCGCUCCAAUCAUUUCUGCAUUACCAAAUACCAGUGACAAAGUAGCAAGUAAAGGAUUAUCAUAAGGAUUUGAUGUCUAAUAUCCGUAUCAUGGAUCUCAACUCUUGUCACUCCGAUCUCAGUAUGAUAUAUUUGCUUAUCCAAUAUGAGAUGCCAUGUCAGGCAUGGCAUUAAAGAGGACUAUGGCAGUCUUUGCUGAAAAUCAAGACCAACAUAUGUUGUAGGACUUUGUCCGGCUUGUGGCACACAAGAAGGUAAAUACCAAUGACUUGCUACAAUUGAGGAGACCCCACAAAGCUCUUAGUCCUGACAUUUGUAAGUUGUGUAUGGAGCAAGGAGAAUCAGUAGAUCAUCUAUUCCUUCAUUGUUCUGUGACGUUGGGGUUGUGGCACAGACUAUUUCAGCUAGCCAAGAUGGAUUGGGUUCCUCUGAAAAGCAUUUCAGACAUGAUGUUCAUCAAUUAUAAAGGUUUUGGCAAGUCCAAGAGAGGGUUGGUUUUGUGGCAAAAUGCGUGCAUAGCUUUAAUUUGGGUUGUAUGGCAGGAAAGAAAUGUUAGGAUUUUUUAGGACAAAGUUAGGAAUUCAGAGAAUCUUUGGGACUCCAUUCAUUUCAUCGCUUCGUUUUGGGCUUUUUGCUUAGCGGGUUUUAAGGGCAUUCCCCUUAACGUUUUACAACUAGAUUGACUAGCAGUGUAUAGUUCCAAUGAGACGGUGUAGUGUCAUGUUAUUUUUUUUGUGUUGUUUAGUUUUAAUUUUGGCGGGAGGAUUUCUCAUCAUGUGUGGUUUCCUAUUUUAUCCUAUCAAUAUAUUCAUGUGUGGUUUCCUAUCAAAACAUAUGUUGUAGGACUCCAUGAGCCUGGAUCAAAAAAAGAUGAACAGCAGCCCUGAAUUAAUAAGAAAACAAACGACAACUUGACCUUUGGCAAUUGUGGCAGACCCUCUGAAUCCUCAUCAGCUAUCAGACCCAGUAGACCCCCCUGUCAUUUUGCUUACUUGGAGGUUCUUCAAGAUCGUGGACCAUGCCGGCUCCGUUUUGCAGUCGAUAUACUUUUUUAAGAUUAGCAGGAGCAACAAUCUGAACUCAGAAUCAGACCAUCUAUGACCGUUUGGUCAUUGGAUGAGAAAACCUCCAGGUCCUUUUUGAGGAACAUGUAUUAUAAGGACCCUACCAUAGCUUUCUUUAUCCAUUCCUUUGCCAAGUAAUAUGUUCUCUUCUAUCUUGCCACUCUGAAUCCAAGCAAAAUGAGUACCAAAUUAAACAUCGUAACCAACUUGUUCACCAUGGCGGCCUUUAGUUUGAGCUCUACAAUUUCUAGAAAACCCGUGACUGAUCAAAUUCCCAUGCUGCAUACCUGAACGCACCAGAACUGAUGCUGAUGCCUUCAUGGGCACCAAAAUUGAUCAAUCUCACCGCUGGCAAAGCUUCUCCAAAAAAUGGGCAAAACUAUCUAUGCUUCACCUCUCCUCUGUUCUUCCACCCCUGUUUUGCUUCCUUCAUUCUCCAGUAAUAGAUACUUCGACUGGUGCCAAACAAUCUUCCUCAUGAAACAGUAGUUGUAUGAGAAACCACUGAACCUGCUUUUUUCUUCCAAAUUUGGGUAUUAAGUUUUGACAGCAUCAAGAAGCCAUUGUCUAGCGCCAUCAAUCAGUGACGCAGACGUGGCUGGAAAUACUCGAAAUAUCCACAGAAUACAAAGGAAGACUACCAAGGAAACGGAGCACGAAGAAAAUAAACAAAAAAAAGAACCAAUGGAAGCCACAUUUCAUAUUUUAUUCCACGGGCUUAGGUUGGUGAGGGGAGUACAAGCAGAUUCCAGCAAACAAAUACAGCCACAAUUCUCAUGUAAUGCACAGUAAAUAUAAAAAAAAAGAGCCUUUCAGUUCCAAACCUAAACUAGAGAACUCCAAAGAGAGAAAUCAACAACUAUAGAAGCAAUCUAGUACCAAUGCAAACAAAAUAUAACCUUUGUCAUUCUACACCCAAGCAUCCAGUCAAAACUUAAAAUCCAGUGAAGAUUAAUACAUAACAAGAGGAUAGUGGGAAUGAAGGAAGAGUCUGCGGAAAGCGUACCUGGAAAUGCUCCUUUCUGGUAAGAAAAUCCCCGCUGGUAUAUCGUCUCAGAUCUCUUACUCUACUUUGCCGUGCUUCCUUCGUCUCCCUUUCUUCUCAGAAUGUCUUUUCUUUUCUCCCUCCUUUUGUUCUAAUUCAUAGUCCUCCUUCUAAAAAUUCAUAAUCAUCCUUUUAUUUGCAAAUUGGAAAUUCCUUCCUUAUUCACUUCUUGUUGAUCCUCUCUGUUAAAGAAACAAUCUUUGCCAGCCCACUGUAUUUCCUUUAGUGGUGUGUGGAUCCCAUAUGAUAUGCCUGUUGUAUCUUUGAAGAACCUCCUCUUCUUGUGCUCCAGCCGUGCGUUCCUUUCUUGGAGAAAAUUCUUCAUCCAAAGAAACCCAUAGGUCUCCUAUCAAUCUAUUAACCUCUUUUUUUGAAUUGUUUUCUUUCCUUGUCCAAAAUUGCAUGAAUAUCCUCCAAAGAUCCCUACAUGGCAGCCACGAGUUUGGAGAAUUCCACCUUCCCAUAUGAAUCUUUUUCUUUACAAACUUAGAAUCCCUUUCGUGCGUGAUUACCCUCAAUAUUUGCACUUCAUCUAUAGCAGUGGACUUUCCUUUGUCAAAAUUUUUGGUUAUCCUCUUUCCAAAUAGCUGGUAGUCGUUUCCUCAUGCAAGAAAUAAAAAUAAAGAUAAAAAUAAAGAUAAAAAUAAAAAUAAAAAUAAAGAUUAAAAUCAAUAAAUAUCAUGAAAUUGAAAAUCAAAAGAAAUUUAAAUCACGCAACUAAAAAAUAAAAAUCAACCACAUGCAAGCCAUGCAAGAAAGUGAAUCAUGUAAUCAUGCAAAAAUACGUGCCAUGCAACCAUGCAAACCAUGUAGAAACGCCUGAAGGUGACCUAGGGUGUGUCUAAGUGUCCUAGGAUGAACUAAGUGGGCCUAGAUAAACCUAGGUGGGCCUAUGUGAACCUAGAUGUUCUUGGGCAAACUAAGUGGAAUCUAAUCCUAAACUGCACUUAAGUAAAACCUAAUCUAAACUUGAAAGGCGGCCAAGGUUAGAUAAAUCCCUCAACUAAAGUCUCCGAGGUGGCUUAUAGAAGGCAAACUAUAUGAGUAAAAAUGGGCCAUCAAGGAACUACUAUGGAGUAUUGAAAGAGCACUUAAAAACAUGUGCUAAAGGGACAAAAUGGAGGGUCUACAUGUACCGGACUCGGUCGACUUAGUUCGUCCUAGGACAAAGAUUGAGAAAUGUAAAAGGAUUUUCUUUGGUUAGGGUUUGGGGAGGGAAAGAGAGAGUAUCUUAUAAGCUGGAUCUGAGUGUGCUUCGAGAAAUAAGGCCCUCUUAGAGAAGUGGCUAUGGGGGUAUACUAGGGAGAGUAUUGCUUUAUGGCACAAGGUAUUCUUGAGCAUCUAUGGGACACAUUCAAACGGUUGAGAUGCCAACAUUUUAGUGGAAAAUGGGUCAAAAAUCCGUUUUUGGGAAGAUUUGUGUUGGGGAAAUCAACCUUUGGUUGCAUAAUAUUUUUGAGUCUUUACAAACUUUUAUCAGUUCAAAAUUCUCAUAUUUCAUUUGUCCUCAGUCUUUCUUCUCCUAUUACUUGAAACUUUAACUUUCAGCCAAACCUUACGGAUAUAGAGAUAGAGGAUCUUGAAAGACUCAUGUCCAUUCCCAAUAGUGUUAAUCUAACACCGUAAUCCCUAGAUAUGAGACCUUGUUUAUUAUCACCUUUCAACUUAUUUUUGGUCAAAUCUUUUUUUCUUAACCUCAUUUGAUCAUUUAACUUUAGUUUUCUUUUCUCUUGCUAAUUUCAUAUGGAAAUCAAAAGCUUGGCCAAAGGUCAAGGCAUUUGCUUCUUUAGUGGCUAACAAGAAGGUUAAUAUCAAUGACUUGCUUUAGGUGAGAAGACCAUUAAAAUCCCUUAGUCUAGAUUGUUGACCUUUGUGUAUGGUGAGUUGAGAAUCAAUGGAUCACCUUUUUUACAUUGUUCGACAACUUUAGAGUUAUAACGUAAGCUAUUCAAACUAGUAAGUUUGGAUUAGGUUCCUUCUAGAAGUGCUUGUGACAUGUUGACCAUUUCUUUUAGGGGUUUGGGUAGCACUAAUUGGGGUAAAGUUCUAGGGCAAAUAGCUUGUUUUACAUUGAUUUGGAUAGCACAAUGGGAAAGAAAUGUAAGGAUCUUUGAGGACAGGUGGAGGACUUUCAAAAUGAUAUGGGACCUAGUCUACCUCUAUCCAUAUUUUUGGGCCUCUACUACCAUAGUUUUCAAAAGUAUUCCUCUCAACAUUAUUCAACUUGAUUGACUUUCAAUAUGUAGAUUAGAAGGGUUAAAAUAGCAAUGUUGAAACAUUUUGAUGUCUUUUGGAUUGUUUUUCUUUUGCUUUUUUUUUAUCAAAUUUUGUAUUUAGGGAAAGAUUUCUUAUCCUUCUUUUGUUUACUUUUUCAAUGAAAAUGUUCUUUGUUUCUAAUAAAAAAAAUUAUAAGUUUUGUUUAUUUAUUUAUUUUUACCAACCAUGAAAGUCAUGCUAAAUAUGGAAAAAUGCACAUUUGCUGGGAAAUACUGCAAUGCUUUUGUCUUUUGGAUUUGUUUUAUGAAAGUUUUAAUGGAUUUUUGUGGGUAUUAUAUUUGGUUUCACAUUAAUGCAAAUCUCUUGGGAAUUACAGCAGUGUUUUCAUCUUUUGGUUUCCUCUUCCUAAGUUACUAGUGAUUUUUUUUUUUUGGUGGGUAUUAUAUUUGUUGCCAGACUAGAAUGCAUUUUUAAAAAAAAAUCUGUGGUCGGAUUUCUUACUGUCAUGGCCUGUAAUUUAAUGGGUUGACGUGGAACAAACAUAAAAACAGGCUGGACCCUGAUCAAAGUCGGAUGCUGUGAUAUCCAGUUGCUGUGGUGUACAGCAUCUUCCAACUUUUUGUGUGAUGUAAAAUAGAACUGUUGCAUUUAACUGUAGCUUAUAGGCUUCAAAUAUUAGCCUUAAUUGGCAACAAAUCUUACCACUUUUUUUGCAAUUUGGUUUCUGCGGACCUUUCUGUGUAAUCUUUGCAAAUGGUUGUGGGGGAAAAUUCUUAAGAUUUUCUGUGUCUAUUACAGGGAGAGCAGUUAAAGCAAAGGAACGUUAUAGAGCUUGUAGAUGAAUCUCCGGCUCCUUUGCUUGGUUCUACAAAGUAAGCUUUGUUGUAUUUCUUUAGAUUUACCUUGAUUUAUAUUUCAAUAAGUACUUGCUUACUUCUCUCAGGAACACAAUUGAGCUCAAGAAACAAGAUGCAUUCGAAGUUCCAAGAUGCAUUGACACCCGUAUGGAUGGAGUUUUUCCUGCUAAAAAGUCUAGGUUUAGGAUGCUUUCUGGAAAAGAAAAUGCUAAGGUACAAUACUUUUUCAUCUAAAAUUGAUUUAUUAUCAAGUAUGUUUACGGUAACAUGUUAGAACUGUCAAAUCACUAAUCUGUCAAGAUCUUGAAUGUGCCAUGCAAUUUACCAUGCAUUAUUUCUGUCUUAAUUUAUUCAAUUUUUUAAUAUAUGCAGGAAGAUAUUUCAGCUGCGCCAGCUGGCUGCUUGAAGAAUAUCUGUGUUUCUUUGAAUUCAGUUGUCAAGAGUCAUCCACAACUUUCAUGGUAUACAUUUCCAGGAUGGUGUACCUUGUUUAUAAUUGAUAAAUUGUUUGCUUUUUUCUUAUUUAUUCAAUUUCUUAUUUCUAUCAGUCCAGAGAAUACUGUGGCUUCAGCUGCAGUUUCCAAAGAUGGUACAAGGCAAGAUUGUGAAUAUGCUGAAAAGUGCAGUCAAAGCACAUUUCGUAGUGUGGCUGAAUUAUCACUUGGUAGUGAGAGGAUAUCUGAAAUGGCUGUUGUUGAUAUGGUAUUUUUGUUAGCAUUUUCCCCUUUUAUUUACUUGAAGAAAGUUCUGUGUCAAAAUAUAAAUCUAUUUAUUUUCACAGGAUAAAGCAUUAAAAGGGCUGGUUGCCUGUGAACCCCGUGCUUUUUCUGGUUUAGCUGCUGAUUCUUCUGAAAAGUUCGACAAUUUUACUUCAAUCUCUUCUGGCCAUUUCUGCUCUGAAUUUCAUAUUCCUGGGCAGAAGGCCCCACUGGAUUUUACAUUAAAAACUAAUAUGCAGAUAGUGUCUUCUUCCUCUGUGAACUGGUGAGUGUGCUGGUAUGUUCUGUGUUGUUGGUUCUCAUCACAGUUACACAUCUUACCUGUUUCUAGAGAUUGUUUUGUUUACUUUAAGGGUGAAAAAUAAUGCUUCCUCAUCUUUACUCUAUUUCCAUCUGCAAUUUUUUUUGGUGGUUUAGGAUGACUACCAUAAAAUACAUUCUAUGAAAAACAAUGUAGCAUCAACAAGUCUGUUGUAUUUUUAGGAGGAUUCCUCAUCCUUCUUUUGUGUUCCUUUAUACUUAAUACAUUUAUUAUUUCUGAUAAAAAAAUAUAUAUCCUCAAAAGGCAGGAUACAAUCACAAGGACACAAUAACAUAUCAAUAUAUACUUUUAUAUAUAAAUUAUAUAAUAUCUGAAAAUUAUGAGUCUGGCUAGUUCAUCUAUUUUUUAUACUAAAUUGCAUAGCUUAGAAGAAGCAACUCAUUCACUUGUAUCCAUGCUUAGAGCAUCUCUAAUGCAAUACCAAAGUAGCUUAUAUAUAUGUGUGUGUGUGCAUGCCAAAAAACAACUAAAUUUUUAAAUAUUGGCACUCCAAUGGGAGCUGUCAUUAUUUGGCUUUCCUUUUAGCAUUAUUUGGCAUUUGGUUGGAGAAUGGUGGUUGCUUGCAUUGUGAAUCUGGUGCUAAAAUUUGGCAUCGUUAGUUUAAUAUUUAAGUUGGAGAGCAAUUACCAUUACCAGAAAAUAAGUUUGGCAUUUGUUGUUUUAUCUAUUUGCAUUGGAGAUGCUCUUAGUGUGUAAUAUCUUUUUCUUUUUUUCUUUUUAAAUGCUUUUACUGUGCUCAUUCUUAUCAUGCCAAAUGUUUUUUUAUUUUCUUUUUUAAGAUUUAAGGUUUUAUCAAGAUUAUACCAGGCUUAACUGCAGGUAAAUGAUAUGUUGUUGCUGUGACUUAUUUAAAUAGAUUUCCUUAUGUCAUUGGAUGAGGUUUUCAGAAACAUGUAACACAAUAAGUAGUGCAUACAAAAUUUAUUAACAAUGCAGUCACAUACGCAAAAACAAAAUUACUAAUUGGACAACUACAUAAAUUGAUUGAGGAUAUGGUCUUUAAAUACGUAAUUGCACUCGAGUGGUUUGGAGAAUGAUGACUGGCGUCCAUUUGUUUUUUUUUUUUUUUUCUGAUAGGUAAGAUUUGACUAACUUGUAUGCCUAAACUUGAUUACUCAUUUAUAUUGGUUAUUCCCUUCAAAUUAAAUGGCAUGUCCGACUAGUCUCAUGCUUACUCCAUUCUUGAAAAUUAUCUAUACCAUACCAAUUUACUGAAAAACUGGACUGAUGCAAUAUUGAGAGAAGUACAAUUCGACAUAACUUUUGUUUUUUCUGAUUUUCAGGAAUGUGAAGAUAAGAUAAUGGGUUCAUUUUAUUGUUUAGGUGGCUGGUAGUGCACUUUGUUUAAUGCUAUAUGAUGGAAACUUUAACUAUAAUGAAUUUGUCAGUGCAAUUCUUUGGUAAUCUAUCGUAUUCAAAGCUAUUGGUUAUCUGUGUAUAGAAGAUGUUGUAGAAGAAAGAAGUAAUCUAAAAUUUUUAUUUAUGAACAAAACUAAAAUUAUGUUAAUUGAAAUUUUGAGAGAAUAUCAUAAUUGCCAGCUAAGUGUUGACGGUGUUGGAUUUUCUUUUGUAAUAUUUUGAUGCUCUUUUGCUGAAGUAUUUGGAUCUCAUUUUUUUUUUCUGUCAAAUCAAUUUUUUUAAAAUUCAUACUUUAGUGCUAACAUUUAAUUAACCCACAUAUAUUUCUGCUUUUGGACACAGUUGCUAUUUUUCCUUGAACAAUAAAUUUUUGUACUAAUAUUUGACUAGAAGAAAUAUCAUUGAAUUAUGUCCAGACUAUUCUGAUUUCAUUUGAUAUCAUCUAUUCUUUUUAUAUUUAUUCCUAGAUCAUUGGUUCUAUAUUGUGUUGGUAUUUGUAAGCAUUACAAGGUUAUGCAUUAAUAAAAUAUUCAGAAAAGCGAUGAUUUUGCCAUAUAUAUGGGUUAUGUGUAUGUAAAUUGUUGCAUAAUCUAUGUAUGGACUAAUGUAUAUUCCACCACAAUUAGCAUUAGGUCGUUUGUAGAAGGUGAUUUUAGCUAAUCGACCUUAUCUCGUUUUGCCAUUCCUAGGUUUCAUAUAUUGAACAUGUCUGCUACUUACAAUGGUACAACUACACCGCAAUUUGGUUGUUCCAAGGAUCAAAAUAUUAGCUGCUCCUCUGGGAUCACUUCCACUGCCCAAAUAUUCAAUUAUAGAGCUUUGCACUCAUGGGUGCACCCUCAGUCUUCUCUACCACCUUCUGUCAUAUCAGCAUGGAACUUAUCUGCUACAGAUGGAGGUUUGUGAACCAAAUAUUUUAUUAGUAUGAAAUUUAAGUUUUUCUUUUCCUUUCUUUUCCUCAAGUUUUCUUACAACAAAUUUUCUUAGUCAAUUUAGUGGAAACGGAUUUCUUAAUCAAACGACAACUAGCAUGGGAAGACUCAUUUCGAAGUCUCUAUUACAUGCUUAGAAAGAAUAUUUGUAAUAUCUUCUAUGGUAAUUACCUUCUUCCAUGCUUCAUAGUAGUUUUCAAUUUUACGUAAGUAAAGAAUUUCUGAAUUCCUUUAUUGAAUUUUUAGGUACACACCAUACACAUAUAUAUACACAAAUGACUGAAUAAGAAAAUAUCAAUCUAGCUUGAUUCUCUCCUAAAAUUAGGAAACUAAAUCAUCUUAAAUGAUCUCUCCUUUUUUAUUCCUAAAAUACUUUCCUAAAUUAAAACCCUAAUUUUGAAUGCCAAAUUUCAACACUCCCCCUCAAGCUGGAGAAUAUAUAUCAUAUAAUCCCAGCUUGCAAGUUAAGUCUUCGAAGUUAGGCCUAGGUAAAGCUUUGGUGAGGAUAUCUGCGGUUUGGUGCUUGGUAGGAACAUAGUUCAAUUUAACCGUCUCACUAGUCACCUUCUCUGUGAUGAAGUGUCUGUCAAUCUCAACAUGCUUGGUCCUGUCAUGAUGCACGGGGUUCUUUGCUAUGCUUAUAGUUGCCUGAUUAUCACACAUCAUCAGAAUUGGAGAUGAACUCGUUUGUCCCAGUUCACUAAGAACCCUUUUUAUCCAAAUCCCUUCACAGAUUCCCUGUGCAAGAGCUUUGUACUCAGCUUCUGCACUACUUUUGGCUACAACUGAUUGCUUCUUACUCCUCCAGGUAACAAGAUUUCCCCAGACAAAAGAACAAUAUCCAGAAGUGGACCGCCUGUCAAUGAUGUUUCCUGCCCAAUCCGCAUCUGAGAGUAUACUUCAAUGUCACGGUUCUCUGUCUUUCUGAAGAAUAGACCUUUCCCUGGUGUCAUUUUUAAAUAUCUAAGAAUCCUGUAGACUGCUUCCAUGUGUUCCUCAGUGGGGCUGUGCAUGAAUUGACUUACAACACUCACUGCAAAGCCAAUAUCUGGCCGAGUAUGUGAGAGAUAAAUCAAGCGCCCGACAAGCCGCUGAUAUCUCCCCCUGUCUACCGGUGUACUUUCUUUCUCGAUACCAAGUUUCUUCUGACUAUCCAUAGGAGUAUCAAUUGGUUUGCAUCCAAGCAUACCGGUCUCCUUAAGAAGAUCGAGUAUGUAUUUUCUUUGAGAGACUACAAUUCUCUUCCUUGAUCUAGCCACUUCCAUACCAAGGAAAUAUUUCAAAUUUCCAAGGUCUUUAACUUCAAACUCUUCUAACAAAUACUUCUUCAACUUCUGUAAUUCCUCCAUAUCAUUCCCAGAUAGAAUAAUAUCAUCGACAUAGACUAUCAAUAUGGCCAUUUUCCCGGCAUGAGACUUCUUGACAAAUAGAGUAUGAUCACCUGAUUCUUUGCCAUACUUUCUUCGAAACCAGGUGGUAUUUCCAUGUAGACUUCCUCUUCUAGGUCACCAUUUAGAAAUGCAUUUUUUAUGUCCAAUUGUUGCAAGCACCAAUCUUGAUUGACAGCCAAUGAGAGAAGAAUCCUGAUAGUGUUCAGUUUUGCAAUAGGAGCAAAAGGCUCCUGAUAGUCUAUCUCAUAGGAUUGUGUAAACCCUCUAGCUACCAAACGAGCCUUGAAUCUCUUGACUGAUCCAUCUGCUUUGUAUUUUAUGGUGAAAAUCCACUUGCACCCCACGGGCCUCUUCCCAACCGAAAAAUCUGUGAUAGUCCACGUCCCAUUUUUCUCAAGUGCAUCAAUCUCAUCUUGUACUACCUUCUUCCAUUCUGAAAUUUUGAAUGCCUCUUGUAUUGUGUUGGGAACCUGAGUAUCAUCAAGAGAAGUAGCAAAUGCUCUGUAAGAUGGUGAUAACCCUUCAUAUGUAACAUAAUUCCCAAUUGAAUGAUUUGUACAUCUCCUAACACCCUUCCUCAAUGCAAUCGGCAGAGUAGAAUCAUCAAUACUGGGAAUUAACACCUUUCCAACCCUAUCCUCACCUAUGUUCUCUUCAGGAAGACUUGAAUUUGAGUCAAUAUAUUGGCCACAUGUUGACUGUGAUCCGUGCUCUAAUUCCUGUCUUUUCCUCCUCCUGAUGUAAACUUGUAAGUUCUCAUUAGCAAGUUGUGGGGCUAUAGGUUAAAUAGGCAUGGGAGACUGGAUGGUCACGGGAGAAGGAACAUUUGUGUGUUGGGCUGGCUGGACUGAUGACGGCAUGGGUGUGGACAACUCAGUGGGUGCGAAUUGGGAAGGAUUUGGUGACUCUGAGUGAAAAGAAGGUACACCCUCAAGAAGAGACUCCCAAACUUGAUGUUCAUUCAUGCUCUCCCCCUGAACAUGAGAUUUGGGAUAGAAGAAGACAUGUUCAAAGAAAGAGACGUCCAUGGUGGUGUAAAAUCUUUUGUUGGUUGGAGAAUAACAUUUGUACCCUUUUUGGGUUGGAGAAUACCCUAGGAAAAUGCACUUAUUGGCUCGAGGAGCAAAUUUGCUACGAUUUUGAGGAUACACAUGAACGAAUGCCGUGCAACCAAAUACUUUGAGUGGUAAAUCAGAAGAGGCUGCACGGGUGUGAGGAAAUUGUUUUAAGAAAAGUUGACGUGGGGAUUGAAAGGUAAGCACUCUGGAUGGCAUACGGUUAAUCAAAUAGGUAGCUGUGAAAAUAGCUUCCCCCCAGAAAUAGUUUGGAACAUUAGAGGAAAACAUAAGGCACCGGGCAACCUCCAAGAGAUGUCUAUUCUUGCGUUCAGCCACCCCAUUUUGUUGUGGGGUGUCAACGCAAGAACUUAUGUGGAUAAUGUCGUGAUUUUGAAGAUAAGUACUGAGACUACUAGUAAAGUAUUCCUUUGCAUUAUCUGACUUGAGGACUUGAAUUUUGGAAUUGAAUUGAUUUUGAACCAUAAGAUUGAAGGUUUGAAAAAUGUGUCCGACCUCUGACUUUUCUUUCAUAAGGAAAACCCAUGUUACUCGUGUAUGAUCAUCAACGAAUGUCACAAACCAUCGAGUGCCAGAAAUAUUUUUUAUCCGGGAGGGACCCCACACAUCACUAUGUACUAGAGAGAAAACGGUCGAAGGUUUGUAUGAGAUUUGAGGAUAUACUGUUCGAGUAUGCUUUGCAAACUGACAAAUUUCACAGUGAUAAGAUGCUGGAUUUUUAUUGAUAAAUAAUUUGGGAAACAAUUUUGCAAGGUAAACAAAGCUAGGAUGACCAAGGCGAUAGUGUAACAUUAUAAUCUCACUAUCUUUAUUGACCUUAGAAUUUGACACAGAAUUGAAAGACUCUAACAUACUCUAAGACUGUACGCAACUUGCUUGAGAGACUUGGUUUGAGAAUUGGCCACAUGAGAGGAGGUAGAGCCCGGAACACAGUUCAGCACUGCCAAUCAUCUUCCCCGAUUUCAAGUCCUGAAAAACACACGAGUUUGGAUAGAAUUUAGUAACACAUCAAUUUGCUAAUGGACAAAAGAUUACAAUCCAAGUUUGGAACAUGGAGGACAGAGUCAAGAUAUAAGUCUUUAGUAAGUUUUAUAGAACCUGUCCCGGCAAUUUUUGACUUUGAACCAUCAGCAAUAUGGACGGAUGAAUGACCAUUACUUGGCUUGUAACUUUGAAGAAUGGCAGCAUCUCCUGUCAUGUGAUCAGAAGCACCUAUGUCCACUAUCCACGGUUUCAUUCCUCCUCGAUUAGCAGUGAAGGCUAUCCCGGUAGUACUGCCACUGCCAACUUGGCUUAAUAGUUUCUGUAGCAUCUUCAUCUGCUCUUUGUUGAAUGGACUCGGCUCGGGAACAGAUGUGCUCUCAGAGUUGGCAGCCACGUGUGCUCUGCCAUCUCUAUCAGACCGUGGCUUUGGUUUCCAAUCAGCCGGUUUGCCAUGAAGCUUCCAGCAAGCCUCCUUAUAAUGGCCUGGUUUCUUACAAUAAUCACACCAAGGCCUAUCCCGUUUCUGACGAUCUCCACCACUACUAUUAAAUGACCGAGCAGCAAGGGCAGAGGCAUCCAAUGUUGGGACAGGUUGCUCUUUGGAUCCCAUCAUCACUUUCUGAUUACUACCAAAAAGUGCUAUUUUGUAGACCUAAUUAUAAUGGUUUUAAGCACCUUUGAGUAGUAAUCAUAUUCAUUUAACCCAAUUAAUUCAUUAAGGUCCUUAGUAAUUGGUUUUAACCAUUUUGUGGCAAGUUUACAUGUUUUUAUCAGCUUAUGAAUCAAUUCAAGAAUGCCAAAUGAUGGAGGAGCUACUUGGACAAGUUAUGGCAAAGCUUUUCGAAGCUCAAAUUCAUGAAGAACCAAGCUUUGGAGCUCCAUAGCCCUUUGCCAAAGUUGUUCAAAGUAUGCAAGGAAAGAACAAUGGAGAAGAGGAAAACAGAGGACAGCAUCUGCAGUCUUCUUUCGCACUUUUGGAGCAAUUCCCAAAGUCCAUUUUUUACAUUCUAUAUACCAUUUCAAAGCUCUGUAAGUCAAGAAUCCAACGCUUCAAACCGUGUACAAUUUGAAGCUGAAAUGAGGAAGAUAUGGCCUUCGGAAGCCAACUGCUCCAGGUUAUGCGAAAAUUUCGCAUAACACGAAAUUCGCAUAACACCUUCAAAAUUCGCAUAACCCAUGCGUGUUGCGAAUUUUCCUCUGCUUUUGCCGACUCCACUUUAGAUAUUUUCCUUUGUAUUUUGUGAUGUAAUUUCCUUUCUUAUCCUUGUAACUAACCAAUCACAAGCUUUUGUUUUUGUAAAGACUAUAUAAGGGGUAGAAAUCACCUCUUGGAACAUAUAUAAUAGAUAGAAUAUAGAACAUGCGUAUUACGUUUUACACUGAGUGAUAUAUAGAGCUCUCUCGUCUCUCUUUUCUCUUUACUAUUUUAUUUUCUUGGAAGCCAAAUAGCCUCUGAGGGCUUUUCCUCAGAGGAUGAUUGGCUAAAACUUUUAGUUUCUCAAAGUAUGGAUGUUAUGUGAUAGCUUGGAUGCAAUCCCAUGGAAAUUUCUCGCACCUGGAAGGUAAGGUAGACGUUUUUCAUUAAUGGUUCAUUAAUGCAAAGUUUGGUUUUUAUUUCCUUUGGACAACUUCCAACGGCCAAUACUUGAUAAGCUUUUGGAUUUCUAUCCAUUAGUUAUCUCCUACGAGCUAUUGGAAGGUGAGGUUUUCAAUUCCAAGUUUUACAUUAAUCCGUUAGAACCAAUUUCAAUGGCCAUUGAAAGGUGAGUUUAUCACUUGGAAUGACUUUGAGUUGCCAAUAUUUGGUAAGCUUUCGGCUUUAGACCAUUAGUUAUCUCUUACGAGCCAUUCAAAGGAAGUCUAAGGUGAAUAACCAUUGAUGAAAUUCACUACCAUCUGUUUUGCCAUUUUAAAGGAUUAAAACUUGAUUUGCUAAAUCCAUACCGGUUCGGGAAGCAAGCAUCACCAUAGUUGCAACCCCAACGCGAGGAGCCUAUCCUGAGAUUUCCAAUUUGCAUAAGAGCCAGAGCAUAGCUAUCCUAUCUUUGAGAAACUUGUUUUUACACCCUUUCAUUUUAGUCUUUAAUGUUAGCUUAGAUUAGUUUAAAUCUUUCUAAAACAUUUACAUCUUCUUUUAAAGCUAACAUCCAUAAGAAAAUCACCUAUUUUCCUAAUUUGAAUAUCACUUGUGUUUGCGAAAACCCUUCCCAGUGAACGAUCCUAUAACCACUAUGCUAUAGUAGCUUGGCUACUUUAGUAAUAGUAUUCAAGGUAUAAAUUUUGUUGAUACGCCUUUAAAGCUAAGCUACCAUGAGUCGCAUCACUUUCUUUCUACUUUCUUCACGCCUAACCUCUGAAAAAGCCUCCCUGAGACUUGGAAGGGGUUUAAUGCCCAUGAUUCGGCCUCUAACAUCAUCCAAUUCCCUAUUUAGUCCUAGGAAAAACUUGAACAGUCUCUUUUGUUCCACAAUUUUCCUGUAUGUUGUUGCAUCAUCCAAACAUUUCCAUGAGUGAGUCUCGAAUAAGUCAAGUUACUGCCAAUACCUUGUGAGUGUGUUGUAAUACUGAGUAACUGACUGUUCUCCUUGGCGGAAGUCAUGUAAGGCUGAUUCAACCUGAAAAAGUUCUAAAGUAUUUUCAGAACUUGAGUAAGUUUCUUUAGCUGCAUCCCAGAUGUCCUUUGCAGUCCUAAACAGCAAAAAAAUUUCACCUAUGUCAUUGUUCAUGGAAUUGAUAAGCCAUGACAUGACCAUGCUGUUUUCAAUCUUCCACUUCCUGAAACCCGGUUCUGUAGUUUCUAGCAUGGCUGCUUCUCCAGUGAGGUACUCAUCCUUUCCUUUACCGCAAAUGAACAGCAACACAGAUUGUGACCACUGUAAAUAGUUAUGGCCAUUUAAUUUGUGUCCUGUGAUGAGAAUAGGAGAGGAAUCACUGCCACCAAGGUUUGGAAUUUCAUAUCUGCCCCCUGAUUCUGGUGACGUGACGCUGGAUACUUGUGAUGAUGUCAUUCUGUAUUUUGUCAUGGACCGGAAAGGUAGAAGAACACUUCCCAAGGCACGUGCAGGGAUUGGAGUUGAGAAAAAAUAGCCGGAGGACGCCGGAAAAACUGAUCGGAGGGCCCGUAGAGGCAAAAGAACCCCAAAAGAGGCACGUGCAGGGCUCAGAUGGCAGAAACAGGUAAGAAGGGUGGCUGGUCAGCGUCAGGCGAGCCUGGAGGAGGAAGCUCAUCGCCGGAAAGUGGCUCACGCGCCCUCAUGCGCCGGCGCGUGAGAUGCAGUCGCCGGCCGGAAAAACGCGCGUGGCCGGCGCGUGGAUGGUUUUCUGGCUCCGGUGCUUUGGGAAAAAUUGGAGAUCUCCUCUAGGCGGUCCUUGCGGUGUAGAAAAAACCGUCGUCGGAAAAGUUCACCGGAAAAGUUGCCGGCAGUGAAUGUUUUUUUACGACGAUUCGACCGACUGGAAAGCAUUUUCUCCCUUGGCUCUGAGAACAGGGACUGAUGACCGGAAUGAGAGAUGGCCAGAGAGAGAGAUGGUCAGAGAGAUUUGGCCGGAAUGAAUGAUGGCCUGAAUAAGAGAUGACCAGAAGGGAUUAAGGUUUCAGAAAACUGGCUCUGAUACCAUGAAGAAUUUCUGAAUUCCUUUAUUGAAUUUUUAGGUACACACCAUACACAUAUAUAUACACAAAUGACUGAAUAAGAAAAUAUCAAUCUAGCUUGAUUCUCUCCUAAAAUUAGGAAACUGAAUCAUCCUAAAUGAUCUCUCCUUUUUUAUUCCUAAAGCACUUUCCUAAAUUAAAACCCUAACUUUGAAUGCCAAAUUUCAACAGUAAGUUCUUGUAAGAUUUCAUAUCUUGUUCAUAUGGAGCAACCUGCAGAUUAAUAGAAUACCCUUUUGAUCCCUUAUGGUGAAUGAUCUUUUCUUGCGUUACCUGAAGUAUUAGUUUAUGUUUUGGGCUCAAUUGCUUUGGUCAGUUGCUGUUUGGUUUUUGGAAUACCAUGGUCUUUGUCGUUGUGAUGAAAUUUCUCUGAGUAUUUAUGUUCUCUCUGUUCUUCCUGGCAUUGCAAUUAUUUGGUGUACUAAUUCUUAUAAAAAGGGAAAAGACAGUAUUAUAUAGAGAAAAAUAAGUUGUUUGUUAGUUUGUGCAUUAGCGCUUUUUUUUCUUCCUCUUGUUGGAGGGGUCGGAACAAAAGAUAAUAAUAUUACAUGGAGAAAAAUGAGUUGUUUGUUACUUUGUGCAUUAGUGCCCUUUUUUUUCCUCUCUUGUGGGAGGAGUCACAACAGUGUUGGUUAUUUUAUGAAUUUGAAGCAAAGUGCCUAUAGUUUUGAAAUUUAAUAAUUUGUUAGUGUCGAACUCAAGGCUACAAAUGUUGGUUUUAGUGGAAAUUUCAUGGUUCCUAAGUAUAAUAAUGUUAAUAGAUCUAUGUUUAUGCCAAUGUCACUGUUGAGAAAUAUUUUUGGUGAUUUGCAUGAAAAAAAAAAAGUAUACUUUAAGUUAAACCUCAAAAUUUAUAAUAAUUUAGAAGUCCAAAUUCUAAAAUCUUAGAAAAUUCGAAGACUUAAUUGCAUUGAUUAAACAAAAUUGGGUUUAAAUUGAUUACCAGAUAACUGAGUGAAGAUUAUGUCAUGAAAUGUGGGAAUUUGUAUGGAAAGGAAAAUUUGUGUGUUAUUACAUAAUAGUGUCUGAAAAGUACAAUCCAUAUUCUUAGCUCAUAGAAAAUUUGGAAACUAAAUCACAUUCAUGUUGACCAAAACCAGGUUUAGAUAGAUGACAGGAUAACACACUGAAGACUAUAUCAUAAAAAAAAUUAAUGGAGUCCAUUCUAGUUUGUAAUUCUAACACAUAAUCUUGUGGAAUAUUAUGAUAGUCAUUCACAUGAAAUAAUAUAGUCUGACACAAUACACCACAUUAUAUGCAAUAGUCCUUCUGAUGUCAUGUCUUCCCGAAUUUACUUCUCUUUGUCUUACUAUCUCUAACAUUAAUAAUACAUAAACAAUACCUUUUGAUAAAAGAUCGACAUAUUACAGGUUCAAGAUGCUUAUGGAGCAAAGCAUCUUUUUGAGAGCUUUUUGUGAUAAUUUGACAUGCAUACUAACAUUGGUAUUUUCCCCUUUGUUGAUCAAAAUACCAUGCAGGAAACAAAUGAACAACAAAAUUAAAUGGGAAGUACAAUGCAUUCCUACUUGAUACAACAUAAAAUCUUUGGGUGCUUGAAAUCAUCAUCUAUGUCAUGCUUGAGUUGGUGUAGUACCACUCCAUGUAUUCUUUUAUGCCCAUUGCUUUUUUUUCUUUUUCAUAGGUAAUAAAAGGGCUUGCAUUAGAAAAGCCUAAAAACGACGAAAACAGUACACACAAAGUAUACACAUAUGCCCCAAAAAAGCUAAGCAAUAAGAAGACAAAAAAAAGCCUUCUCCUUACUUGACAAACAACCAAUUUAUAAAAUCAAUCAUAGACAAAGUGUGGUCCUCUCUAUAUGCACCCUAGCUCAAUUCACAAAAGUAUACAUGAAAAAAGAUUUCAUUGCUUGGUUGGACCGCUCAACAGCGAUGAAAGCUCUUCCAUUCCUUUCCUUCCAUAAAUUCCACAUUAAACUUAAGAGAGCAACCUUCCAUGCACUCUUCCUAAUUGAGGAAUGCAUAACCCACUGCACACCGAAAAUGGAAUAAAUCAAGUUCCACAAAAUUUUAGCCUUGCCAUAGAACAAAAUUAGGUGGUUAGUGGUUUCCUCCUCUUCUUUGCACAUGAAGCACCUAUUCAAAAUAUUCAAUCCCUUUCUUUUCAACUAGUUGAGAGUCAAAAUUAUGCUCCAAGACACUUCCUAAGCAAAAAAGCUCACCCUUCCUAGAGCCCAAGACCUCUAAAUAAUAUUCCACGAAAAUUGAUCUCUAGAUACCCUCGUAUAGGAGCCAUAAAGGGAGCUAACUUAAAAUUUGCCAUUCUUACUCUCUCUCUAACUCAAAAUGUUGUCCACUUUUCUUCUCAUAACAAAGGGUUUAAGCUUGCAAAACAAAGACUCAACUUCUCCCAUCUCUUAAUCAUUAAGAUGUCUUGAAAAGCGGGGGCUCCAGCUACCUAAAUUCCCACUCUCCUCCCAAGCUUUUGAGACCUAAUUGUGUUUAUUUAUUGCCAUAGAAAUAAGUUAGGGAAAACUUCUUUCAAGGGUUAGUCUUCACACCAAAAGUCUUUCCAAAACUUAACCUUUCUCUCAUUCCUAGCAAUCAAGUGGGAUCAACUUCUUAUGUCCUCUCAUUCAUUUCUGAUGGCUUUUCACAUCACCACACCAUGACCUCCCCUUACUCCUUUCGAACACUAAACCUCUUUCUCUACUCCAAACUUCCCAAUGAUAAUUUGUUUUCAAAGGGGCCGACUCUCUUUCUUCUGCAAAUCUCCAACUCCACGUACCAAGUAAGGCUUUAUUAAGGGCCAUAAGACUAUGAAUUCCUAAGCCUCCCUCCUUAUUUACACAAACCAAUUUCCAAUUCACCAAAUGAGGCCUUCUCUUUAGAGCACCACCACCCCAUAAAAAAUCCAUUUGGAUUUUUUCAAGUCUUCCACACACUUUUAUUUUUAUUUUAUUUUAUUUAAUCAAGGUAAGCCUCCCACCCUUAGAUAUGUAUCACAUUUUCCAUAUUGUUAAUUUUUUUUUUUGAAUCUCUAUUCCAUUGCAUCCCACACCCUACGAGAUUUAAAAGGGGCACCCAAAGGAAGACCCAAAUAAGAUGUGGAAAGCUUCCCUACUCUACACCCCAUCACCAAAGCAUCAUUCUCCAAAGUCUCUACCCCCUUAAAAGAAUAACCUCACUUUAUCCAUAUUCGCUUUUAAUUCAGAAAGCAUCUCGAACCACAUAGACAACUCAAAUAUCUCAACUGUUCACUGUUGGCCUUACAAAAGAUUAAUGUGUCGUCAACAAACAGAAGAUGGGACACAUCCCUUCUUUCUCCACUUCUCCUUUCCACCUUAAACCUUAAAAUGAAGUCACUGCAUCUGGCUCGGAACAACAACUGACUAGGAGCCUCCAUAACCAAAAUUAAUAGAUAGGGGGAUAGCAAGUCGCCUUGUCUUAAGCCCCUAAAACUAUGAAAAAGGCAUGAAGGGGUUCUGUUGAUAAGAACAGAGAAGCUAGCUAUGGAAAUAUACCAAUUGAUCUAACUUAUCCACCUUUGCCCAAACCCCACUUUGAACAUAACUGAUAUAAAUAAAUCCCAAUUGACAUGAUCAUAAACCUUCUCAAUGUCCAUUUUUCAAAGGAGACCAGGAAUAUUGCUCUUUAACCUAGAGUCAACAACCUUAAUAGCACUGAGCAUAGUGUAUAAAAUUUGUCUACCUUGAAUGAAGGCAUGUUGAUUUCACCUCCCUCGUUGUUGUCUUUACCUUAUUUGCCAAAACUUUGAUUAAUAGCUUAUACAAACCCCCAACCAAACUGAUUGGUCUAAAGUCUUUCAAAUCUUUAGCUCUCCCUUUUUUGGGAAUCAAAACCAAGAAGGUGGAAUUUAGGUUUCUUUAGAAUGUGCCAUGAAGAAAGAACUCCUUAAAGAAAGGUAUGAUCUCUGGUUUGGUAAAAUCCCAACAAAAAUGUCAAAAAGCCAUGGUAAAACUGUUUGGACCUAGAGCUUUAUCACCAGAGAGACUACUCAGGGCUUCAAAAACUUCCUCAUUUGAAAAAGGAACCUCUAGACUUUUGGAUCUAUCUUACCCCAACACUUCAAAGCGUAAACCCUUACGCUCGGUCUCCAAUCCCCAGUUUCCAAGAGAAUAGUAUGAUAGGCAUUGCACACCCUAGCUUUAAUCUCCUCAUCAUCAAUCAGAGUAACCCCAUUUUUUCUCACCUUGGUUAACAAAUUCCUUCUUGCAUGAGCAUUGGCCAUCUUGUGAAAAAACUUGGUGUUCUUGUCUCCAUCUCUUAACCAAAUUUCCUAGAUUUUUGUCUCCAUGAAGUUUCUUCCAAUAAAACCCACUUCUUAUAAUCCUCAAAGGCCCCCUUUUUAGCCUCUACCUCCUCAAGAGAAAGAGGACAUUCUCUCUUCUUAGAGUCCUAGAAUUGAACAUAAGAAAAGGCUUAUGAUUUGUUAAAGAAGAGAUUGCCAAAACCUUCUUUUUUCCACACUUUAAGAUCCCUUUUAAGAGCUUUUAAUUUCUUAAUGAGGCAGUGAUUGCUAAAGCUAGUAACUGUAUACCCAGUCCACCAAUUUCUCACAAGCUCUUUGAAGCCAUCAGUCAAAAGCCACAUAUUCUCAAAUCUAAAGGGGAUCUUGCACUUUUUGACUCUUCCACCCUUGAGAAUAAUGGGACAAUGGUCAGAAGCUAGCCUAGGAAAGCGAAUUGAGAAAUACCCAAAAAAUGGUUCUCCUACUCAUCAGAGACUAAGAAGCGGUCAAACCUAGAAGCUGCUUGAGAAUUAAACCACCACACCAUGUGAAUGAACCUCCAGAAAGAGGAAGGUCCUUCAAACUCAACUCCUUUAUGACAUCUAAGAACCUCCUCAUAUCUGUCAUAAAUCUAAAUUUGUUCAUUCUUUCCCUUGGAAAUCUAACAAGGUUAAAAUACCCUUCUAUGCACUAGGGAUCAUCCCAUAGACCUUUGAUAGCUCCCAAUUCAUCCCAGAAAUCCUUUUUUUCCCUCAUUAAAACUAGAUCAUAGACUCCUGUGAACACCCAAACAAAAUCAUCUUCAACAUUUCUAAAGUGACAUGAAAUGGAGAACCCACCACACUCCAACUGCAAUAGGUCCAAAACUCUAUUGUCCUAAAAAAUCAAAAUGCCUCUUGACGCUCAUCUAGCAUCAACUGCACCUUAGUUCAAAAACCUUCCAACACCUAAGCUUCUUACCACUUGUAACUCCAUCUCUUGCACCUUAGUCUCUAGAAGGCAAACUAGAUCUACCUUCUGAGUCCUAACCACAGACUUGAUUAAUUUCCUUUUUUCCUCAUCGUUGAGUUCUCUUAUAUUCCAGGAAAGGAUUUUAAUCUUCAUCAAUCAACUAGAACCAAAUCCUAAUUGUUCCUACCAUUCCUUCUAGAAGAGAGCAAGGAAGUUUCAUAAUUGAUUGAACAAUCUAGUCUCCUUAGCUCCCUUUUGAAACGAGAGGAGGACACACAUUUCUUCUUUCCCCCUCUACUAGGAAUCCCACAUCCAACUUUCCUUCUUAACUUCCUCAACAAAGACUAGAUUUUCUUUUCAAACCCCUGAACCGACAUCCCCAAAAAUCUAUUAAAAUCUACUAGCUUGGUGAAGUCCUUGUCUGAAAGCGGGUCCUUGCAUUCCACACCAUUGGAUCCCACCUCUUGAGUUGAGGCUAAAGCACCGUUACCCCCCGACUCAACUCCACUCUCUUGAUUGGGGGAAAAAUUCUCUAGGAAGACCACAACUUAGCCAUCUUGAAAAGCCAUUGAUAGAGGCUUUUUCACAGCGUCAACCAAAAUUUCUGACACUUCCCCUCCCAACUCAGAAAAACCUUCUCCCCGCUCAAUACCCAAGAAAGGAGUUGAAGAAGAAGAAGGCCCUUCUCCCCAAGAGGAUUGAGUCCAAGAGAGCGUACCUUGAAAUCUAAGUGCUUCAUCUAAAAUAGCUUUGUUGGCUAAAGGCUUCAUCGUUGUCUCCGUGGAAGGCAACUUUGACAUGCAAGGAUUAGAAGCAUGAAAGGAGUGGACUCAAUGGUAGUAGCCUUGAGGCCCAUCUCCCUUCCCUUUUUAAAGCUCACCUAACCCACUUUAAAAGGAGCUUGGGCCUUAUCCAAAGUUGAUUUUUUGGCCCUCUCCAUCUCCAUAGAGCCUAACUUGACCUAAGGCCCAACAAAAAGGCCCAAGGCCUCAUCUACUAACCCACAUAGCUCCUUCCUAGUGAUAGAAGGGGAAGGAUGGGUUUUUGUAGAAACUUUGAUUCCCAUCUUUUUGGGAAUUGUACCACUUUUUCUUUUUGUAGAGUUCGAUGGAUUGAGAGACAACACUUAAGCUUUCACUCUUUUAGAAAACCAUUCUUUCACUCUCAGAUAGGCGCGUGACCUUACCCUACUCUCUUUUUCUACCCUUGUUUCUCUACAACUCUGAGAAGACUGCACCUCACUCUUCAAUGGAGGAAUCUCCCACCACAUCUGAAUUGCGAAACAAGAGGAUGGAGAGUUUGAUGGAUCAAGAGAUGACACUUGGGCUUCCACUUUUCCAGAAAACCCUUCUUCCACACUUCAGACAAGUGCGUGACUUUACCCUACCCUCUUCUCCUACCCUCCUCUCUUUGCAACUUUGAGAAGACUACACCUCACUCUUCCAUGCAGGAAUCUCCCACCAUAACUGAAUCAUGAAACAAGAGGAACCCACCAUCACCUGCAAAGAACUAGGUAACUUCCCUUUGAUCCUAGCAAGAAUCCUCGCCCAUUGCGAAUUCCUACACUCCGCUGUAUCCUCAUCGAUGGCCACAAGACUCUCACAAGCUUCUCGUAAUCUUUUGAACAAACCUUUUCCCCAAAGAUGCAAGAGAAGGCCCAAAACCCUUACCCACACCUCUCGAACAUCCCUUGCCUCCAUGAGGCAACCCAUAGAUGGAUUCCACCACUUUAGUAGAAGACUUUUUCCAUUGAACCAUUUCACCCUCGAGUGGAACACCCUCUUAGCUUCAACUAUAUCUUCAAACUUGAACAGAAUAAGGGAUCCUCCCAACAAUGCCAAGUGGAGUUUUCCUUUCAACCUCCAAUUGAACUAUGCCUAGUUCCUAAGAGAGACAGGGUUAGGAGGUUGGUCAAAAAGCCCCUCCCAUCUUUGAUUUCAAUCCACAUAGUGUUACACUAUUAAGAAGAACUAGAGAUCUCCAUCUCUGCUACCGAGUACUCAUUCCCAUCAUCACCCCUCUAAGAACCAACCCCUUCGAAGAGGUAGCUUUGGGCUCCUCCACUCUCCUUAGGGUCGUAGAAACACCAAGGCUUCUUAGCUUGCUAGACAGGAUUUUCCACCCCCCUACAAAUCCCCUUUCUUCAGGAAACACCAAGGAAAACUUCUUUCCUUCCACGUCCUAAACAGAACAAAGUAGAAACCGCAUUUCUCCUAUUAUUGCUCAAAUCCAGCAAAUGGUGUCUACCCCACUCCACCCAAGACUUUCUAAAAAACUCUCCAUCUUUGAGAGCACAGCAGGUCUCAGCCCCUUCCACUAGCAAAGCCAAGCCCUUACCCCAUUGAAUCUAAUACAUGACGAAAAGUUUGGACCCCUUUCACAAAUCUUCCCAAUCACCUUCCUUUUGGUCUCCUCGAUUAAAUCCUCAAAGCUCUUUGAUUCAACACCAAACCAACACUUAUCUCCAGGAUAAACCACUGACAUUUUUCAAUCCCAUGAAAAAACAGGAGUUUUUUUUUUUUUCCUUUUAUGCCCAUUGCUGAGUAUGAAGUCAGCUAGUUGUCAUCUAUCAUUCUCACAUCUUCCAUACACAAUCAUUUUCACAUGUUCCCUUACAUCUAGCUUGAAGGUCUAUCUUGAUUCUUGAUGGUUUUGAAUAUUCAUAAUGAUCUUAUUCAUAUAAUCAUGUGGUAGGGGCUAACAAUUCAUCACUGGUUUACAUAUUGUAGUGUUAUGACACUGUAACUACAUUUACUGCUUCAUAACCACUACAAUUUCUUUGGCAAUUUGGCUUGCCUAGGCCAUACUUUUGCAAUGGCUAGUUUCUUUCCUAUUUUUCUUUAGGAAUUUUCAGCACAUAAAUUACAUAUAAAGCAAUUUAGAUUAUGUGGUGAUUUCAUCAUAUUAUUUUUGGUUGUGUACUCUAGAGUUUAUUUAUUAUUCUCUAGAAACUCUAAUUAUAACAUUGAAAUUGUAAGAAACUUCUUUCUUUCUCCUUGUAAUGCCCUACACCAUGACUUAUGUGGACCAUAAUGUUAGAGCCUUUUGGUCGUUCAGGUUGUAAUAGGAGCGAAAUGUGCAUGAUCCAUUCAUUUUGGAUUUUUAUGCUCUCCCUUUUUUUUUUGGGUUUUGUUCUUUCUUUGUCUUGCCUUUUAUUUUUUUGGGGUUUUUUUAUUAGUUAAAUUUAUUUUGUAUGUCACACUGUACAUUGAUUUUUCUGUUUUAUUGGAAACUUUCUAGUUUGUACUUCACAAUUUGUGGUGGUGUUUGCUAGUGGUGAUGGCUCAGGAGGAAAGAAACAGUUCUCUAAUGCUUAUAUCUCCCAGUCAACAAGAGGCUUAAGGUCACUGUUGAGAGAGCAUGUAAGAUGUAUCUUUUUUAUCUUUUAAAAUUUGCAUGGAUAGGAAGUUUAUUUUCUCUUUAUGGAACAUGUUCAUAAACAAUUUUCAUGUGGAAAAUAUGUUUUUUCUCACUCUAAAUGCUAAUUCGAGUUUUUUCUGCUUGAAUAUAAAAAUUAGUUCCUGAAAUAAGAUAUUACUUUUUUUUUUUGCACUUGGUAUUAACUAAGAUAGUGGCAUUGAAAUAGAAAUCAUGGGGGUGCUUAUUUUGACUUAAAACCUGGAAAUGGUUGCUACUUCUUUGCUAGAGGUUUAAAUAUGAGGUUUAUAAAAUUGUAACAGAAAUGAGUGCAGUGAGAAAAUAUUUUGUGUUCUUUUUGCAAACUUCUAAGCUAAUCUGGGAAUGAUAAUUUUAAACCAUUCUUGUGGAAUUUAGAUGAUUACCAAAUUUAUUGAUUUUGAGAAUGUUGAUAUUUAUUAAGGACCUUGAUUUGCUGACCAAGUGGCUAACUGUUAGAUCAUUAGAGAUAAUUUAUCAGGGACCUUGAUUGUCUGGCCAGAUGGUUUACUGUGUUUGACUUUUACCAACUAAAAAAAAACUGUCAUCCUUGAUUUUAAUGAGCAUUGGUUGCUCCAUAUUUUUGGUUUUUUUCUCAUUGCUGAGCAAUUAUUUUGCUUUUUUCAGAAAAUUCUCAUAAUUUUGUCUUAUAUAGUAGGCCAACAAUGUAUAUCAAGUUAAGUUGACUUAGGCUAAAGCCUUAAUGUUCCACUGGACAUGCAACCUUCUCUUGCUUGUACUUGGCUCAAUAAUGGGGAUUUAACAAGCAAUGAGGUUCAAACUUAUGGUCCCUUAGAAACCAAAGCUCUUGUACAAUAUUAUGCUGACUUGGAGUAAAAUCCUAACUGUUUUCUCAUUUUUUAUUUUGUAAGUUCUCGAUUCAUAUAAGAAAAUGAAAGAAAAUUUUAAUCAAUAAAGAAGUUGCUAUAUUUAGGUAAGGAUGCAUGAGACUAUGUGUGACAGGUGGUGAUACCCGGAUUCUCAAUUUUGCUAAAAGUAACCCUAUUGACAAAAAGGACAUGGGUAUUGUUGUGGGAUCCUCAUGGGAUAUAUUAUUAUUAUUUUUUACUUGGGACUGGAUAAUUGUUAGUAAUUUUUAAAGUGAAAUUUUGGAACUUGGGAGAUGAAUUAAAACUAAAAAAAAGGAAUUAAGUGUUGUUGGGGAGAUUCAAGGAUAAGAGAAAAAAAAAAGGGGCUUUUAUGAGGAUAUUUAAAGAUAAAAAAAAAAUGGUAUACCUGGGCAGGUGGGGUGAUAGAAAACAGGUCUCUUGGCACUUCAUUAGCAUGAAUUUGUUACUUUUAGAAUAGUAACAUUUAAAGAGAUGAUAAAUCAAAACAAAGGUAAUAAAAUAAAAGUAAAGGGAUGGAUAUGGAUAAAUAAUAAAAAAAUAUAUUGAUAUAAAAUAAAAUUAGUGAAAGAAAUAUGUAUGCAUAUUGUAUAUUAACAAAAUUUGAAAUUUCCAAUGACAAAACAUGACAUACGAUAUAAAUUAAAUUUUUUAGUACAUUUCCUUCAUGCGUAGGAGUAAUAUGACUUGAAUUACUAAAGGGUAAUAUUAUGGAUUCCAUGGAGAAUAAAGUAGAUAUAGAUCUAAGUAAGCACUCAAAUAUUUGACUUUUGACCAUGUCCAAGUAUCUGUACCAUUGUUAAGUUCCUUUCAGCCAAGUCCUUGUAUCUUAGAGUUUGUGAAUUUGAAUGAUUAGAUGUGUAACACAUACCUGCAUCUAAUACUUGCAACUAAAUCCCUGUAACAUAUGUGGCAAGCAGACAUAAUUUGUGAUUGUUUCUAUUUGUUGCAUGUGCGAUCAGGGGUUGCUUGGAUUGUUUUAGGGCAACGUAUUUGAUUUCAAUUUGAUAUAAUUGUGUUCAAAGAACCCAGAAACAAAUAUGGAAGCUCAAAACAAUAAUUGAUUUUGUCAUUUUGAUUCAGCAUAAUGAUGGGUUCAAAUGUGGAUCAAAGUUGAAAAUCUUGGUAACCCAGUGGGCAAACCCCAACUUUGCAACCAUGUAAUGAGUUAUGUGCUUGUGAAUUUGUGCCUAUCAUAUAUGCUCUCUUCUUUUCAGGAUGUUGGACCUUUGAGAUUAUGAUAUUAAGGGCUUGCAGUGCUAACCAUUUUAACUAAUUAAUCUUUGUUUUGGAUUUUACAUUUUUUUUUUUCCAUGUCUAUAAUAUUUUUUUAAUCCAAUGAACUAACUUUUUCUUUUGUUUGUAUAUUAUGAAAACUAGGAUGUUUGUUUCUCUAUGCCUCUUUGUCGUUCUAAAGUAGAAUAAGUCACUACUGAAGACCUGGUUGAGCUCUCAGAGAUUGAGAAACGCAAUCUGGGCCAGGUUUUUGUCUAUGCUUUUAAUUUUGAUAGUCUUUUAUCUUUCACCUUGCUAAACUUAUGCCUGGAAUAGAACAUGGG
rnacentral:lncRNA from 1 species